CAAGUUUAAUUGUUUACACGCGUUACGCGUACCAGCGACGGCCGUUCCCGAUCGCCGAAAAAACAACGGAGACAUUUUCAAAUCGAAAACACCGGAGAAAAUUCAGGAACUCGUGCACCUACCGCGGGUAAGUUUAAGACAUACUUUCGAGUUUCAGAUAAAUCAGUUUUAUUAGUUGUAAUUACGAUUAAUUACAACUGUGGUGGGCAGGUGCCCGGUAAAAUAAAUUGUUAUGGAUAUUAAUAUUAGUAGUGUAUCGAUUAUCAAUACAAAUCAAACUAGUUCCGAGUUGACAAAACAAUAUAUUUUUGCAGAACGGAUAAUACAUUUUACUUUUUAGAUAUUUAUUUUUCGUUUCCAACGAAAAUAUAUUUCAACAACUUACGCAGUUUAUGAAUGUUUGUGGACCGUAGUACAAAAUAUGUUAUAGGCACCAAACUGGAUUUAACUAAGGUAUUUUAAUAUAACGAUUACCUACUUGUACAUAAUAUAUUAUUAAUAUGGUAUGGACAUGGUACUGUGGUAUUGCAAUUGACGGUUACAUUUAAUUUAAAUAUAAGUGAAUCGCAACUUUUAAACAUUUUGAAAUCGUAUAAUAAUUAGGACUGUUAUUUCGUAGUUUCAUAUUACCAACCGCAGUUCUUGAACAUCAUUGUCAUGUUACAAUUUCUCUGAAUUGGGUAGUAUAAAACAAAAUCUACUGCCAUUUUGUCCAACUAGAUUGUCUGUAAGGGUUAAAAGUUUAACAAGAUUUUUAGAUAACUAUAGCAGAGUUUAAAAAAACAUUUGAUGAAAUGUUUUCAUGGAAUGUUUGUAAAGAAGAUGCUAGAAAAUCAAUACUAAGAGGAUAUGUGAAAAAAUUAAAAACAAUGUUUUUUUUUUUUUAUUAUUGUAAAACACAUCUAUGGUUCUGUAGAACAAUUAGCAAAAGUGUUACAAAAUCCUAAAUUUUGUGCAUCCGAUUCAAUUAAAGCUGUGGAUACAUUGAAAAAAAAUUACUAUCAUUCAGAACUAAUGACAAUUUUGAUAAGAUAUUAAAUACUGUGAAUUUACAUGCUGAAAUAUAUGUAUUAGAACCACAAGACACUAGACGCAUCCAAAAAACACCAAAACGACUUCAAUACACAAAUAACUCUGCUACAAAAUUAUCACCAAUAUGUGAAUUGAAUAAAGAUAUGUUUAAAAUAAUUGACUAUUUGAUAAAUGCAAUUUAUAGACGUUUUAAUCAACAAGGUCUAAAAAAACUUGGUUAAAUUAGAAAACAUACUUGUAGAUCAAAAUACAAAAACUCACCAAGAACUUACUAAUUGUUUAAAUAAUAUGAAUGAGGAUUUUGACAUAAUUAGGCUUCAUGCAUAGUUUAUUAUGUUACCAUAUAUAGUAUCUAUCACUAGUAUUUCAGAUAUUAUUUAUAAUUUGAGAAAUGAAUAUUUAAAUGUAAAAGAGUCUUUGUUUUCUGAUUUCACCAGAUUUAUUAAACUAAUUUAAACAAUACCAGCAUCUGCAGCGACCGCCGAGCAUUAUUUUAGUGCAUUGAUAAGAUUAAAAAUAUAUUUGAGGUCCACAAUGACCCAAAAGUGAUUAACUUAUAUGAUGAUUUUACACCUUCAUAAGUUUAUGACUGUGUAAACAUUGAUUUGAAAUUAAUUGCCAAAGAAUUUGUUUUCAGAACUCCUCAAAGGAAAUUAACAUUUAGAAAUUUUGAUUAAUUUUACAGGUAACAAUUGAUAUAUUGUUACUUUCGAAUAUAAACUUUAGGUAUAUAGUAAAUACGUUUUAUGUAUUGUUUCAGUAUAUAAAUAUAUAAAUAUAAUUUAUAUUUGUAUUAUAAUUAUAUCAAUAUAUUUAUAUAAUUCAUAUAAUAUAAUAUAUUACCUAUAUCAACAUUAAAAGAAUAAAAUAUUAAGAAAGGUUUUCUAUUAUCAAUCACAAAUAAAUGUAUAAUAGUUGUUAGGUUUUUAUGUUUUGCCCCCCCCCCCCUCCUCAUGAAAAAUAGUUCCUGUGCCACUGUUCUAUUCUGUGAUAUAAUGAUAUGGAGUGAAAUGAAGAGAGCAAAUAACAGCUAAAAUAACAUUGUUCUUAGUAUAGACAUAUUAAUACAUGUUAAUAAAUAUGUCUAUGGUUUUUAGUCAUUAAGUCCAAAUAAUUUGAAUCAAUUUUUAUAUAUUUAUUACAUAUAAAUAUAAUAUAGUGAUUUAUUAUAGUUUUGUGAAAACUGACCCCAUUCAAAAUUAAUAAAACUCUUUUUAAAUCCACAUUGUGCUUGUUCCUGCCAUAAUUUCCUUAAAUAAGAAUCUUCAAGAAACCUAUGCAAAAUUACUGGACGAAGCACCAGAGAAUUUCUACUAGGGGGGGGGGUCAAUAAUUGUUGGCCCUUUUAUCAUUUUCAAUUAUUUUUCCAAAUGAAAUACUUGUAGGGGGAUUCUCCCUCAUUCACCCUUAGGCGGUAUGCAAUACAAAGAAUCUUAUUAAUUUAUAAUUUACUUUUGGUUGGUAGUUGGUUAAACAAAUUUGUUUCACUCCAAGUAUACCCAUAACAGUAAUAAAAAAAAAGUACCUGAUUAAAAAAAAAUACAGAAUUACCUAUAUCUUCACUUUUCGAAUAUAUUUUUCGUGCUAUAAAAAAUAAAUCUACCUACAUAUUUAGAAUAUAAGCUGAUUAAAUUUCUCAACUUCUAUUAAUAAAAAUUAAUUUAUUCCUGAAUACUAAUCAAAAAUAAUUUUGAUAGUUGAUUUUUAAAUUAACUUUAAUUUUUAAACAAAUUCAAAUAUUUAAAUAAUUACACGUUGUACAAGUAGAACAUAUUAAUAAUACAGUACCUAUUAAAAGUACUUAUGUAAAUAUUAAACAAUUCAAUAUAAAAUAAUUUUUCUGUUUUUCAUCCCGAACACCCCUUUUUGCUUAUCACAUGUCGGUUGAAUAAUAUUCACUAUGGGUGCGGUUCACUAGUUAAUAUGUCUAUGCAACAGAAUAAAAUUUAUUUUACUCUAGAUGAAGAAGUUUAUUUCUGUGUAAAUAUUGGUGUGACCCGGCAUUACCCUUUCAAAUUUGUAGUCAUUCACAUUUUAGGAAUUUAUUCUAUGAUUUAUUUGUGUCUAGUUAAUAACAUAUAUUUAGUCUUUUCUUCAUUGAUUUGCUAAACCACAUUGGGUAGACGUUAAAAUAUUUAUUUUCAUACUAUACGUAUACAAAUCUGUAACAAGAUCUUCUAUAUUUCUUAAUAACUAUUAAUAAUAACAAAUUAUCUGGAUGAGAAUAUAAAAAUGUGGACAUUAAAUGAAUUUGAUCUUCAAUCAGCCGUCUUUAAUUGGUUGAACAAAAAAAUACAUUAUCUAUGAAGUAUGAAUACAGAUGUCAUAAAAUAAGAAUGAUAUCUAGAGGUUUUUGUUGAAGCCCAAGAAAAAUAUGAUUUAUUCAAAUAUAAUUGAACUUGAAAAAUACAUUUUAGCAAUAUUUAUCGUUGCUAACAGAUAUAAAUUAUAUAACUUUAUGUAUCCUACCAUCCCAACUUAGAACAAUGGCACAUCUGUUCAGGGCUAGCAAUUAUGAUUAAUCUAAAUUAUUUUGCCAUGGGCAAACAAGGCUAAUCAAAUUCAAAUGAUUUUAUUUAUUCUCCUUUAAAUUUAAAAUAAAUGCAAUUUUCGACUACCGUGCAAUUUUUUUUUAUACUUGCCGACUAUAAAUUCAUUUUUUAUACUUUCCCUAUCGUCUACCCUGCACUCGUCCCCAGUAUCAGUUAUUUUUUCUCGAUUAUUACAGUGUUAUCAAAUAUCACAAUGACCAAAUUUUUAAAUUUUUAAAUUUUUAAUAUUUUAGGAACCGUCUACUAACAUGUAUAUUAUAAAAUGUAUAACCUUAAAUCUGAUUACCAAACCGUUUAAUAUUUACAUCGCCAAAACACGUUUAUUAUAUUAUUAUUACAAAUACAGUGAUUUUGUUUCAUUGUGUUUUGUACGCCAUCUAUGUUAUAUCAGAAACUACAGUUUAUUUUCAGUUUUUGUGUUUAGAUGGCAGCACAUAUUGUAAUUGUUCACGAUUUAAUAUUCGAAUAACCUAUCCAUUUAUUAUUGUAAAUAGAUUUCUCUAUUUUUUUAUUGAGAUUUGAAUUAAUUAUUGUUAGUAAAUUUAAAUAAUUUAGAAAUUUUAAUUUAAUAUGUAUAGGUAUUGAAAUAUAUUUUUAUAACUAAAAAAUAACAUUUGUAAAUUUUCUUGGUAUUAUAUUAAUAUUUAUUUAGUAAAUUGAAUUCUUCUGUGUUUCUAUUUAGUACAUUUAUAAUCGUUGUAGGAUUUUGAACAAUUUUUCGAAUUGAUUUCAUUUCUAAAUUAUUAUGAAAACUUGUAGAAGUCAUAGAAAUUCGUAAAUAUGUUUUGAUUUCUUUUCACCGUGAUCGUUAAUAAAUGACGUUUAUUUGAUAAUUGAAUAAUGAUGUAAAAAAAAAAAAAAUAAUAAAAACUAAUUUAGUAAUAAUUACUAAUUAUUAGUUGAAGAUUCAAACAAAUUAGGGUAAGUCUGAAUCAACCAGGCUUAAAAUUAAAGAAAAAGAAGCUCACUUGAAUUUUCCGUAUUUACUGUGAAAAAUGUCGACGAUCAGACGCGAUGUCAAUAUGUUUCGCACGAUUUGUCUAUUAUGAUAUUGGAAAUUUUUAAAUUUUUAAAUGUACGAAAAGAAAAAAACAUUUUAAAACUAGAUAAAACGUUUUAACAAUCGCAGUGUUAAUAAACAGUUGCGAGUGCAAUAAUAAUAUUGCGACAUUGGUGUUUUAACGUAAUUCUGUAUUCGCUCCUCUUGAUAUUAGAAGUUUAUAGUUUUUGAGAACAGACGUAAAUGGUUGAAAACGAAAUAAGAAACGGGCCGAAUGUGGCGGUACAAUUUAUUUGGGGAUGGUGGUGGGGGGCAUUACUAAAAAUUACGGUAACGACCUCUUUUUUUUUUUUUCUUUUUUCUUCUGCCCAUCCGCCCUCUCGGUCAAAAUCGUUCAGUUUAAUUUAAUUAACUAUUAAUCGGUUCGUCGACACUUUUAACGGCGGGGCCGUGUCACGAGACCGUCACGUACCCGGGGAUUCGACACUGACCGAAUCAUCAGCCGUGAUCGUGUUGGUAUAUUACAGGCGUGGGCGCCUCCUCCACUCCCCCCCCUCACCGAAACAAUAGUUUCGCCGCGUCCGUUUAGACGGCGCCACCGGAAUCGCGCGAUAAACGUAGGCGGGCGCCCGCGUGCCGCGCGGUUCGUUUCGACGGAGACGUUUUUGUCCCGCGUGCCGCGCGACGAUUGUCCGUUGUCGUCGGCGGAGAAACGAAUAACGACGGCGAAUCGGUAAUGUCGCGGUCGGCGAGGGGACGGCGGUCGGGACGCGGUCAAAGGCCCGUCGCGUUCGUUUCGGAAUGUCAAAGGCCCGUCGCGUUCGUUUCGCAAUGCCCGCGCGAACCGGCGGCGGCGGCGGCGGCGGCGGACACGUAUUAUUAUUAUUGUUAUUGUUAUUAUUCGAGCGCGCUCUCGGACGGGGGACGCUUUGCUGGCCGGCUACUCGUGUCUGAAAAGAACCGCGCGACUGAGACGGCGUUGCCGUGCGCGCACGCUUACGCGCGAGACGCGGACGCGGGGUGCGUGUGUGUGUGUCGCGCCGUCGGAUCGGCGUGCCUCGUCCCCGUCGGCCGCCGGACACCGGUGUCUUGAGUCCGGGUCACCGAUGAAAUGAUCAAUUAACUCGAAUUACCGCGUUCAGACGGGACGCGCGUGUCCGAAUGACCAGCAGUGUUGCGCACAGUGUACGGUUUCAGGAGCGCUUGUUCAUUUAAUAUAUUAUUCAACAGAAUCAUUAUAUUGUUAUGAGCGCGAGCGCCGCCAGUUUUGAUACCGACAGAUUAACCGUCGAAAUUAAACAAAUAUUAUAAUAUGUACAUUUUUUUUUUUUUUUUUUUUUUAUUAAAUUACGUAGUUCAAAAAAACAAUAUUUACUCGACAUGCGAAAACAGUUAAAAAAAAUUUAGAUUCGCAUUUAAGAAGAUCGGGAAAUAGGUUAUGAAAAUCACCAUUUUCUAAUCCGUCCCCAACAAUAGUGGGAUGCACCGACUGGAACCUUUUAUUAUUUAUUUAUUUUUUUUUUUAAUUUUUAUUACGUCUUCUUUUAGGCAACAGAGCUGGUAGUAGAGCUUCUUCUAUUUCCACGGUUGUGUAAAAAAAAUACAUAAUAACCGUAUUGAAUCGGACAGUCGUGUACGACCAGGGUGUCUCGUGUGAAAGGCGUUCACACGCGAAACGCCUUUUGCGCCUUGUAGCGCGAUUCUGGCGGCCGGCCACAAAGUGUCCCGUCUGAAAGCGCGCGUCCAGUUGUCGUCGUUAUUGAACGUACGGUUCGAUUUCGACGUCACGAGCGCGCAGCGGCACUACGGCGUGCGCCGCCCGGUAAUAUAACAGCGUGUCAUUGGCGCGCGCGCCCGCGUGUUUUUCGGAUCGAAAACGCGUCGGGAGCGCGUUUCCCGCGUCGCCGACUCCGGCGCGCCGGGCCGCGCGGUUCAUGACGGCGCGCGCGAUAUUGAUUAUUUUCAAUUUCGAUGCAACACCCGACGGGUCGUUAUAAAACGGCGCUCGCGGAGACGGCGUUCUCACGCGGUCAGACGCCUACCACUCGCGCCGCGCGCGGAGGAGUCGCCGUGCCGUGCCGUUGUUGUGCGCGCGUACGACCAAUUAACCCAACCGGGACUGGUUUCGUUUGGUUAUUUUAAAUUACAACUAAUCUCACGGCGAUGAUUUAUCGGCCCGGCGCUGUUGCCCGCGGAUUCCACUCCAGUUCAUCAGAAAUGUACGAACACGGUGGAGCGGAACGCCGUAGCGGUGCGUACGACGAUGGUGUUUUGUGCGCGCACAAUUGCGGGCGAUCGCAGGAGGAAAUAUCAAACGGUUGCGCGGCGCAAACGUAUCGUUAUCGUCGGUUAAACAUUUAAAACGUAUAAUUCGGACAAAUGAAACAAAACCUGGACCUCGUUGACGGCUUGCAGAUAAUUAACGUCCCUCGCAACACUCCAGUAAACAACCGUUUUACACUAGAAAUCCGGCUCCGAUUGGUGACUUUUUUUGGGGGGGGGGGGCGGCGGCGGUUUCUGGUAGAAAGCGUUUUCCAUAGCUGGUGCGAUGAGGUAAUUUUUUUGUUUUCCAUUGUAGCGUGCUGAACAAAUGGGAAACCCCGAGAAAAACGUCGGAAAAAUUGUGUUAUUUACACAAUAACGGUUUCUGUUAUAUUUGAUUUGGUUUUUUUUUGAUUUUUUCUUGUCAUACAGGUCGAAAAUUUCCCUUAAAAUCCUCCGAGAUAAUCGUUGGUUCAUGAUAAAACAUACAUCGCACGAUGGGCGGACGACUGUUGUAGUUGAACAGUUGGGAAAGUAGGAUAUAGACAGGAAUUUAAUUUAUAUUUGUAGGUACACCAUUGUUAACGAAAACACGAUUCUGAGCGGUGUUCGGAUAAUGGCGUUGCUUUGUCAACAAUAUACAUAUAUUAUAUAUGUCAUAUUACGGUAAAAUAAUUACAUAUACAAUAUUUAUGCACCGUAUAUUUUCUUUAAUAUGGUUUGUUCAAUAUUAUUCAUAUUUUCUCGUUUUUCCUAAGUUUUUUUUUCAUUUAUUGGAAAAACUCUUGGGUAAAUCAAAAAACGACCUCCUUAAAGUACCACCCUAUUCAGAUUUUCUUUCAGAAAAAGUGCGAUCAUCAAUCGGAGCAAAAUUGCUGAUAGAAAAGUUGUCCACAGAAAAAAAAAUAUAAAUAUAAUUAAUACAUUCCACACUCUAUGCUUUGAAUCGAAAAUUCGCUCUGUACUUAAAUAAUACGCAUAAUUAUCAAAAUUGGACAUGUUCAAUGAUUUUUUUUUUUUUAACUAGUUGAGCUAUUACUCAUUACUAGAGCACGGAAGGCAUUUGAUUUUUUUUUUCUAUUGCUUUAAAACGAAGUUAUGUCAGCUACAAAUUCGAUUUAUAUUACUUAGAAUAAAAUGCACGACGUUUUAUUUUGCUUUUUUACGGUUUUUUGUAUAUUUAUGCGUUUUUGGGCACUUUUAUUUGCUUUGAAGUUACAUUUUGAAAAAAUGAAAUGUGUUCUAAAUAAAUGUAUUUGAAAUGUUAAUAUUUAUUUUUAUAAUAUUAUAUAAUGUGUUCCAAGGUCAUGGCUGGCUCAAUCGAUUUUAUCUCGUUAUGUUUGAUUUAUGGAUAUAUUUAUCGAUGUAAUUUAGAUAAUGUGAUUCACGCACCGCAUGGUUGAUUAAUUUAUCUCGAAACGACAAUAAACACAAAAAUAUACUCUUGCUCUGGAAAUUAUCUACUCAGAAUUACAAUUUAGUUUUCGUUGUUAUACCGUAUGUCCGUGUAGUCCGUUUUUUAAUGAAAUGUAUGUUUUUUUUUUUUUUUUAGUGCUUUUCUGUAGUUUCUUAUUGCCUUAAAAUCCGCAGUCUACUCAUUACGUUUCGAAAAAUUAAAUUUUAACUUUUUAACUGUACUCUCGGGUCCUGCCGGGCUUUGCAUGUUAAUAUCUCGAACGAUCAAUGAUCUAUUAUAUCCCCGUCUAAUUACGCGUGUUCAAAAAAAGUAGAGUAAAAGUAUUUUUAAGGUAUCGGUCCGGCGAUUGGGGGUUUUAAAACAAACCACGCGGCUUAUUAACAGCUCACAGUUGGUCAGUUAUAAGUCAAGUCGGCGAUUUCCCGAUUAUAUAGUACAAUAAUAACGCGUCGGAAUAAUAUUAUGAUUCGAAUUACAUUAACCCGUUGCUAUGCGCAGUACAAUCAUAAUAUAAAUUAUAUUAUAUACAAUGCUAUUUAUAUUGUUUACUGUUCCUCUCCUCACCCCUACCCCCUCCCUAAGGUUACGUGAAUAAUAUUCCCGCGAACGCCAUGCCAACGAACCAUAUUAAACGCGUAUUAUGUUGGCUGCGACUUUUCACCGGAAAUGAUCUCUCAUGUCCGAUACACCGACAUUGUGACCGUGGCGUAUUCUUGCAGCGAUCGUAAUUUAUUAUAAAUGUAAAGGUAGGUAAUAUAAUAAUAUAUUCAGGUGCUCUAAAGAUUAUAGUUCAUAACUCUAUACGAGUACUAUACUGGACAUCGCACAACGUGUGCGGAUGGACAUUUGCGUGUGUAUACUGUGAAAAAAAAAAAAAUGUAUUAAAUACGAUCGGGUAUGCGGAAAGUCCGCGGGUGUAAUAUGAUUUUUCUCGAAAUGAUUUAUUGAUAAUCGGACCCGGGGGCCGCGAUCGAAAUCCAAUAAGUCGAUUAAUUAUAAUAUAAUGUUGCGGUGAAAUCGAUCAUGUGAUACCGAAAUAUAUUCGAAAGCCGAUAAAAUAUCGUACCGUAUAUUAUAAAUACACGAUUCGGUUACUGUUAUAAAUACAUAAAACCGUAGUUCUCGAAGUCCCGUCUGGACUUUUAUAAUAUUGCUGUAUACAGCUAUUAAAAACAAUAUGUUGAAUUAUCAACGUUUUCGUACGUCACACAUCGGUUUAAUGUAAACACAACGAUAACAAUGUUUAUUGGCGCCACGAUGUAGUUUUGUCUACAUUGUGAUUCGCACCCAUAUCUAUAAUGAACUACUGAACGGGGCUUUUAUAACGGGACUUUCAGCGCUUAAAAACGUCAAAAAAACCCUUAAAAAUGGUUAUGGCUUUAUCAUAUUAAAUCAUAUUUUCUAACACUAGUACAUUACAGAAAUUAUUACACAGAGUAGUUUUUCAAAAUAAAUUAGGAGUUGUUAGAGAGCGGUAAUUUUCUCUAUUGUUUAUACUUUUUUAAACAUUAGUUUUAAUAAAUAGUUUUUGAAAUUUUAAGGGCUUUUUUGUGGAUUUUAAAUGCUAAAAGUCUCGAUUCUUGCUAAUAAGUAUUAAUUUAGUGCAUUAGACGUACAUUGAUUUAUGCUAUAAUUUAAAUUUGGUACUAAAAUAUUAUUUGACAGAUCAGUACAAUAUACACUAUGUGUUCACAUUCCCCUCCCUUCAAAAUUAUCAAAAUUAGGUCUACGAGUAAAAAUAUUUAAUAGGUAUAUAUGUAUACAAUUAACCAUUUAUUCUUUAUUGCGGAUAUAAAACACUGGACUCAACCGUGUAUUUGCUGGACGCUGGACGCGAUAGACCUAUUUAAAAAAUUGCCCGAUCCAAAUAAUAUUCGAAUUCAUAGACAAUUUAGCCAAUUUAUUGAAUAAAAUAGACAUAUAUAGGAAAUAGUAUUGUAUAAUGCUAAUUUAGAUUUUUGCAGUCUAAUCGUAGAGACUUUGAAGUUCGUUCUUAAACUCAUUGAUUGGGUACAGAUUUUUUUUUCUCAAUUUGUACGUUAUUAAUCCGAAUUAUACACUUUGAUUUUGAAAAAAAAUGGUAAGCUAUUUAAAAACAACAAAUUUAAAUAAGAAAUCACCAUUAGUUUAUUUGUUUUCAGUUAGUUAAAAAUACAUUUUAUUUCUUGUGUAUACAGUAUACACUAUAUAGGUACGUAUAUAAUAAUAAUCGUAAUAAAAAGAUUAACGAUGCAUAUGCGUCGUAUUUUGUUAUUUAUCUGAAGUUUUUUUAUAAACGAUUUUUACACAUCCAACUGCAAAUAGAUAAAAUAAUCUAGUCCAGUAGGAAACUGCUCACAGAUAUACUCGAUGAUUAUUGUAUUUUAUACCGAGUCUCUUGUAGACGUCGAAUAUCGACAUGUAGAAUGCAGAUGUAGAACAUUAUUUACUUAUACACGUGGAAACUUUGGCGUACCGUUUAUAAUAUAUAAGGAAACUGAUGUUCACUCUGAUAAAAUAUUUUCAUCGAAGUAGAUUCCAUUUUUGCGUUUCGCGUGUGCGCGCGCGCGCGUGUGUGUGUGUGUGUGUGUGUGUGUGUGUGUGUGUGUGUGUGUGUGCGUGCGCGUGUAAACCUACAUUGUGAUUAUUAGCAAACAAAACGGAUCCUUAACAGCCGAUACCGCAGUAUAAUAUUAUUUGUGUACCAAUGCUUAUCUCUCUUCCUCUGUCAAUUUAAAUUAUGAUUAAUGCGCCGUCGUCGUGGCCAUUGUCGACGGGUAUACAAACGAAUUAUAAAUGAUAAAAAAUAAAAAAAAAAAAGUCACUAAUUCGAUAGGUCAAUCCAAUCCGUCCCCUAGGGUCAAUGUGUUCAUUAAGUCGAACACUCGUUAUUUUAGCCGCACGUAUAAUAUUAUUAUGUUUACAAUAUUGCGCAUUUGUUUAAACAAAAUCAUUAUCCGAAAAAGCGCGGUAUACCCAAAUCCAAAUGUACUUAUAACCUCGACUGACUUGAGAGGCGCGGCCUUCUCCAUUUGAUAACAAUAAUUAUUGCCACCGCCGUCGAUUAAAUAAUAUUUCAUGAACAAAUUAUAAUUGUAUUACGUUUAAUCAUUAAUUAUUACAAAUAUUUACUAAAAAAUAACAACGGUGCAUAUUAUAUAGGGUGUAAUCGCGACGAUUAACUGAGAUCUUAAAAUAAUGUGUUACAAUAAAAAUUAAGUAACAAAUAUAAUAGUAAUAUAAGGUACUACUGCACAAUUAGGUACGAGUUCUAAAUUUUUGCACAUUUUUACAGAUAUGGGUAGAUAAACGUUUUUAAAGAAUUAUAUGUUGUCCCGAGAUCGAGAAAACGAGUUUAUAAAAACCCGCAGGAAUGUACAAUAUUUGGAUCUUACAAAUUUGUAAUUCCCAUGGUUUUUUACGGAUAUGAAAUAUAAAAAUCAGGAGAGUAAAAUAUUUGAAAAAUAUCAAUAUUACAGUAUACUGAAACAUAGUCUAUGACUACCUCCAGUUGAUCACUUCACGAGUUCAUGUUAGAAUUUAAUAACCUCUGUUAAUGGAGUUAUUCUGGAAAAGUUCUGUAUCUCAAAAGUUUUAUCAUCACAUUCAUUCAAACGAAAUUCAUUUCGUGGUGAUUUUAAUAGAAAUUAUUAUUGGUUUCAUAAAUUUCAUAAUUCUUAUUUAAUCCAUUUGUGACAACAAUCUAAUACAAAUUUUGGAAGAUGAUAAUACAUAUCUAUUGACUCGAUAGAGUACUCUAUUUCUACGUAUGUGUCCACUACUUUGAUGCGUAUUAGACAAAUCCCAAAACCAUUAUCAAAUGUGAGAUUUUUGGAAACUUAUUUACAUAAUUUUAGUAAAACCUCGUAAAAAUCAUUAAUUUCAUUUGAUCUCAUUUGUUUCAUUCAUUCAUCUCAAUUUCCCAAAAUAUACUUAGAUUUCUCAUCAUGUCGGUGAUUUUACACAUUUCACUUAUCAGAUCAUUGAAGAAGGUUUACGUGAUCUCAUCUCGUUCACUUUCAACAUUAUCACUUUUCUAGACCAACUCCUUAGGUGGGUCACAGGGUAUUCGAGUGUAGUCAGAUAACCGUAUACAAUUCUGUUGAAAUUCAAAAAUUUUACAUUCCAGAUUUGUAUAUUUCAGACUCGUGCCGUUCCAGGGUUUAACGUGUUCCCGAGAAAACGUUAUUUACGGAUUUAUUAUGUACAGAAUAUAAAAUUAUUAAAAUAUAAUACUCGCGACUAUUCUAAAUUCUAAUACACAGGUCGCAAUAAUUGUAAACGUCAUCGAUUACAAGAAUAAUAACAAAAAAAAAAAGUUAAAAUUAAAAUAAACCAAUAAAUCGUGCGCUGUGUCGUCGGUAUACACACGUAUAUUAAGUGGACGUGGGUGGGCAGAGGAUAUUACCACUUACACGCUUAUAAAUAUAUAAUGUACGUCAUAUAUAAUACAGUUCAUGACCAGUGUGUAAACCCAACAAUAUCUUACUGCUCAAGGUACGAACAAAUACGCAUAAUAUUAUUAUUAUAAUAUAUAGAAGCUUAUUAUCAUACUGCAGGCGUGUGUAAUUUGUUUUAAAAAUGCGAAGUGGGCAUAUCUAUCUGAAAACGUUUACUGGACGGAAAUUAACGCGAAGACAAAAAAAAAAAAAAAAAAAAAAUUACAAUAAAAACAAUCUCUUUCGGAGGUCUUCUCGAGAUAACAAAUUGGUUCACACACCGAACGUAACACGUUUAUUGUAACUCGAAAAAACCGGCCGACGACGGGAAAACAUUUCGCGCGUACCGUCAAUAUUCUCACGACCGAAUGCCGCCGAAGUUUCUGUUGGCCCUAGUCAAGUCGAGUGGCGUCGCGGCCCCGGCGUUUUUGCGGUCGCGCGGCCGCGUCGGCGAUCGGAGUUUUCGGGCGUAUUUGUCGGCGGUCUCGUUGUUGUUGUCGUCGCCGUCGCCGUAGAGCUGACCGCGCACGGUCAGGUCGAUCGGCCGGUCGUCGUCAUCGUCGUCGUUGUCCGCGUCGUCGUUGUCCGCGUCGUCGUCGUCGUCGUCGGAUCUGCUACAGACGGUCUCGCGGAAGGCCGAGUGUUCGGACCGCGGCAACGGUGCCCAGCACUUGGGCGCGAAACCGAAAAACAACGGCAUCGGGACCACGGGCACGGGUAACGGCAACAUGAGGGACGGCGGCGGCGGCAGUGGCGACAGCUUCGACACGCCGCCGUCUUUUUCUCCUCGGUCGCCGCCACCGCCGCGGGGAAUCCGAUGCUUCUGCAGCCGCUGCAGUUGCUGUUGCUGCUGCUGUUGCUGCUGCUGCUGUUGGAUCAGACAGUGGAUUUUGAACCAGUUGGACCGCCGGCCGUAACGCGAACCGCUUUUCGACAUGCCUACGGCCAGGCAUUUCUUUAGACGGCACGCCUUGCACGACGUCCGGUUUUUCUUGUCAAUCACGCACCGGCCGCCGCCCGUCUUGCACUCGGUCGCCGCCGCGGCCGUGGGGUUGGUGUGCGCCCGGCCGAAAAAAGACUGAAACGUUAACGACAACAGUGUUAAUUAUUAUUAUUUACUACCCUACCGUUUGGACGGCAGUUAUAGUCAAUAACGCAAGUACAUCAAUGUUGCAUUGCAGGUCCCGGGGAAGAAGGCCACCUGUAUAGUUCAAUUUUGACAUAUUUUUCGUUUUUAUUUAAAUGGCCCAACUGGCUUUAUUCGGAAUUGAAUUUGUUUUGCAUUGGAAACAAUACGAAUUUGACUCGAGCCCGUCUUACCCGGGACUAACGAUUUGUAGGUAGGUACUUCUAAUAGUCGUGUUAAGAAGCGUAUAGUGCGAAUGAUAUUAUUCGCAUUCAUACAUUUACAACACCGGAUAGUUAUUGAUACAUUUUUUGUAUUUUAUUCGUAGUCGAUGGAAAGGGCUGAAUCAUUUUUAGCCCCCCUUCAGUAAAGCCGCUGGAUUCGUGUGCCUAUAUAUCAGUGGCGUAGCCAGGAAUUUUUUAGGGGGGCGUAUUUUUUUCGUGUUUAGAUUUAACUUUGUAACUUUAUUGUGCGUAUGUAACACGUAGCAUAAUAUAUUUAACAAUUAUCCAUGCGUAACUGCCUAAUAGUAAAUAUUAUAACUUUUGGGAAAAAUAUAGUCAAAUAGGGGUGUUUGAAUAUCAAAACAUCCCUUCCAGCUACGCCACUGCUAUAUAUCUCCGAGAAAUUUUCAGCAAAAUCGUCUCUUUAUAAGUACAUAUUGGUUUAAAUAGGCAGAGUGAUACCCCCUCACAACUUUGCCAAGCUCCCCAAAAUCUAGUCCUCAUCUCUCGCGAGUUAUGAGUUUAAAUGAUUAUUGCAUCAAUAUUAUGGAAGAUUUAAACCGCGUGCCUUAGCAUAUUCGGGAUAUUUACGCUUAUGACUCUAAUGUUCGACACGGCGAUUUGUCAUACAUUCUAUACACGAUAAAUCGUCGCGCGUCGCAUCAGACAGAUUUUUAAAACUCAACGUUUCGAAACUUAGUCUUUUGAUUACGCACCGUCGUUAAUUAGUAUAUAUAUAAGCAAUUGUUCGUAUUGUACUAUAAUAGGUGUAAAUAAAACAAUGAUUGAUGAAUACGGCGGCCGUUGAUAAUACACAAAUACGAGUUGUUAUCCACGUUAUAACAUCGUCGGCGUUCAAUCGUAAAACUCAAUUAAUAAUAUUAUGACGUGGUUUCCUUAGUAUUUUUCAUCAAUCAUAAUAUACGGAGAUAUUUUAAACGAAAUUAUUAUUAAACUUGAUAAAAAUUCGAAAUUUCUGAUGUAAAUGCAAAAUAAAUCACGAGCGCUAAAUUUAAAUACUCACCACUCAUUAACAAUAUAAUAAAUAAACAUAUCUGAGCAAAAUGUAAACUAUAACUUAAACUUUUUCAAAAAUAAUAAUAAAAAAAAAAAAAGUGUUUGAAUAAUCGCAACAAUAAUACAGCGAUUAGCGAAGAGUAACAAUGGAAGAGAUUAAUGAUAUAUUUUUUUAAAUUUACAAGAUGCAAAUAGAAAACAUACAACAAUGGACUUCUGCGCUGCUAUAGUGAUAAUGCAAUAUUACUGCAGCAAUAAUCUCGGAAGGUCACUAAGUCAGACGACAGUCAAAUAAUUUAUCGUGUUUUAUAAAUGGUCGAUAAAAUACGAAAACAAUUUAAAAAUGAAUUUAUUUCACGUUUUUUUAACGGUAGUUUCAAAAGAAUGUAAAAAGUAUUGGGGAAUUUUUAUAAACAACAAUCUACUUCUUAUACCCACGAUUAUAAUUGUAUACUAGUUAAGAAUAUCAAUAUAGUGCUAUAGACCAGUGUCGAGACACAAAUAAGUCAAGUGUAUCUUGUGUAUUAUUUUAUAUAAGUAUAAAAUAUGAAAAUAUAUCGAGUAAACGAUGAAUGAAACUAAAAUAAUCUAGACAGUCAUAACCAUUUAAAAAAAAAAAAACUUUUUUUCGAAAACAUUAAUAUGUUUUCAAAUUUUAUGUGAUGUAAUAAAUGUAUUAAUUGUAAAAUUAAUGUGUAAUAACCGUAUACUUAUAUCUGUUAUAAAAUUCAAUUAACUUAAUUAUAUAAAACGUAUAGUUAAGAUUAUAAACAGAGCGUGGGGUUUUGAGGGGGUCCCUAUAAACGGGUAGAAAUCUUCUAAUAAAUCCAAUACGCUGGGAUCUGUAUAUAAAUUAUAUAGGUAGACUAAUUUUUUAGUUUCAUUUAAAAUUAUUAAUUCUUAAAUUCCAAAUACCGAACCUCCAUAAAAGUGCAUUUAUUCCCUACAGAAUAUAAUUUAUUUAAACAAGUGACAUUUUAUCCAAGAUAAAUAUUUAGAUAACUUGACAAUAUUAUUUAUCUCGAUAAGAUAAAAGAUAAUUAAACAUAUAUUUAGAUAAGUCUUAACACUGGUGUAGACUGUACACAGGUACUUAAAUUCAUUAAGAACUCAAGUAUAUUUUAUUAACAUUCUCGUAUAUGGCGGUUAUAGAGAUGAAUUAUUAUUAUUGGUCCAUAGUCUUUAUAUACAGUCGACUUGUUUAGAAAUAUACAGGAGGGAAAUCGGUAUAAUAAGAUAAUAUAUUUCAUUUCUAAUAGGCUCUGCGCGGUAUUCUAUUUGGUAUAUCUAAUUAACGCCUAACGCAUUUUACAUAUUAUUAUAAACAUACAGCGCGUCCGCAUAAUUUAUUAGUGACACCUUCGUAUAAAUCUAUCCACAAAUUUCCUAUGUAUACCUAUAUAAACGCUUUUUUGGUUUGUAAAUAUAGGUACCUACCUACUCAAAUUUAAUGUUCUGGUUUUCGGAGAUAAUAAAUUGCCGAAUAAAAUAUAAUAUUACAAUAUACGAACAUUAAAAAUAGUUUUGAAAAAAAAAAAACACCUGAAGUAUCCUUACUUUGCAUCCUUCGCACGUAAAAGCUCCGAAAUGAAAACCAGCAGCCGGUUCCUCGCAUACUUUACACCGUUGGUUCAUCUGAAAGAGCAUAAUAUAAUAAAUGAUUAUCAUCAAUAACCGUGGAUGUUCGUAGACAUUUUCCAGGGAGAGGAGCAAAAUUUAAAAAAGUCCAUAUUUUAGUUGGGUUAUCUUAACUUACAUAUAUCAUAAUAUUAUUUAUAGGUUUUAACAUUUGUUACAUCAUAUAUUUGUCAAAAAUGUAAAAAAGGUAUUGGCGAUCCAGAUUUUUUUUUUUACUUUUAAAUGAUUAUUUGAUAAAAUAAAAAUCUAGAAAGGAAGGCAAUUACAUUGUAUGUAUUGCCCUCCUCCUACGGAAAGCCCAUGUCAAUAAAAAAUUAGCGUUACAAAUAUCGUUCAAACUGGCACUGCCUAGAAGUAGUUACAGUGUACUAAAUUUUAAAUAAUAUAUAUAGAUAUAUAUACAUAUAGAUACGAGUUUAUUGUGCAGUAGGUACCUAUACGUAAUUAAGCCGUAUCUUCUGUAAAUAUUUUAUUGUCAUUUUAAACGCACGAAGACAAAAUGUGCAAGUACGUGAAGUUUACGUAACUGUAGUUUUAGUAAAGUGUGAAAACUGAAAAUAUCAACAAAAUAAACUGUUUUCCUAUUUGGUUCUUAUAUAUUAUUUUAUCAUGUGAUAGCGCUACUAUUCAGAUAUAGAAUUUUCUUGAAGCGGAGGGUGUAUGGAUUAUACAUUUUUUGUCAGAGUUUAAUUGUUUUACUAGGUGUUUUAUAAUAACGAAUUUAACAAUAAUAUUAAAAUUUUAUUUUUACUUUGUUCUAUCGAUUCAUUUAAUUUAAUAUAUAAUAAUAAUUUAUAAUAUAUAAUAAUUUAAUUAUCAAAGUUUUCUUUUAUUCAAGCUCGAAUAAAUCGAUUAAUUUAUCUGUUGUUAUCUCGACUUCUUUGUGUCACGAAAUAAAAAUUACUUACAAAUCUCGCAAAAUUAAAAUGUCUAUAAAUGGCUCAAAUGUUUUUUUUAAAUUUCCCCAUCUCUAGAAAAGGUAAAUAUAAGUUUGUGUGAAAAUGUCAAGUUGAUACAAAUAUUUUUAACUGAUUUACAUUAAAAAACGAAAUGUAAAAUAUUAAAAGAAUUUUUUUUUUAAUUUUCCCGUUCUUUUUACGUAUUUGUCUGUUUUUCUUAAUUAUGAAUAAAACUACAGAGAAAAUUAAAAAAAAAAACUUUCAUACAAAUCAAUUAGAUUAAAAAUGAAACAAAUAAGGUCGCAUGUUGUUUUUCUAUUGGAGCAAUAUUUAUGGUAGAAUACAUAAAUGUACAAUUUUAAAAUAAUGGAAUCGUUUUUGUAAUUUGAAAAAAUCGUAUUUUUCGUAAUUUUUUGAUUUUUUCCAAUUAUUAUGGAAAAUACCUCUUAAGUAUUUUUUUCCUCUCAAUUCUUCAUUAUGAUGUAAAAAACGACUUUCUCGGCUAUAUAUUGAUAGAAACAAACUAGAUCUCUUUUUUUCAAUUUGAACAAUAUUUCUGAUAGAAAACAUAAGUUGAAAAAAUUAAAACAAUGAAGUCGGUAACGUCGUGGCGAACCGUAAAUAUUUGCCGGUUUACCUAUAAUUUUCUUUCGGGUUUUUUCCAAUUAUUUCGAAAACCCCUUGGAAAACUACAAAAUGCCCUUCCCAAUGCACCAACUAGAGAAAAUUUCCUUUAAGAAAAAGUAUUAUACUCAAUACAUCGGAGCAAGAUUUCUUUACGAAAAGUUGUUUAUAGAAAAAAAAAAAAAAACACAUAAUAAAACCAAUAGAUGCCUCGCUACUCUCCGAAUUCAAAAAAUGAAUGGAAUAAUUUAUCCCUUAUAUUCCACCCUCAUAAAUAGGCCACUGCUUCUACCUGUAGUGUAUGUUAUUACCAUUUUGACAAAUAGUUGCGUGGGUGACUCUUAUCGAUGUAAUGUUUCAAAGUGCGGGGAAUAGCGAAUAUAAAUCCAGGUUCACACUAGGAUAAUAUACUAGGUCGAAUCACUAAAGCACAUUGCUAAAUUGUAAACUAAAUAGUGUUUAGUGACACAGUGUUGCAAUAAUAAUAAUAAUUGACUAGUAUAGUUCAUUCUAUUAGUGUUUACAUGUAUGUUUGUACAUUUUCUUGAAAAAUGACUAAAAAAUCAAGACCCGGCGUCCAAAAUUUGUACUCGAUAACCAUUCGAAGAAUCUAGUGAUUCAAUAACAUAGAAAAAGGAUUAGCAAACUAAAUUUAGACAAGGAAAAAAAUCGACGUAGCAAUUUGAUAUUUAGUGAACUCGUGUAGAAGAUGACGUGACUGAGUUUAUAAAUUACACGAGAGCGAGUCCGUCCAAGGUAGUUACAUACUACCCAGUUAACUAUACCACCUUGAGUUCGUCGAUGUUUAAUUGCUUACUUGUCAAACAGACACUAGAUAACAGUGAUGAUUCACAUAAGUGUCUACGUCGGUUUAUAGUUGAUAAACGAGUGCAAGUAGCAAGUCCAACCCGGCCGAGAAAACCGAACCCCGGUUAUCUAGUCGUUCGAUUAAAAUAGUCUUCACUGUACAGAAUCGGCACCAAUGUCACUAAUAAUGAUAAUAUGAGCGCAUUUUUCGAGCGGUAAAAAGCGCAGCCACUUGCUUCGGUGACUCGGCCGAAAUACUGUCCGGCAGUGUAAACCCGGCACGAUAAGACUCGAUGUUUUUGUACGGUAUACGCGUGUUAUAAUAGUUAACACGAGCGGCGAACUACAGAAUUUUCGACAUGACUCUUCGCCGUCACGCCGCGCGCCGCCACCAGGUGUAUUUUUCACCCGUCUUUUGUGCGCCGAUCACGUCGUCGCCUGGUACGCACACUGUCUGCAGGUCAGACGGACCGCGGACAUCAUGAGUUAGGUGUGCGGGUUAGAGCGUUGAAAAUCGUAACGAGUUGUGCCCGACCAGAGUCACGAUCUCGAUCUCGUUGUAACGAUUAGUUUUUUUUUUUUUUUUAUGCAUAUUAUAUUUCUUCGCGGACAUUCCAUCGCUCGUGGCACCGACACUUACGGCGCAGCCAUAGGUGACGUUUUAAAUAAUAGUCCAAAUCGAUUUUGGCCUUUCGACCGCAAACCCGACGCGUUGUUCUCGUGAUGCUCGGCUGUUCGACGGCCGCGACUCCUCCUUAUAGUCAUCGCCGCCGCCGCCGCCGCCGUGUAUAUAUGAUCCGCGUACAGUAAUAAUAAUAGUAAUAAUAGUAAUAUUAUGAUCUAGAUGAACGGGUUUCGUUUCUUUUUCGAGGGCGAGGGGCCAGGGGCCAGGGGCAGGCGGGCGGGAGGCGUCUACCGCGACGGGUUUUAUUAGUAUGAUUAUCAUCGCCGUCAUAUUAUGUACCUACACAGGUAUACGUUCUAUACGCCGAUGCCGAUAUCGCAUUCGUUUUUCCUUUCCCCUUCCCCCUUCUUUAGUUUUCGCCACGGCUAAAUACGAUUAUUGUUAUUAUCGUACGGACUGCAGCGAACUCCCCUCCCUCCUACCCUCCCUCCCCCCCGAUCUUCGUACACACCACUCGUAUAUAACUGCAGCGACAUGAUCGAUAGGAUCGUGAUCCGAUCUAAUUUUAAGGCCGAUAGCAUAAUAAUAAUAUAAUACGUAUAUGUACGUAUUAUAUACGUAUACAUGUAUAGUUUAUAAUAUAGUUUUCGUCAUAGCGUCCCGCUAGAUGAGCGGAGCGAUGCGAGGAGAAGAAGAAAAGUGCGGGAUGACGGGCGGCGGCGAGGGGAAACCUAUAGCGGCUACGCAAACACACCCGAUACGAAAUACGAGAACGGACGAAUAAAUCACCCGUCGUGACGACCUAAUACGAUUCCUCGGCCUCUACGAUAAUACGUGCGCGCCGUGAUGCGCGCGCGCGGAGAAGGAGAAGAAAAAAAAAAAAAAACCCGCGCUAAUAGAUUCCGUCGGUGCCCCGUGUGUGAAUCGCGCGUUAUAUUAUUGUAAUAAUAAUAUCACGUUAUCACUGUGCGCCUUUAUCGCCGUGAUCGGCCGUGAUCAAUAACGAUUUACGCCUCGCGACGUGCGAUUUCGGGGGCCGAAUCACGCGCGCGUAAUGUUGUUGUUGCGCGUGAUCGGGCGCGUUUGCAAAAUGAAAAUAAUAUUUCGGGGGGGGGGGGGGAGGGUUUAGAGCAUGUACGCUUUCAUCACAAAGAAGUUUACUUUCGUUUGUAGGGUUAUUUCACUAUUUCGUUAAAAAUGUCGAAUGCCUAUUCGUUUUUUAGCCUCUCGGGGGGUACCCGCGCUGUUACUAAAUAUUACGUUUACCUUUGCCUUAGCGAAUACAAUAAUAACAAUAUAUUAUGUCUACUAUGUAGUAACAAAGUAAAAAUAAAACCAAAAUCGUAUUUAUCUAUACCUCAUUGACAGAAACCACUUUUGUGACUCUAUUAAAAAUCUACUUUCGUUAUAAUUUGUAUGAAAUUUCGCGGGGGGGAAGGUGUUGACCCACCAUCUGCCCCCCCCCCCUUGUACACGCGCUUGCGUAUUAUAUAUUUCUGAAUACGAACCGCCUCGAAAAUCCGUUCAAAUGGGGGAAGAAUAUUGUCGUUAUUAUUUUUAGAUUCUGAGCGAAGCAGUUGGUUUUGUUUUAUAUGAUUGCGUAUGCGAUGUUUUUACAUUUUGCGCCUGUGCGAACAGUUUAUCCGCCGGGAAUAUUGACAAGAGAGUUUUUUCUUAUUGACCGUUUGCAGUGAUUUUUUAAAUAGUAUUUGCAUCAUAGUCGUUUUGUGGCACAUAACAAUGUGUAUGUGGUUUGUUUUCAUAUUUCGUUCAUUAAGAGAAUAUAGUAUAUUUUUAAAUGUAAUCGAGGAAAUUAACGUCAACAUAAAACUAUACGCUAACCUAACCCUCUCAUUCAGAAAUCCUGGAUACGCCACUGAUAUGUGCGUAACGUUAUAUAUAUAUGCGAUAAUAUGCUGCAUGAUGAUUGAAAUAAUUGUUGUAUGUUCCAGCAAUGAUUGUCUCAUAUAAAAACAUGCAAAAUAGAGAAAAAUGUAUAGGUUUGGUUAGUAAAAAACAUAAUAAAAAAGUUUUAUUAAAUGGUACAGCAUAAAAUUAUAUACGGGCUCCAACCUUUUUAGACACCCUAUUUUUCGGGAGAGAGUGGGAAUUCAAAGGAGAACCAAUAAUUUUGUUGCGAAAAUCACUUAGAUAUUUUUUUGAUGAAUUUUUAGGGGCGAAAAAUAUAUUUUAGUGCAAAACUUUCUUUGAGAGUGAUUUAAAGUCUUACAAAAGUGUAUAGCAUAUACACGCUCGCGCAUUAAACAGCACAAUGCAACCACAGAUAUUUAAGUGAUGGAUUCUGAGUAAUAACUCUCAAGGAAUGAGUUUCGCAUUAAAAUAUUUUCAUAUUCGUUAAAAUUAUCAUUGUCAUUUAAUUCGUUAAACAAAUAUCGUUACGUGAUGUUUACAAACAAAAUUGCAGGUUCUCAUUUUAAUUUUAAAAGUCGAUCCAACACCCCCUGCCCACCCAACGGAACGUCUGGAAAUAUUUAAGCCCACUCACGGUUUUAGAUUAUAAUACACUAUUUAGUGAAACGUAUUAAUUUCAUGUUUUUCUCCACUGUCCGAGUUUAUGCGGAACAAUAAAUAAUCGCUGUAACGCACAGUUUCGAACACGUUACACGUGUGCGCGUUUGUUCCCGGAAAAAGAGAGAAAAUGAAAAGGGUGUUACGUAAAAAAAAAAAAAUUGACAUUAUUUACGCUUCCGGAAAAAGCCUGUUGGAAAUUUAGACGUACGCGCGUAUUAUCGGCGUAGCGAUUCGUUGACUUUUGAGCUCGUGAUGUACGCCCGGCCGUAGUACGCGGAGAACACCGCCGCGGCGCCCGUUGUGCGUUGCACACUAACGACGGGUCGGCCCUACCGAGUCGUCGGACGAGGAGUAGCCGUGUACGCUCGUGAUCAAUUAUAAAUCUAACGAUGAUUAUUAUUGCUAACUUUACGACGUGGAUUUCAUUGAACAUCGUUUUGAACUUGAACGCCCAGUCCGUGCGGCGCGGCGUGCGCGUGCGAACACAGGUACCCGUGAUAUUUUUGCUCGCCUCUCCGCGCGCGCGAUGGCGUACCGGUCAAGCGCGUGAUAUAUUAUUCACACGCGUUCGCAAAACGUCGCCGUCGUCCGCGCUAUUAACAGUGCGGUUUUCCCCUCCCUCCCUCCCCCCCCCCUUCGACCCGCUCCGUGACGGUUCGUCAGUGACUCCUCGCCGUACUAACACUGCACGCUUUAAACCGUCCGGCAUGAUUUCGCCCCCCGUCCCGUCCCGAUUCUCCGGCGCAUAUCGCGAAGGGCACUGGGGGUGGUGGGAGGGGAGGAAACCAGAAAAGUCGCUUUUUUUUCAUUUUCUGUCUCAAACCGAGGGAAACGUAACGGUUUUUUUCUCUUUUCGCGUCACAAAGUUAAAAGUCCGGAUCAAGUUUAACGUUAAACUUUGAAACGUAGUAACCACAACAUAGUAAUAAUAUAAUGUCACGUUUUAUUAUUAACCAAGGCUGUAGCCGUGUAUUAACCCAACACUUACCCGCAGGUCAUAAAUUGACUGCAUUUGUUAUUUUUUUUUUUUUCCUGUAGGCCUAAACUUCCGGCGUUCAUUACCUAUUUUCGAUUAAUCUGCAGGUUUUUUCGACGUUUCGAUCGCACAAAAGACACGGCGCGCCAUUUCAAAUUAUCUGAUACAGCCAAUAUUGCAGUGGGGUGGGGGGAAUCGACUUUUCUGGUUUUUUCCCUGUAUCCUUCAUACAUAUGUAUAUAAUAUACAUGUGUGUACACACAGUAUAUUAUUAUGAUCAAUAUGACGCGGACCGAAAAUAUAUCACGGCGAAGCGCGGAACGGUUCAUCAAUAACAGCGAUAUUUUUCCCGCGGUUCCUGUCCGUCUCGCCGACAAAUCGUUUUGGUUGUCAAGGUCGGGGCGACGACGCGCGUGUUCUCUACCUCGCUCCUCUAAUCGCUCCGCCGCCGCAGUAAUUUGACGCUCGUGUGCGCUUCUCAUCGUCGCCGUCGCAGACCGCUCGUAUUUACGGUGCCGCGCGCGGUGUAUCGCGUGGCCGUGUUACAAUUAACGCGUUUGGUAAAUAGGACUCGUGAUUAUCGCGGCCUUGUCGUGAUAGUAAUAUUAUUAUGUACACACACACACACACACACACACACACACGACGGACGACAAUAAUCCCGUGACGGCUCUGGUCCGACGUAGCAGUAGGUGUAACCCCUCUCGUCGGAGAGCCCCCGGAGCGCCUUCCUCAUUUGUAUCGGGUUUUUUCCCCUAGGUUUUUUUUUUCUUUAGAUUGCGAUAAACCCGAGAACGAUAGCAACUAUAACAAUAUAAUAACAUUAUUUUGGCAAACAACCAAAACGGUAUCAUCCUUGGAGGUGUUGUCCGAUUACGGAUAUAUACGAUUUGAUUUCGACGAAUACUGAUUAUUACAUUAUAUAUUAUAUUAUAUCGUUAUUACCUAUACGGUAUUCAUUUGCUGUGUACGUUAUACGGACGUAUAAUGGUAUGCCGAUCCGAGACGGAUAAAACGAUCGGUGGCGGUGCCCGACAAAAGAUCCGCCCAAUAACUCGCAACCGUCGCGUCGGAUAGGGACGUUGAUGAAUGACAAGUAUUACGCUAUUAUUAUCUUUACUACAAACGUAUAAAGAUUGGGUCACUUUUUUUUUUUUCUUACGAUUAGCCAACACCGUAACGUUGAUUUCCUUUUUUUCUUUCUUUUUUUUUUUUUUUUAAAUUUUUACUAUUCGUUACGGAUGUUCGCGGCGCGUAUAUUACGGUGUGUUUGCCAAAUAUUACAGAAACAGUUUCCUAAUUAGGAUUAUGAGAAACCUUGAAAACGAUGUGAACUCUAUAUUGCCUUAUUAUUACACUAUAAUAUAGUACUAUUGUGUAUACCUACAUAAUUUUCGUGUGUGUCUUUAUCCGAAUAUAAUUUCGAAAAUCUCGUUUAAUUUAUCGAAGUACCUAUAUAAUCAUAGACGUACCUAGAACUUUAAUUGCGGAUAAUUUAAAUUUGUCUAGUAACGGUGGUUAAGUAAAUUUAUUUAUCGUGAAUCAUUAUUUUGACAACCGUCACUCAAUAUCAGUUAUCACUGUUAUUACUGAUAACUUAUCAGUAAUAAUACACAUAGCGCGCAGAUGUUCAUUAUUAAAUGUGAACCUGAACCACUAUAUAUAUCUACAUAUUUACCGGGUAUGAUUUUAUUUAUCAUCGCAAAUAUAAUAUUAUAGUUAGAUGAUAGUAAAAUUAUUUUACAGUUUCGAUAAUAAAAUAUUUUAAAGUUGUUGAAAAAUGUAUUUUAGUUUCAAACAAAUCUGUGGGUUACACAUAAAACUGGAUUUGCUAAAAGAUCUCCUAAAGUUGCGCUUAUGAGUACCUAUAAUAUAUACAUCAUAUAAACGUUGUAAUCUGCAAGGACGGCGCCAGGUAUUGAGGAGAGGUCGUGGACAAAAUACCUUUCGAGGUUUUAAUAUUUUACACUUUGAACCUAGUCCUACUGAAGAAAUCGUUAAGCACCUACCUACAGCUAUAAAGAACGUUUAGAAUAUAUAAGUUAUUUCGCUAAAAUUGCAGUUGCACAUAUAACUAUUGUAAUAAUAUUAAAAUCCGAUUAGUGAAACACAAUAACAUUAAUUUAAAAAUAAAUAGUGCAGAAACGUACACAAAAACAUUUGCAGGGUAGUUACCUACUUAUUUUUUUAUUCGCCACGUCCAGCAGGAUAUUAUAUUAACUAUUUAUUUUAAUGUAACGGGCUUUAACUCAAGUAGAAACAAUUAAAAAUUUAAGAUCCGAUUAUAAUUAAUAACUUUAAAUAAAUUUUGCUGUGGUCUGUGGCUGAAAAUGUGUCAUGUAGGGGUAUCAUUUUAGAUUUUAAUUAGGAGUGUGCAAAUUUAGAGCAGACUAAUUUAUUUUUUCACCAACCCAAUUCAACUGCAGGGACGUUUUCGUAAAUAAAUUGCUGGGUCAUUAUAAAUAUUUAUUACGUGAUGUGUCUUACAUAUACAAGGAACGAUACUAUAUUUAUAUAGUUACAUAUUUAUUUACAUCAGAAACUUGCGAUGAUUUUUUGUAGGGUCAUUCAUAGAUUAAUUUAUCUGUGCAAAUUUUACACGCGAAAAUAAGGUCCCCAAAAGACAUUCCGAACCUUCUCCUCUAAACGGCAUCCCUGAUGUUUGUCACGUGUCUAAAACCAAACAAAUGAUCUGUUCGUGGAGCUAUUGGUAUGAAGUUAUUCAGAUGUGGUAUGCCCUGGACAAAUAUCCAAUUUGCCAAGAUGCCAAUCCUUCCACAUAUCCACCGUCUCUGUUUGUAGUAUAGGUGUAAAUCGAUGUAUAACAAUACUUUCAAGUUAUAUCCUUUAUUAUUGACGUAUAGACAUUAAAAUAUUCGUAAAUAUUAAUAACACGACAAUCCUAAAUGAUAAAACAUUUGUCCGUUCGGUCGAAAAUUUUUCCCGUUCCUUAAUCCCCGAGUCUAAUAUUUUGUUUUAAAUAUGUAUUGAAUUUUUAAUGGAUCUAAAUAUAUUAUACUACAGGUGUUAUUAUUUUGACUCAAAUAUCUUUGGCUUAUUUUUUAAACUUUCAUUGGAUAUUUCGACGAAAAAACAAAAAUAAGUAAACACGGCGCAUAAUAAAUAAUACAAUUUUCUAAAGAAAACAUACGUCCUCAUUUUGCAUGUUGAAAUUCAUAUCUUUAGUCCCAAGGAAAGAAAGCUUAAAUCAAUUUUAUUUUUGUCAUUUUUUUAUGUAAUUUUUUCCAUAUUUUUCCGUAAUUAGGUAUUCGAUAAUUUUCAAAAAUAUUUUAACGUUUUUUCCAUAAUUUCCGUCAAUUUUCCCGAUUUUAUUUGAAAUUUAAAAUUUAAAUUUGAAAUUGAUUUAAGUCUUUCUUCCUUGGAAUCUGCAAAGAUACACCAUCAACAUUUAAUUUAGUGGUUUAUUCAAUUUUUAAUGUAUGAUAAAUUUUAAUAUAGGUUUUAUAUUUUAUAUUAUAUUUUUAAUACGAAAUAAAAUAGUUUAUAAAGGAAUCGUACAGAGUACAUCGACGCACUAUUCUGUUAGGUGGAAACACGUGUAUCAUAGUAAUAGGGUUUGUGUUCACGAACCACAAUGUGUAUUCAACUCAUCGAGUACUCUAAAAUCGAGAAUGUUGGCAGUGUUUAAACCAUUGUUUAAAGAACAUUAAUCAGCACGAAAAUCAAAUAUUAUCGAACAAGUUUUAAUUUGGAUUAUGUAUUGAAUGUCAAGAAGUGUUUACGCCGUACAUAUUAAUAUCUCAUCUAUCGAGCGUUAACUAAAUAAUUCAUUUUAUAAAAUAAUAUGCUUAUCGGACGUAUUAAGAAUGCUAAUAUUAUUAUUAUUAUUAAUAGUAUUAUUGUUUCACCGAAUAAAUAAUUGCAUUAUACAUUUUUUUUAUCAGACGAUAUAUUUUAAUGCGAGUCGUCAUCUGUGCGUAUUAAAUAUAGUUGUGUAUAGAUAUUAUUAAACGAAUCGUAUAAUCAGAUAUGGAUUAGGGUGUUUUCGGAACGCCAGAACAGAAUAUUAUUGUUAUACAUCAUGACAUGUAGAUGGUUUUUAACAUUUAAAUGAAAAAAAAAAAAAAAACAAACGUUUAACAUUUGACGAAAAUCGAGGGAAAAAUAUCACAAUAUUAUUAUUCUUCUAACGCUGUAUAUUUACCUUCGCGGCUGCUUACCUCGAUUCUUAUGCACUCGGAUUUGUUCGGUUUCUUGUCCCGCGGCUCUUUGGGUUUUUUGUGCCGCGCGUGUGAUUUUUUCGCGGACAAUGGUGCGGUCGUGUUUUACAUAAAACUUGGGGGCAGCCGGGCCGGCGGUGUAACUGCUCGGCGUACGGUGUAAAACGACGACGCCGGUCUUUUAGCGGGGAUCGCGUUUGUAAAAUUCGAAUUGCGAAUAUAGAGAGAGCAAAACAAAAAAAAAAACAAAUCGACGAAAAGCGGCGCGUGCGUUUGACGGAACGUCUAAGUCGCGGGCGCCGUGCGUACGUACAGAAUGACAGGUGGUAGGAACGAGAAUAUUCGCGUAUGUCAUUGCCGAACGUUCGAGUCACCGGCGACGACGACGAUAAUAGUAUUAUUAUAGUGGUAGAGCCGUUGCGCCUACCUACCUAGAUAACAUAAUAAUACCGUCAAGGGCGUAAUACGUCUAUAAAUUAUUAUUUGCCAACGAUGUUGUCUAUGUAUAUAUUAUUAUACAUUUUAAAUAGUAAUUAUUAUUAUAUUGUAAUAGGUAUACGCGUAAACAUUAUGUAUAGAAACGGGACGAAUUUGAUUUUUAUCGUUUUCGACGAGUUUCCGCCGAACGUAUAAUACAAAGUGCCAUGGCGCCCGUGGGGUAAUUUUCAGACGAGGAACGAAAUGCAACGAAAUUCUCAAACCUAUUUAUAAAUCUAUAGAUACUUAUUUAUUGAAAAGUAAUGAGGGAAACAGGGUAUGCAAAUAUCCAAACAUAAGCUUUAAAAAAAACUGUCGAGUGUUGAAAUCAAGACAUUAUAAUAUUCUACUGUUUAUAGUUUACACUGUACAUUCGAGUAGAUUAUUGGAUUGCUUAAUGAUUCAAUUUUUUUUUGGAUACUUUUCUAGGAGGGGAUAUGUUCUUUUCUUGCCCCCCCCCCUAAUGGAGGCCCAUGUACAAAGGUGCUAUACAUACAGGGUCGAAUUAAGCUUAAUAAGUAUAUAAAAAUGUUCUUUUUAUAAGUUUUUGCCAGUCAAAGGUAAACACCUACUACCUAUAUACUGUUUAAUUCAAUAAUAUUUUGUUUUCAAUUAUUAAAAACUGUUAAAGCGUUCAGUGCUUGAUCUGAAAUUGUGAAUCGCGUGUAGUAUUUUCUUCUGGUGGAAUAAUGACGUGCAAUAUGCACAUUGUGCAUAUUACUUUGUAAUGUAUUUAGAACUGAAUUUUCAAAUGAAGAGUGUGAAACGUUUUAUUGAUUAUUAUAAUUUGUUCGUUGCAACUAAUUAUAAAUAGAUAUUUAUGUACCACGAGAUAUUUUACCUAUUCAAGUUAAAAAAAAAAAAAUUACCAUAUGAAUUUGUAUGAAAAAUAUUUCCUUAGCACUAAAGCACUUCCUUAGAUUUGAUUAGAGCCAUUCAUGUUUUGUUUCAUCACUCGUCAAAAAUAUGGAAAUUCGAUAUAAAAAUUACGGAAUAUUUUCGCAAAUCAAUUCAAAAUGUAAUUUAUAUGAAUAUUUUUUAAAUAUUAAAUUUAACGGUGUUAGUUCUGAUUAGAGUUCACAUCUUUUCGUGUCUAUAUGGAAAUACCACUAUAAUAAUAUUCUCUUCGUUAGGCAUUAUUAGGUACGUAUACAAAGAGAAAUUAAUUAGAAAUUAUCUAUAUGAUAUCACCUUGAACAUAUUUUCAUCGGUGUGCCCGCAGGUGGAACGAAAAAAGUAAUAUAUAUAUAUAUAUAUAUAUACAAUUGAAGUAAAUCGAUUUGGUGGUGAAAAUAAUUUUCUGUCGAUACAGCACUGUUUGUCAAUACGCUCGAGUCAUUGCACCCGCAAUAAUAAUAAUAUGUCGGCCACCGCUACAUUAUUAUACUCGCGAUGUUUAUAUGCGAGGUUUAAUAUUACAGUUUAAAAGCGUGUUUUACUUUAAAUACCCAAACCGUUAACCUAUAUAAUACUGUGUGUGUAGAUAUUUUAUCUACUGUUUACGAUAUAUAGUACUUGUAUUAUGUAUGUAUAUAUUAUAUAGUAGGACAUUGUUGUCGUGUAUUACAUCGCCGCCGGAGUCAGUGUGCAAUAUACAUUAUACGGGGGGGAAAAAAAAUAAAUGCAAACUACAGAAUGUAUAUUAUUAUUAUUAUUUGAAUAUCGAAUCUUCGGAUAUAUGCGUAUACGAGGCGUACCGCGGGAAGAAUGUCGCGCGGAGAUCUUUCCGCAGCGGAGCCCGCGACAGGAAGAACGGGAGAGAAAAAAAAAAGAGUAAAACCUCGUCGUCGUCGUCGGACUGACACGUUUGUAUAGGUCCGGGGAAACUAUAACAUGUAACGCACAUCGGCGCUGCACAUUUUAAUACGACCGAGGCACACGGGAUCCGUUUGUAAUAGGCGCGUGUCGAGAAUAAAAAAAAAAAAAAAAAAAAAAAAAAUGAAAAUGCAAAUAAAAUACGCGAAUGAUCGUCUAUUUGUUCCACUACUGGUACGAUGACGACGAUUCGAUAUCGCCGUUGAAAAACGUCAGACCCUUUUAAAUAAAACACGAUACCUCCAGAAAGCGCUCGCGCGCGCGCCCGCGUAUUCCGGUUCGGCCCACGCGGUCGCUUCUAUUCGUGUUGGCGGUGGUGGCCAGAGAGAUAUCCGUCGUGUAAAAAAAAAAAUAAAAAAACCGUCGUAUAUAAAUAUACGCAUAUAAAGAGUGACGACAAACUGCAGAGCGAGCGACAGAGACGGAGACGGCUGAGAGAAAGGCGAGGAAUAUAGGUUCCCUGUAUAGGAAGGAAAGGUGGAAGUAUAUAUAAUAUACAAUAAUAAUAAUAAUAAUAAUAAUAAUAAUAAUAUAGGUAGGUAUAUGGAAAAAAGGUCUCUGCGGGCUGGCGACGACGUGGCCAAUAAACAUGACACGGAGAUAUCAUCUGCGAAACGGGAAGCGGCACGAGAGAUAUUUGGAUUGCGUGCGCAUAUAAUAUACGCGCACACACACUCACACACACACACACACACACACACACACACACACACACACACAUACACAUGCAUACAGACACACAAUAAUAUUAUAUGCUUACAAACACAAAAACACACACACGGGCAUACGUACGUACGCAUCCGCCCGGGAGUUGUUACCCUGUAUAUUAUUAUUGUGAAAACAGUACAAAUUCAAUACAUCACAGUGUAUUUCACUCAUAGGUUACCGCGAUUUGUUCAUGCGUGGUUAUUAUGUAUACAUACUAUACAUACAGGAUGAUCGGCAUCUCGACGCGUCUUGUACUCGCGAAAAUUCUAUUCUACGCGAUAUUAUCGCACGUGUAUACGUCGUUGUCGUGUUUAUAAUAGUAUAAUAAUAAUACCCGCGGCGUAGGUACGAAUCGCUUCGACAGUGGGUGGGAACAAAAAAAAAAAAACUGUUUUUAUCUCUCUUUUGAAAUUAUACUCGUAUGUACUGCGCUUAUAUAAUUAAGAUACUUUGGCCAAUAGCGUUAAUGAACCCAAUGGUUAUCGGACGUUAAUAAUAUACGCGUAAUACUAUUAACAUUUUAAGAACAUAACAUACUAUGUAUAAUUUCAGUAAAAUCGAUAAUAAUAAUAUAACCAUGGCUGUAGUGAUUUAAAGUACUUAAUAUUAUCAAAAGAGUGCUUAAAAAUGUUUCAUAAUAAACCCUUGCAACUUAUUGAGUCUUAAAGAAUAAUAUUGAAAUUAGGACUAAAACAAAUUUUUAAAAAUCAAGAAAACCUGGCUUGGGUCUCUAGGUACAUCCAAUAAUAAUUCUGAUUUUACCAUCGUUCUUUUCAAUCGGUAAUAUACAUAUGUUUAAAAAAAAAAAAAAUUGAAAAAUUAGAUUUGUUUCACAUAAAUUUUUACUUUAACAAUUUUUGUCAAAAUUUGAUAUAAAAUUCCAUUGUAAAAAAAAAAUACCAGAUUAAACUCAUUUUUUUUUUCUGACUACAAGUACGAAUUUAAUGAAUUUCCUGUUAAAUUUUGAAGCAUUUCUGUUAAGUUUAACGAUUUUACCAUACAGUACCUAUCGAAUAAAAAUUACUUAUAAAACUCGCAAAAUUAAAAUGCCUAUAAACAGCCCAAAAAUGGCCUAAAUUUGUUGAAAAUUUCACCAUGACUGUGUGACAGACCAUGUGUGUGACAUAAUGCUUUAGAGGUCUUUUACUAUCAAUAAUAUAAAUACAAAUAGUUUCCCUUUAUUUUUCGGUCUAAACUACUUAAGUGUAUGCAUUUUAAAAAGUAGUGAUGUAUAUUGCAGUGUAUUAGUUUAUGAAUAAAUAUAUUUUGUCUGUUUUGAAUACCAUACAAAAUUAACUUAAGCCCUAUUUUCCUUGGACCAAAAAUUUUAUAUCUUUAAUAUUUUAUAUUCUAAAUAAUUUAUGUCCCAUAAUAUUAGUAGGAAAAUGUCUUCACUUUUAUAGUCGUAUAUGACUAUUCGGAUUCGGGGAGUCUCAAAGUAGGGGUUCCCUUUAAGAAAAUGGAAGUUUUAUCGUACGCAAACGCACCGCGAUGGUUUAAAUGUUUUUGUAAACUAACUCUAAAUAAUGCGUAUUUUAGUAUUCACUUCCGAUUGUCCGAAAAAAAAAACUCCAUUUCGAUUCAAGUGCGGCUGAAAUAUUUCGUGUUAACGUUCUAGAGAAACAUUCUGUAAUGUAUAUUAUAUUCAUAGAUUUAUAAAUGUAUGUACUAGAUUUACCCCGUAAAAAACUUGAGUAAGUACACAAUAUAAUACUGUAUAUUGUAUAUUAAACGCGUGGGCAACGACAGUAGUAUAAUAUGUGUCCUUUAUACGGACAAAACGUCGUCGUCCUCGUCGUUCGGAUCAUACCUUCUUUGCCCCAGGCCGACGACGUUAUCAUUAACACUGAUCAUCAAUUGUCGACGCGAAGAUCACAACUCGAUUUGGCCGGCUUGCGUUUAUGCGCGUGCGAGACAAACAGUUGGUGGCGUAAAAAAGAAGAAGAAAAAAUGUCUUGGUGAACCCUGUAGACUUUAUCGGUGGAAUGCCGUCGUAUAGGAAAUUUUUCCCGAACGUCCCGACCAUUCUUGCGUUUCGACCCGGGUAUGAAAACCGUAAUUCGCGUGAUUCAACGUGCGUGUCUCGAAGUAUGCAAAUUAUUAUAAUUAUUUUUAGUAGGUAUAGGAACUUACGGAUACAUGUUAAAAAUAAUUAGCUACCCUUAAUAGAAACAUAGAGCGACACGGUGAAACGAAAAUUAUAAUAUUUUAACUUGAUUUUUUAACAUUAAGGCGGUUGAAAACGAUCCGAUUUUUAUACAUUAGACCAAUAAGCAGUGGUGUAUUGGAGGGUAUACGAAUGUAUAUGGUGUAUACCCAAUACACUAUUUUUAUCCACGGAGUAUAGCUUAUGACAAAUUGAUGGUACGCGGGUAAACGGCCGUAUUUAUCGUAUAUUCUAUAUGGAAAUUAUAUAGAUACAUUUUAUAUGUUUAUACAAAUUAUUAUAAAAUAAAUUUUGGUGAGCACGAAUUGUAAUACAGGAUGUAACACGAAUAUUUAUUUUUUUUUUUUUUUUUAAGAAAAAGUAUUAUUUAAAAAUUAAGGUAUUGUUAUCAGUUUUUUUUAUCAAGCAUUCAUAAUCAAAUUAUCCGUAAAAUAAAUUUGAUGUUGAGAGGACUUUGGUCGACCGAAUUUCACUAUCAUUUAUCAUAGUAUUUAAUAUAAUUUUGUAUUCUUAUUGUUAUAACUCGUUGAGUGAUGAAUGAUGAUAUUUUCAUACUUAAUAUUUUACUAAUAUAUUUCGUACAUUUUCUUGUUUUUCCUCGUUUUUUUCGGUUUUUCAUAUUUGAUGAGAAAAAUUCCGAGAACGCCGAAAAAUUAUCUCCUUAGAGUACCUCCCCAGUCCGAUUUCUUUUCAGGAAAAAUACUAUCCAUUGUGAAUCAAAGUAAGAUUUCUGGUAGAAAAUGUAUGCAUAGGUAAAAUGUUUGUAAAACCAUAAGUUUUUUCACUCCAUUCAAAAUUUAAGAGUUACUGUUCGAGCGAAGCGAGAAAAAUUUUUUUGGACUCUACCUUUAGAUCUCCGUAUAUCUCUAUAUACGUGAAUAAGGCGUAUAUCUAUGGUUUAUUUGAGUAAUACACCACUGAUAUUACCCAAUAAGAUGGGGUAAAAUAAACAUACUUCUAUAGUAAUCUAAUUUUUGUUUUGAAAAAUGAUUUGACAUUGUAUUCUUCUUUUAUACUCCCUAAGUACGAGUUUAUAUCAAGAAAAAUUUAAACUCUAAUUAACCCUUUCAUUAUCACUGUUCAUUUUAAUCGCCAGAAAUAUCAUAUCAUUAAGGUGGAUAUUAAAAGAUAACAAAUAAUUUUUAAUUUUUACGAAAUUAGAGACAAUUUGGAAAACUGAUUCCAACUUCUUCAAAUUUAUACUUUAACACGUUAUACUUACUUAUAGCUUUUGAUUAAAUUAACUACAGGUUUCAUUUUUAAAUUCAGAAUACAGCUAUAUUUUUUGCUUAGAUUUUUAUUUUUUUCGGUUAAAAAAAAUAUUUGAACUUAUUUUUUUCAAUUGUUUGCAUCGUACCUUCAAAUAUGCGGAUUGCCUGCGGUGGUAGUACUUUAUUUGAACGAUUUUUCUUGAGUCCUAUCAGUUUUUCUUAAAAGUUUUAAAGAAAUGACGAUAUAUCGGUUAAGUAUUGGAUACUUACUACUCUAUACUAAAAUUAUUUCAUAAUUAUUUUAUAUAUAUACCAUUCAAGUUCUUACAAGAAUAACCUAUAACAGUGGUCUACCCAUAUGGUGCGAUGCAUAUGCGGCUUUUUUGGUAUUUUUUGGUUUAACGAUUAGGUUUAAAAUGUUUAAAUUGUAAAUGCGUUAAUACUAGUAUACCUAUUUUAUAUUAACGUUAGGUUCAAUAAAUUAAACCAGUUAUGGACUUCAAAAGGAUUUGGCGGUAAUCCUUUAAAUAGUUUGUUCAACUUGAAUUAACAGUGAUGGAUUAUAAUAUAUAUCCGAGUUUCUAUUAGUUAUAUAUAUCUAAUUUUGUCCGAUUUUAUUAUGGUCGAGAAUUAAUACGUAUUUUUAUUGUAUAUACGAGAAUAAAUCUUUUAAUGCAGUAUAUAUUAUAUCCGGUCGAAUAAUAUUUAAUGUGUGUAAUAAUAUAAGAAUCUUUUUAUUAAAUUACAUUUUUCUUUAAAGUGAUAUUAUAUGUACACCUACAUACCAAUUAACACAAUUUUCGUGUUCCACUCGAGUAUAUUACCUAUAUAGACUUUAGAAUAUCAGUUAAAGGUUUUUUUUAUGCUAGACGUGAAGCCAUAAACUGCAGCGAUUGUUAAAAUGGUACGAGUAUAAUUAAAAUACUAUAAUAUUUAAAAAAGUUACUAUAUAUACCUAUAAUAUUUAUAUGUUUUAUAACGUGUUGGUGAUGGUUUAAAUUUUACGAAAAUAAAAUAAACAUAAUAAAAAAUAUAAAAAAUAUUUGUAUUAUUCAAAAUUUUACCAAGAUUUUAAUUAUGACAAUUAAGACAUUAAUGAAUUAAAAAGUUUUUAACUAAUUCAAUUAAUUUUAAUUUUUAAUUAUUUUUAACCUUUCAUCAUUUAUUAACUUAUUUUAUAUUGUGAGCGCAGUUUGUAAUAUAUUGCUUUUACAAUGUGAGUGUAUUUUUUAUUAUGUUAACAACUUUUCUAUUAGAAAUAUUGCUUCGAAUUUCAAGUGCAGUAUCUUUUCUGAAAUAACCAUUUUUUGUUUAGUGCAUUAUUCUAAUUUUUCUUGUAGUUUUCUUAAUAAUUUGAAAAACCUAUAGGAUAAACUGGAAAGUUAACCGAUAUAACGGUUUAUUUAUUUUUCGAUUUAUUUUUUUUUUGUUUUAUUGUAAUUUGGUAAAAAUAAUUAUAGUGACAUGUUCUUAGAAUAUUAUAUUGCCAUUUUAUAGACGUGAUUAAAUUUUCAAAACAUUCUGAUGAAUUUUAAGUUAUUUUUAGGCAAUUUUAUAUUCUUGAGUUCUUUUAGUUAUUAUUUUGUUCUAUGAAUAAAAUUAAUUUUGAGGCCAGCAGAAAUGCUUUUAAAUUUUACACGAAAUUCAUCAAAAGUUGUACCUAUUGUUGUCGUUUUAUUUUUAUAAACAUUUUAAUUUUAUAUUUUAACGAAAAUUAUAAAAUUAUGGCUUUUUAAACACAGGUCGUUCAUAGGGACCUUAGUACAAAAAUUAAUAUCAAUUGAACUUCUUGUUAAGAACUUAAUAUUUUUAGUUGCAAAUUUUGACAGUUGGUAAACAAGCACGAACACAAGACCCUUAAUCAUUUUCACUGAGAAAAUAAUAAUUUUACCAAAAAUAAUAACAAAUUAAACUUAAUAUAAAUUAAAUACAUUUUAAAACUAACUUUAAAUAACUUAGUUUAUUAAUAAAAUUAAUUAAUUCGUUAAAUUUUUUCAAACUUGACUGAAAUAUUAAUAUGUAUUACUUUGAAUAGUCUUGAUAACAAUAGAUAAAUGUAAAAAAAAAAUAUAUAUAUAUUAUACUUUUUAAUUGGUAAUUUCUUUACCUAUUGAAAUAUAUAUAAUAAACUUUUAGUGUUUUUCAUAGACAUUUUUACAGUAUAUUCCAUUGGUUAUAGUUUUAUUUUCUUAAACCUUUUUUUUAAAAUGUAUACACUUAUUGUCUAAGAUGUAAUUACACUAUUCUAUCAAUUACUUUUUUUCACUUAAUUGUGAAAAUAUUUUUGUCGAAUAAUAAAACGGAAUUAUAAAGGAAUACUAUAAUUUAAACAUUAAACGUGAGACAAUUGUUGUAAUGUGAUUGCAUAACAUGUUUAACUUGUGGGAAGUAUACAUAAAUGUAUAUAUAUUAUAUUAUAAGUAGGUAUCAAGAAUAAACCUAAAUCAGUAAUACAAACCGAGACCAUAGAUCAAAAGUGUAAAACUAUUUAAUAUUAUUAUUUCAAUUCAAAGUUCUAUAAAUUGUAUAAAAUGGAAUUGCGUUGGUGAUAAACGUGGGUGUUUUUAUGGCUUCACUUUAUUGUAAUACGUUUGUUUACUUGUAUCAUUUUUAAACAACAGAAUAAAAUAUUAUGUGUAGUGUGUACAUCGCUAGAAGUUUGAAAUAGUAGAUAUACAGUGUGAUCAUUUAUAUAGGUAAUAUACAGGUAUAUUUUGGCUCGAUUACCUUGGAUUGAAGAAAGGAGGGAGGAUUUGCAAGAUCAGAGAUUCCAAAAUAUAUAUUCUGAGCUUAUUUUAAAAAUUUUAAUUCUUGUGCAAUAAAACUUAAAUUUUCCUAAAAUAAAACACCUAUUUUAAAUAUCAGAUUCGAAUAGUAUCCUAACUUGGAAAUUGCUUGAGAUAUACACUAUACAGCCAUACAAAAUGUAUUAAAUAAAUAUGAUUUAAAAAAAAAAAAAAAAUAUAGCAUUAUAAUUUUACAGGCAGUUUAUAAAAUUAUAAGUUGUCUUUUUAUGGGUUAAUUUUUUUUCGUGGACAACGAAGAUUUCAUUUUCCGUGUUAUAAUAUAGGUACUAGGUAGUGUUGGUAACGAGUGUAGCUAAAAAAAAAAAAAAAUAAAUAAAUAAAUACAGUGACUUGUACUUAUUUACUAUAGACAUUGAAAUGAAAAUAACGAAAUAAUAAUUUUAGAGCACAAGACAUGUUCGCAUUAUAACAGAAACCACGUUAAUUUUUUGGCUCCCACAGUGUUACCGUCAUGAUAGAUAACAUGCAAUUAAGUAAUAUUUUAAAAUAUAAUAUAUUACUCGUAGUAUUUUUUCGGCAAACUAAUAUUUUUGGCUAAAACUAUUAUUUAUAUAAAAUACACUAUCGACUCCAUUUAUAUUAAAUAUGGCCUUACAAUAGGUACAGAUAUCUGUAAUAAAUUGGUUAGAUAUUAUCUAAAAAAUGAGUUAUUUUAUUAUUUGUUGUAACUUACGGGACGAUAAAAAUGAAUUUUGUAUCUGUACAAUUUAGACGAAUAUAUGUUAGAGUGUAUGUUUUAAAAUUUCGAUAUUUUAUUAAAUUAUAUAGUAUUGUAUUGAAUAGAUACUCAUAUAUUAAUAUUAUAGACCGAUUUGAUUUAUACGAAUGCUAUUUAAUAAUUAUAAAUAAUUUUUACUGUAAAUUUACACAUAUUUCGUUAAACGAAUACAGCUAUACAAAUUCCAAAUAUUUAUUUCAUGAUUUGUAUGAAUGUAAAUGUUCGUUAACGGAAAUGAUUUAAAUUGUUAAAUUUAAUUUGACUUGUUAAGAUUAAUUGUUACAAAAUUGUUUGACUAAACAGAAAUGCUUGAAAAUUUAAUAGGAGGUUCAUUAUGUUACAAAAUUUUAUCUUAGUGGUAAAAAAAAAGUUGAGUGUAAUGUAGUAUUUACCGAACUUCGUUUUGAAUCGUUUUUCGUUAGCAGUGCACGUUUAUCGUUGUCCAAAGAUAUAAUUUACAUAACUUUUUGUAUCCAAUCGUCUCAACUUCCCAUCUACAAAAGUGGCAUACCCGUUUCCAGUAUCAGAUUUUUUUUAUCUUCAUAGAUUUAAUUAUGCAUUUGUUUUAACCUUUUUAUGAAUUUAGACAUACUUAUUUAAGUUUUUUUUAUCUGUAAAUUAUAAAUCAUAAAUUUAAAAAAAUUAAAUAUAGUCAUCGUAGUUUAUAUACCGUGUAAAAUUAAUAAUGUGAGUAAGUACGUACUAUGGAUGUUAGUUCUGAUCGUUUUAGACGUGUUUACCCUUAAAAUAUCUCUUCUAACACGAAUUUAAUAUUUUAAUAAUACUUUAUUAAAUCAUUAAACACCUAUAUUACUUUUUUACACGGGAAAUCAGUUGGAAAGUCCUUGAGGCCAAGUAAUGCCGAAUAUGAAUCUAUAUAAUUAUUAUAUUUCUAACACAUUUAAAACACCAUUAAAAUAUAUAAUACGCUAGUGUAACAUCGAUUUAAAAUAACAACCAUUGCAGAUUUAGAUCAUGAAAACAUAAUAUUUAUUUACUGUACGUAUAUGAACUUAUUAUAAAGCAUGAGAAUUUGUUUUAUCUACGCUAUUUUUUUUGUCUAAUCAUUCAGUGGUCCACUUUUUUAUACAUAAUAUAGUACCUGCCUAUCUCUAAUGGUAUUAUAAAUAAAUUUAUUAUUAAAAUUCAUUAUUCAAUUAUUAGAAAUCUUCUUACAAUCCCGUAUAUUAAAUUUUAUCAGUAAAAAAAAAGAAAAAAAAAAGGAAGGACAUUGUAUAUUUUUCGUGCGUUAUUUUACCACAAAAUAUUAUCGUCAUGGAUUAUCAUACAGGUAAUAAACUAUAAAUAAUUGCAAACCGUGCAGAAUAGGUUAUAACUUAUAAUAAGUAUUAUACCUACUAUAAAUCAACCUUAAAAUAUCUAUAUAUUAAUCUUUUUUGAAUUGAAAAUAAUAAUAUACGAUAGAAAAACUAUCCUAAUAAAACACACCUAUAUCCUGCAAGUGAUCUAAUCAAUGUGUGUUUGCUUAUUUCAUUGUUUGACACGACUCUUAUACUUUUAAUUCACAUGUAAAUAAUAUUUAUUUGAUUAGUAGUUUUCACAAUAAGGAAGAUAGUAGUGUAUGAUGGAAUACCUGAUAUAAAACUAAUUUUUUUUAUAAUAAUAUAAUUAUGUAUAUGUAAUUAUUUAUCAAAAUUAGUUGAUUAAUUUGUUUUCAACGUUAUUUAAUAUUAUUUUUAACAUUUUUGGUUUUCUCAUUUCGUCUUCACAUCAAGGUAAAAGAGAUCAUGUUAUAUAUAUUUAAGACUGGUCAGAUAUUAUUAUAAUAUAAUACAUAUCCGACGGUCUAUAGAUUCAAUGUAUUUAUUUUGCAUUUGGUUGAUAAAUCCCCAAAAAAUUAUAAUAAUUUGUGACUAAUAUAAAUUCAAGAGAGGAAAAAUGAACGGGUUGUAUAAUAGAUAUGUAUUAUUUUUUUACUAAUAACAUAAUAUGUUAUUAUUUACUCUUAAAACGAUAAUAUGUAAUACUUAUUGAACACUAUAAUAAAUAGCUAGGUAGGUAUCUACUUAACUCCAUAACAGAUUUAUACGUAUACUUAUAUACGUACAUAAUUGAAAUACUAUAUUAUAUUAUCGGUAUACAUAAUCGUCUAUACCUAUAUGGAUAACGCAGGCCAUUUGUUUCUUAAGAACUAAUUUGAAAAAAAAAAUUGUUCGCGUAUUUAUAAAUUAAAUUUCAUAAACGUGUUAUAAUAAUAAUAUACAAUAUUUUUCUCAAAUUAUCCGCGUAUACCUACAUAAUAAUAUUAUUAUAUAGUUAUAUAGGUAUUUGGAUGUAAUUGGGAAAUCAUUAAUCACCGUUCAAUAAAUAUAAUAUACCUGUAAGUACAUAAUAUAUAGGUAUUCAAAUUAACAAGACUGAUUUUUUUGUUUACAUUUUUUGUGAUUAAUCAUGUGAUUCAUUUCAGUUGGCUAACCGUGGGAAAAUCACUUACACAUGCGAUUUUCUGGUUUGAAUUUAUGAUGUAUAUUAUAUAGCUAUAUGGUAUUUAUACGUUCAUUAUAAUUGAGUAUGAUUUUUUUAAUUUAAAUUUGUAAAUUACUUCAAAAGGUAUACUCUUAUAGUUUAUAUAUCUAUUGGAUACACCAGUGGUGGAUCCAAGGGGAGCAAUUGGAGCACCCUACACUAAAUUAUUCACUACAUUUAAGCACAGACGAUUUUUUGCAAAUAAACAAAAGCGUCGUUUCGAAUUCAUUUGAUACAAUUAAUAUUGAUUUAUAGUAUUUAUAUACUUAGUUUUAAUACUUGUGUUUAGUUUAUACGUAUACGAUUUAUUUAUGCAUCAAUACGUACUGUAUAUAGAUUAUUUUGAUAUAAUUAUUAAAAAAUAAAAUUCGUUUAUCAGGUUCCAUUGUAGUAAAUUGUUUCCUCCACCUCUCGCUAAAAAAAUCAAGUUCUGGAUCUACCCCUGGGUAAGUCACACUUAUUAUUAAUAAGUUUUCCAUUUGUUGUAUUUGUUAUAUUUAUGUAUAUUGUAUAGGCGGUCUGUUAUAUAGUCUGGAUUUUUAAUACUGACAAUUUUUAGACAAAAAUUGACUUCUAAUUGGUAUAUUAAAAUAUUAUUUUAUCGAUCUAUUUUUACUAUAGAUUUGGAGUGAUAUCAAUUUAUCAUUUAUUUAUUUGUAUUAUUUUGUUUUUCCGUUUCUGGUUCAUUUAAUUUUUCACCGUAUACAGUAUUUAAUAUUAACACAGUAGGACAAUAUACAUAAUAUAGUUUUCCGAGUAGUAAAAAAACUGCUCACGUGAAAUUCAAAUAACCAUCGUGCGUCUGUAUAUAUUAUACUCACAUGUAAAAUACCAAAUUCUUGUGUGAAACAAAAAACGUACAUAAUAAUAAUAUGCGUUAUAUUACUCAUAAAUAACGACGACCUUUAUGUAUAAUACGGUAACUAAUUUUCGAAAUAAAUUACGUUAAGUAGGUUUGUUGUGACGUUAAUAAUAUAUACACAAUCCCACAAAAGCCAUCAUUGUUUCGCGUGUUUAAUGUAUUUACGUCCACUUAUAUUAGGCAGGUACGCGUUUACUGUUGUACUAUAUGGGCACAAUACCAAUUAACAAUAUAAAACGAAGUUGUUUCUAAAAUCCUUACAUAUGUACACACAGAAUACACUCAUAAAUCAUGUCAUAGCUAUCAGGGCUCGUAACUUGUAUAUCGUUUGCAUAUUUGUUUUGAUAGGUCCAGUAGAGACACCUAAGUAUUACAAUUAUUAUAACAAUAAACUAUACAUUGUUUUUUUACAUAAGUAAAAUUCGAAUAUUUUCGUUGCAUAUUCUUAAAUUUGUAUGCUAUUCCGUUGUACUUGUUUGGCGUAUUUUAACAUUUUUAGUGCAUAUUUUAGCGCUUAUUAUUUGAAGUCUUUUUUUUUUUUCGGAGUCUACGAAAAUUACGAUUUUAUCUAAUAAAAUCUAACCCAACUUAAUAUAAGAAGUAUACCGCGUAAUCAAAUAAUUUUUUUUUAAAUUGUUAUCAUCAUUUUUUUUUUAAACGCUAUACUGUGUAAUAUACGCGUUUUAACUAUAUUUUAUAACAUAUAAUAUAACUUCUCAUUUGGGAAAAAGUCGUAAAUUAUUAAAAACAAUGACUGCGUAUAAUAAAAAUGAGUAUGUAUAGGAAAAUGCGUUUAGUGAUGGAUACUUCCCAAUAGUUUGUAAUAUCAAUAGUUUUCUAUAGUUUGGAUGAAUUAUCGCAUGUUUCAUUCGAAUAUUUUUUUCCGUUACCGAACAAUAAACACUCAGAACAAUCAUUAAUCGAAUAGUUCGUAUGCGAUUAACUGACGAACAGUUUGGUGUGUAGCAACUAUUCAGUUGUGUCCAUCACUAUGGUAUAUUUUUAAUUUCGACAAGAAUAAUAUUGUAUUCACGUCGUCGAUAUAGACGUUGAUAAUAUAAUAAUAUAACGUGAAAAAAAAAUGACCACCCAGUUAAUACAUCGGCUUUCAAAUGUAAUAAUAUUAGGUUUUUUUUUUUCUUAAUAAACAUGUAUAACGUUAUUAAUAAUCGUGUAUUCGGUAAUUUGUCUGUAUACAAAAAUUUCGGACACGAUAAUAUUAUUUGGAUAUCCGGUCGAAAGAUUGUUGGUACGUUAUUAGUUAUUUAUUAUUAUUAUAAUAUUAUGAAUAUAUUUAUAUACGUUUAUAGUAUUAUAGCCCAUGGCCGGGUGGGAGUUGCCGGAGUUUUGUCCGAGACUAUGGCUGUAUCCAGAGCCGGUAAUUAAUAUUAAUACAAAUUAUACAUAUAUAUAUACAUAUUUUGUCAUUAUCUGAUAAGUGAAUGGAAACGCGUACCUAUAUGUAUAGUAUAUCUGUAAUAGGUACCGGGGGGAAAACAAACAAACAAAACUCCUCUCGCAUUGAUAUCAUCUCACUCGAUUUUGCCGUUUUGUUUUACGACUCGGGCACACCUCUUCCACGUUCUGCGUGCGUUGCUCGAAAUGUAUCGAGUCCGCCCAAACACGUAGUACACGCUGGCCAUCGAAAAAAUAACGUUUAUUAUUAUUAUUGUUGUUGCUAUUAUUAUUAUUAUUAAAAUAACGAUGACGAAAUUAUUGUAUUAAACCUACUCGAUUUUUUUUUCCACAUUGAUAAUAAUAUAUAUUACCGCCGUCGCCGUCGCCGUACAAUCUAAUAUAGAGAUUUUAAUUUUUUUUUUUUUAUUAUUAUUAUUUGUUUGUUUUAUAUAAUUUGAGAUCGCGUGUAUGUAUAAUCGUUUAAUACGUCGAUUCGGGCAGGGGCCGCACGCGCGUUGUACACAGAGUAUAUUAUAAUGUUACUAUUAUUAUUAUAUUAAAUCGAUGAUGGCGGUCGAAUUCAAUUUGAUUGGAAAAAAUUACUACGAGACCAUAAUAUUAUUAUUUUACUAUAAUAUUUCGAAGCGUUCGGCGGUGUUCGCGCGCUGUGAACAUAAGACGAUAGUAAACGCCGAAACCAACUAUAUGUACAUAUUAUAUUUAUAAUUAUUAUACAGAGCGAUCAAUUUAUCGCGACUUUCUCGGACGAUUGAUAAUUUCGAGCAAAUUUUAUUGCUGUUUUUCCUCCUUAAUUGUUGUACGGAAUGUUUGAGUUUUAUUUAAGCAUUAUUUUCAAUCCCUAUUCUUUAUAAUAUCUCUUAAAUUAGUAUUAACUUUUGAUUUUAAAAUGGAAACCACUUCCCCUACCCCAAUUAUUUCAAUACAGUUACAAAAAAUUAAUUUGUUUCUACAAAUUUUGCAUAAGACGAGUAUCGAAUUAACCGUUUAUAAGUUGUAAAAUAACUCGAGUCAGCUAUUAUAUAUGCAUUUUUCUGUUUUUAAAUUGGUUGUUCAAAAUAAUAGCUAGUUUAAAUCGAAAUAUGGCUUAAUGAUUCUAUUGUUCAUAGAAUUUUACAUAAAUUAUGCGGUCUUUUGGAUUUUGUAUACAUAUUUUUUUUUUGAUUGUAAUUUAAAAAUCAAAAUAUGAUUAGGAAUAUGAAUAUGAGUAUUAGGGGCAAUUUGAAACUAACGUUAAAACAAUUUAAACUAUUUGGAAAGUUGAUGUGCGGUUUAAAGAUAAAGUUAAAAUUUUGAGAAUACUGGUACAAAUCAAAAUUUUCUUAGGUAUAUAAUCGUGGAACGUGAUCAAAAAAUCACCCUGUAUAUCGCCACAUAAUAUAUUAAAGCUACAUUUUACUCUUAUAUAUAUGAAUAUAAAUAACGAAACAGUUCGUCAAUUAAUCGAAUAAUUAAAAGCGAAAAUACGAUUUCUCAUUUUGUAAUUGGCCCCGAGUUUAAUAAUUAUAAUCGGCGUGUACCGAUGUAGUAUAACGUAAUAAUUAUUGUUUCAAUUAUUCGAUAUUGGUGGUACCUACGUGAUUAUAUUAAAACAGACCCCCGUGUAAUAAUUUUUAAUGAUAUUCAGAAAAAAAAAUAUAUAGGUAUAUACAAUUUAUCUUCGACUAUGAGUAUAGUAUCGUGUCUAUAUAUACUCGUGUCUUAUUUUAUUAUUGGACCUGCAGCAGCGCCUCAACAAGUGUACCCGCUGUUAACAGAUUAAAAGAGAAAUAUUUAUAAACGUCAUAAAUUAUGUGACAACAAAUCACCUUUUUUUUUAAAUUUUUUAAUAAAGCAAUUUUGUGCGUUCAAAAGUAUACUUUUAAAUGCUAUCCGAUAAUUUGAAUAAUAAUAUACUAUGAGAAACGAAACGUAUUUUAUAUGAGGUUUUUUUUUUUAAUAUAAAAUUGUCUACCUAUUGGUUAUUUGAGUACGAGUAUAAUACAAUAUACUUGUUUACGAUGUUAAUUUCAUUAUUUUGGUGUAAUAUUUUAUUUUGAAAAAAAAAAUAAUAAAAUAAAGAUUUAGGUGUGUACUUAUAUAUAUGAUAAUUCAUAUUUUAAUUUCAACUUGAAUAACCCCGAAUAGCGUGAUAAUUUUCUGGUGAGAAGCUACAUAGCUAUAGCCCUAACAAAAUCGUUUACAUACAUACACAUGUUCAUGGGUGCCACGGACCCCACAUCCUUUUAAAGGAUUGGGUUAUUGAGAGACAAACACAAGAGGGGGUUUUCGGAGUCCAACCCUCCCCGAAGUAUAAAUACUACUACAAUAAUAUAUGGUUUGUAUAUUAAAAAUAAAAAUCAAUUUUACUACCUAUUAAUUUACAGCGAUACAAAGAUAAUAUCUGUUUUAUAUUUUUACGGACCUCAUAAAAAAGACGCCCCUCAAUACUGAACAAUUAUUUUUUUAUCACCGAUAUAAAAUAAGCCUUUGAUAUACUAGGAUAAAGAAGGAGAAAACCUUUUGUUGCAUGGUAAUUUUUCAAAGGACCUAUAGACAAUUGUGGGGAAGUUAUAGUAUCUUUAACACAUUUAUCAGUAUUUUUAAUGUUAACCUAUUAGGUUUUCAUAAUUAUAUUUUAUUAUAAGUAUCGAAAUUAAUAUGAACGAAAAUAAAAUAAAAACUAAAUCUAUUUUUAUAUAGUUUAAAGAAAACGAGGAUAAAUUUAUUGAAAACUUAGUACCUAAUUAUUUAUUAUUAUUUAUAUAAAAACACGCGUUCACGAAUUGUAUUUAUCAUUGGAGUUUGAAAUAUAGUUGCUGCUUAAAUUAUUUAAAUAAUUAUAUUUAUUUUUGGUUUUGUCAAAUUUUCCAUAAUUUUGAAAAAUAUAUCAUUUAAUGUCUACCAUACUGUUUUAAUAUUAGAUUUGUCGUAUUUCUGAAGAACAAAAUUUAGUCCUCUCCCCAUUUCAGAUUUUUGAUUUAUGCCUAUAUGAAUUGCAAUUAAUUCGCGGUUGUUGAAUACGUCAUAAGUCAUAAGUCAUAAGUCAUAAAUUAUAUUUUACGCUGCACGAGUAAUCUAGAAACAUAUCUAUAUUCGUACACAUUAUAUUUUAUUUGAUCUUUGAGAAUUUGAAAACAAAUUAAUAGAGUAUAGUGAGUUAAACGUGACCCUGUAUAUGACCGAAGGGUCAAAGGUGUUUCAAAAUUAUUCAUUUUUUACUUUAUAACAUACUUUUACUAUAACCAGUAUUCGCGGUAUAGAGUUCGUUAAAAAUGGAAACCGCGUUGUAAAAAAAAAAAAAUAAUAAACGUAAUCGAACGCUGCGAGUAAAAGUUGAUCGAGAACAGUUAAUUUAUCGUUCAAUUUAAUCAUACAUCGGUAUAUUACUCUGGUUUUAAUAAUUUUGCUCGUUAUUGAAACAAAAACUGGCGUACUGAAACGAAAUAAAUAUGUAUACCGACUUAUAUAAAAUAAUAUGUGAGAAAUAAUUUUACGUGUAGAACGCCUUUGGCUGAAUAUUUCUGUUAUAUGAUAAUAAUAAUUUCUUACGUCAUCAUAAAAUAUUAUUAUGGUGCGUUUAUUAUUUAUCUCAGACAAUGGACAAACAAUUAAUAAUUUAUUUUCAUAUCGAUAUUAUUUGUAUGGUCCAUUAUUUUUAACGAACGCUUUAGUACCUGUCUUAUUUUUAUAUAUCAUUUCUUUAACGUGUUUUUCGGUAAAAACUAUUUUCCUCUUUUCGUAUUCGAUCGAAAUCUAUAAAUGUGGUACCAUUUUAAAGAUAAGUUUCCAGCAUUUGACAAAUCAUUUAUUCACAUCUUCACAUGGGUUCAUCUUUACUAAGGUUAUAAUUGCACACUGUUUUUAGGUUGGAUUUACGUCAUGACACAACAAGAUAUGCUGCGAUUUUUACGAUAUUUUUAUAAGAAAAAACUUAUGACGUUAAAUUUUCGAACAUUUUAGUUGGCCCAAACAAAUCUCGUUCACAUAAAACCAAUUACAAAACUAGAAUUUUUCAAACACCUAUAAAUAACUCGAGAAUUAUUAGAAUGUUUUGAAAAGGGUCCACGUCUAUAAACGAUUAAUUAGUCACACUUUACGAAAAUGUCAAGAUUCUACGAUUGUUUUUAACUGAAUGAAAACAAAAAAAAACAUUGAAAAAAGCAUACAUAUGUUUGCUGUCAUAGUAUGUAUGUACGCUACGCUGUUAAUCUAAAAUAAAAAACAUAAUCGGAAUAAUGAAACGGUUUUUCACUAUAGUAAAUAUCUAUAUUAUUGAACAGCGGUUGAAUUUUUCGGAUUUUCUGUAUAAUAUUGAAACGUCUGACAUUUGUGUACGUCUUAUUUUUGACGAUUUUAUAUGCUCAAAAAAAAUUAACGCUCCAUCUAGAGAAAUGAAAGUUAUCGAUUUAAAAAUAAUUUUCACUACUAAUACCCGAAGAUUAUUAUUGUUAUUAUUAUUUUUUUUGAAUAUUAAAUUAGGUAUGAAAUAAAUAUAAUAUAAUAUUAAAAUAUCGUAUAGGCUAAUUGAAAGCACCACGCUGGGAAUUCGUAUGCGGUCAACGUAUAUAAUAUAAUAUUAUUAUAAUAUUUUAUACGCAUUUUUAUAUAAAUGCGACAUCCCGUUAUAGUCAAUGGAUUGAAUUAUAAUUUAUAAUCGACUUUGCCAUUCAUAACCGUGUUCGCGUACAGAUAUUAUUAUACAGAAAUAAUAUAUUAUACACUUGGGUACCGAGGAUACAAUAAUAUGAUUUAAUCUAGGAUAAUAUAAUAUUACAGUUAUGAAUUAUUGUUUUGCGAAUUGCAGAGAUUAUCUGGUACUAAUUGUCGGCCUAAUUUCCAAUUGUAGUUACCCUCAAAAAAUUGACAUUUCGCGUCUAUGAUAUUUUUAGUUAAAACAACCGAUAACGUAAGUUUUAAAAGUACGAUGCUUACUCCUGUAUUAUAAUAUAUUUUUAAACUUUGGUAUAUAUAUAUAUUUCAUAAAAAUCCAACAAAAUUGUCAUGUCGAUAAAAAAGUCUUAUCUCCAUCGGAUCGCCGUAUAAAAUAUUGUCAUUUUAAAGUUCGCUCGUCUUUUGCGAUAAAAAAGUUUUUUGCUUUUCCUGAACAGUCGCUAUUUUAGAGUUAUAGGACAACUAUCGAAAAUCAGCGAUGGUGUGGAUAGUGAAAACCCGCGGGAAAUAUAAAAUAAUAUCAUAAUAUUAUGUGAAAUGCGCUUAUGACGUAUAAUAGGGAUUUGUUUCAUACGAUAUUACCUAAAUAUUCGUGCUAUAUAUAAUAAUAUAAGUACCUAUAUACACCGGGAAGACUGGUUUCUUGCGUGGGUUUACACAACGGGUGAAAUAAAAAUAAGUCGGAAAAGGUACGGUAAAAAAAAAAAUAAAAAAAAAAAAAAAAUGGAAAAAAAUAUAAAUACGGCUACCAGAAUAUAUAAUAUUGUAAUAUGACUAAUGACCACUAUUAAAACAUCGGUGGUAUAAUAUACGCUCUACUACCACCACUACUACUACCACUAUUACUACUACUACUACUACUACUACUACUACUACUACUACUACUACUACUACUACUAUGACUACUACUACUACUACUACUAUUACUACUACUACUACUAUUACUACUACGUCAUUAAUGCUUAAUUUAAUGGCACCGAAUAAAUCAGAGACGGAUUUACAUAUAUACGCGCACACGACACGCGGGUAUUAUCCGUGUACAAAUUGCUCUAGUACACACUCUAUAAUAAUAUUAUAAAUAUACACACACUAUACAUACGUUAUAAUAUAUAUUAAUAUGGCGUGCUGAGGCUAAAAAAAAAAAAAAAAAAAUAUUUUCGGGCGUAUGUGUGGCGCGGUGACCGACGGACGUACCGACGGAAUCAGUCGACUGUAUCGAAUCGUAUUCUCGUUCGGCUAAGGUUUAUUAUAUUAUAAUAUAUACCUAAUAAUAAUGAUAAUAAUAAUAUAUUCAAUCGCGGUUGGCAACGCGGAGGAACUAUUACCUAUAUAUAUAUAUAUAUAUAUAUAUAUAUAUGUAUACAAAUAUAUAAAAUACCCACGUAUAAUAUGAUAUUUUAUUAAUAUGGGGAAAAUAUCGUGGGGAACUUUGUUGUUGGUCCGAUUUUGAAACGUAUAUAUAUAUAAAAAAAAAAAAAAAAAUAAAACAUUAUUCUUCACGUAUCAUAUUUUUGUGUACGGGUUUCGUCAUUAUACCAUCGUCGUGACGAUCGAUCAUUGUCGUUAAAAUAUUUAGUACAUUUGUGUAUCAUAAUAUUAUACGCAUCUCGUGGACCACUCUAUUUUUCAAGCGCUUUUUUGUCGAAUUUUUUCAAAAAUCGAGACUAUUGCACUGUAUGACGUGUUUCUGUUAUAUCUUAUAUAUUUGUUUUCUGGUUACUUUUGAGUACUUUUAGCGGUUCUCUAUAGACCAAAUUAACUAAGCGUUUACCUAAACACAGAAAUUAUAUUUGUUUUAAUUUAAGUUACGGUUGAUUUUCAAUUUAAAUAUAAUCGUGUUGUUACACUUAGGUACACACGUUACGGGUGGAAGUUGUUUUUUUGCUUUGUAAACCCUCUACAGACAUCUCCAAUGUAACCAAUAAGAAGAUGGCAUUUUGUAUAUGCAUUGCGUUAGUAUCAAGAAUGUGCCUUUUGCUGGUUUCAACUUUUAACCCCCAUUCCACUCCUACCAUUUUUAUGAUCAAAUUUCAUCGUUUGUUUCGAAUUAGUAUAAAUUUACUUAUAUUAUAUAGUAAGUAUAUACAUUAUGCAGUAUUCGAUUAUUAUUAACUGUUUUGCUGAGAUUGUUUCUAUUACACAAAAUAGGUGGCAAAAAUGCAUAAUAUUGUUAGCUCUGUUGCUCACGGGGUUUUCUUUUUAUGUUUUUUUUUAAUUAGGGCAAAAGUGAUUGGUUCGUUCAAUUUGAAUUUAUAAUAUAUGUACCAUUCAAGUGUGCAUAAUAUGUUUAUUUAAAUGUUUUAUUCUCGUAUACGAUCGUCUCGAUGAUGAAUGUACUCAGUAUUGAAAUGUAUAAAUUGUUCCGCAGUCGCUUACGAUAUCUCAGUAAUUAUUUUAUUUAAGGGUGAUCACGGGUAGACAUGCAGGGAAGACAUGUCCAUUAAAAAUCAAAGAAAUUACUUAAAAAAGAAAAGAAAAAAAGAUAUUAAAAUAAAUAAUAAUUAUAUAAACUUUACGUUCAUUUGCAUUAUUACACUGAAUUAGAUUGGUUUUGGAUUAGUUAGCUAAAUUGAUAAUUGAAUUUAAAUUGUAGUUUUCUAUUAUUUAAGGGAAGAUCCGUCCCUCUAAUUCCCGUGUUAGCUCACUUGAUAAUUAUACCCAUCGGUGGUAUCGCUGAAUUCUCCACCAAAAUAAGAUUCUGUUUUCUGUCACUGUUCAUUUUCCACCAUUUCCACAGUAAGAAAUUAAUAUAAAUGUUGUAUUCUGGCCAAGAAUAACAAUUUUUUAUUUAAAAACUAAGACUUCAGGAUAUUAACCAGUUAGUAUAAAUUGAAAAUUAAUUUGAUUAAAUAUGUUUCGUAAAUUAAUUUAUAUUAAUUAGUAAAUGAAUUAAUAUUAAUUUAUAGAACUCAUCUCCAAUGUUAAUUUGUUUAUCAUUACACAAUAGCUAAAAUUAGGAAAUUAAAAUUUCGGCUAAAAUUAGGAUUUUUAUAAUUUAAUUGAUUAAAUUGAUUUUAAUAUUUUGAAGAAACAAGACAUGGUUUCAGUUCAAAAAAACGUUUGUUAGAAAAUGGAAAGAACCUUUUUUUUUAAUUAUUGUAUUUGAAGAAAAUGGAGAGUUGUGGAAUAAAACAGUAGGAACUGUUAAUGGUUAGUAGUAGGUUUGUUAAUGUAAUUUGAUAUGAUAUUUUAGAUAAAAAUCAUCUAAAUAUAUAAUAUAUAAUUUGUUUAUUACGAAAAUUGAGUUAAUUUAUCCCGAAUUUUAGUUUAUACGGUUAUACCAGUAAUAAUUAAAAUAAUUAUAUAUUAUACGUGUAGACACCGAUUUGUGGUAACAGCGAAUUAAUAUGUAUACGGUUAUUAAAUUGAAAUUAAACGAGCCCAUUAUACUUUAUUAGGUUCACUUUUGAUUUUUUUAAUGGUAAUAAUCUUUUAAAAUAUUGUUAAAUCAUUUGUCUCACAAACAUAAUAAUUAUAAUCAUAAAAAAUGAUGUAUUAUAAUAUCAACCUCGGGGUAAUUUGACAAUAAUUUCAAUAAUUUUAUUUGGUUUGUCUAUUGGUUACUGAAAUCAUUAUUGUUAUUUAUUACCCACCAAUAAUAUGUUGUGAUGCUUUAUAAUUUAUUCCGACAUUGAAUUAAGAAAAUUUAAAACAUAAAAUUUAAUUCAUAUACAGGAAGGGGAAAAGUAAGUACAUUACAAUAUUUUACACUAACUACAUAAAAACGUUUUUGUUAUUGAAAUUCACGCCCUUAAUAAUUAUAAAUAAUAAAACAAUUUAAAAAAUGUAUAAUUAUAACUACAGAUUAAUGUAGUAUAUAGAGGCCUUUUUGAUUCGCUAAUUCCAGCUUUAAUUAUAGUUUUCAUCACGGAAUUAGAAGAACGUGUUAGUCUGUAGUUUUCAUGUGGAUGUCAUCUUUAAGCUGUAUAUCUAUACUCUACGAUUUAAAAUUAGAUUACAAUGGAAACCAGAGUAACUGGGGAACAUUGUUAAUUUUCCAGUACCUACCUAAAUAUAAAAUAGAUCAAAUUUGAUUUAACAUGAUCUGUAUAAGUUACCUAAAAAACCAUCAAAUACCUAUUAAUAAAUAUUAUAACUAAAUAUAACGGUAUAUAGUGAUGAGGCUAUAACAAACAAAUAUAUACCGUGCAAUACAUUUUUGUCUGCAAACAAUUUAAAAAAAUUAAUUAUAGAAAACUGUACAAAAAAAUGUGUAUAAUGUACAAUAAUAUUAUGUCGAUUGCAAUUUUAUUUGUAUUGGUAUAUACAGCCAAGUUAUUUAUUAUUUUAUACUUAUUAUUCCAGAAAAAUCGCAUUGACCAAUUAAAACGGAUAGAGGUCAAAUUAUUUAUUGGAACGUACAUACUAUUUGCAGUAUAUAGUGGCGACCGUUGGUGAGUACCUAUAUGCAUUAUGUCACAUAUAAAUGGAUUUUUAUACCUACCUACGUAAAACUUUUAAUCACAGCGACCGCAAUUAUAUUACGUCAACCCUGCGCAAAUACCGGGGCGCAUAGCUAAAAUAUCGAGUGUCUAUUUAACGCAUGCUGCAUAGUUGAUAGUUAUCUGUACGUAAAACGUAGCGCUUCCACUAUUUAAAAAGGUAUAUAAUAUUAUACAGUUGAGUUGCCGAAACUUUUAGAUUAUAUUAUUUUCUCCCAAACAUCAUAUUAUUUUAUACAUUCGGUUUCAAAAUUUGUGAAUUUAUCAAAUUUUAUGUAAGUAUAUUUAAAAAUUGUGUAUAGUUUACAUUUUGGGCAUUGCAAAAUAUAAACUAUAAAUUCAUAAAUAUACACAUAAGUAUAGUGUGUAUGUUAAAAAAAAAAUGUCGGUUUUAUAUUGUAUCGGGUAUAGCUGGGCUUUUUGUUCAAUUAAAAAUUGAAGGGCAUUAUUUUCGUUUUUAUUAAUUGAAUCUCGAUAAACUAUAUUAUGGCAACCGUAGAUGUUUUUUUAACAUAAUUAUUUUGUAUGUAUAUAGUCAUAACCUAUACGACGAUAAGGCUAAAUAUGGCAUUUACAAUUAAAUUGCGAAAUAAUCUGUGUAUAAUAUUAAUAUUAUAAUAUACACAUAAUAAUUAUGUUAUUAUGCGUUAUAUUAUUUAAUAAUUGUAUUCGGAAGGUCCUCAUAAAGUUGUAUUGUGAAUCGUGCGUAUUACCAAAAUAAUAUAUAUUAUACUGCACGCGAAACGACAGAAAUGUACAAAGCGGAAUUUAUUCGAUUAAUAUACAUAUCGUUUUUGUUAUUACGGCUGCCAAUUAAAAAUUUACGGAUUUUUUUAUAGUAUAUAUAGGUAGAUACUAGGACUAUCCCGUAUCACGACGAUGUUUUCUAUGGAAAUCAAAUUAGAUAAUAUAAAUAUAAUAUAAUUACGUAAUAUUAAUUUUUAAAUUGAAUGUUCGUUUUUUUUUUUUUUACUUUAUUUUCUCUAAUCCUUCAAAUCGUUCUAUAUACAUAUGUAUACCUACGUGAUUUACGCACACCAUAUUAUUAUUAUUAUUAUUAUGUAUCUAUAGAAGUUUUAAUUUAAAAAUCCGGCUAGCAGUUAAAGAUUUUAAGACCUCUGCGUACCAUAAAUGUAUACACCAUCUCAACCGUCCUCUCCCAAACAAAAUAUACAUUUUUGUGUACCUCCCCCUUAUUCCUCGGAUGUCAGGCACGCAUCUGGAGAACAUUUCGAGGAAAGGGGAGUUGUCCGAACCCCUGGAACUUUCCAGAUACGGUCCUAGCCUGACGCACUAAAAAACACUACUCCUAUUAUCGUUACAACGCGUUAUCGGUAUGUUUAUCGAUAGAUUAAAAAUAGUUCUAAAUGUGCAGUUACUAUACUAUCUCUGUACGGUUUUGAAAAUGUCUGCCGACAAUCGUUUUUACGUUCACAUAUACUAUAUUAUUAUCUUUGUCGUCGUAUAUACUAAAACAUAACUCUGUGCUCAAACAAUAUUUUGCAUUUACGAUCGACAUUAUUAUUGGACCGGCGAACGUGUUAAUUAUAAUAUUGUUAUAGUUGCGCGCCCGUCGCGUAGGUACCUACCAUAUAUAAUAUUACAAUACAGUUGUCGUCGUGGACCCGCAUAAUAAUAUUGUAAUGUUUUAUACUUUAUUGUAUUAUAACAAUAAUAUUGUAACGGGAGACUUAAACGAUGGGAGUUUUUUUUUUUUUUUUUCUGAACGCGAGCGGUCGUAUUCCGUACGUAUAGCCGUAUAACGUAUUACGGUCUGUUUUGAUUUUUUGUUAGCGCCAAAUUUUUAUUAUUAUUAUUAUUAUUUUUUUUCAUUUAGUCCGCAACAAACGCGGAUCCGUAAUAUUAUUAUUGUAGAAAAUACCGCGCGUACAAUGUAUACUCGCAUAUAUUAUAGCUAGGUAUAUACGACGUUUAGAUGUCGGUACAAUAGAUGCAGUUUAUUUUAAGCCACUUCGCACCACGUGCACAAUAUACAAUAUACAUAUACCCGAAACCCAUUCAUUACGCCACACACAAGUGUUCUAUAAAUUUUAAGUGGCCCCGCGCAACAAUGUAGUCGCGAGUUCAUAGAAUAUUAUUAUUAUUAUAUUAUAAUAUGUACGGUAUACGGACGCGACUCCGACCGACAUCUUAAUAAUAAUUGUAAUAAUAAUGGCCAGGGGUGAAUAGAGAAUAUUAUAUAUAUAAUAAUAAUAUUACACAUUAUUAUGCUGCGGUGUGUUCAAAAUAUGAGAAAAAAGAUACAGACCCCCGACGCGAACCACUUACCAUAUCUAUUCGACGACACCUAUGUAUAGUUGUAUUAUUUUGCCCUUUACCGCGAGCGAUUUAUUGCCGUUUUAUUUGGCUUUUGUUGUCCGGUCCUACGUAUAAACCUUACCUAUAUAAUAUGGGUAUAGGUGCACGCGGUAGCGGGAGCAGGGAAGAACAAGGUCAAACCUCAAUGGAAACCGCCGCGAACAAACGGCACGUCGCCGAAAAAUAUUCGUUUUGUUCGGUAUAACAUUUUUUUUUUUUUUCUAUGUGUCGACCCGAUAUGAAUUAUUAUUAAAUUAUCCGUUGUAGGUUUUCCGCCACCCGAAGAUUAUUAUAUUGUGUAUCUACCUAUAACCGUAUAAUAAUAAUAACGUAUAGCGGGUCCAUACCGUUGUACAGUCAUAUAUAUAUAUAUAUAUAUAUAUACACAUACACGAGUAUUACGUAUUAUACAUAGUUUCCCACUGUUUCGUGGACCGUUUAUAUGUUAUAUACGAGUGUAACAAUAAUAAUAAUAAUAAUAAUAAUGUGUGCGGCGAUGACGAGGUUUUUCGUCCGAAAACAAUCGGUCGUCUAAUAAUAAAAUAUUAUUACGACGAACGAGAGACGAUCGCGGGCAGCCAUCGGCGUUUAUAAAAUAAAACGUGUGUACGGGUUUCUCACCCGACGCGGUGGCGCACGUCAUUAUAAAUCAUCGUUUUUCGUCGUCGCCGCCGCCGUCGACAGCUAUAAUACUGUUGCAGUCGUUGACAGGGGCCCCGCGAUUCACGGAGUUUCAUUCCAACCCGAUCCACGAAUAAUUAUUAAUCGUUGGCGACAAAUCGACCGGCGCGUUUAUGUUUUGUGCGCACCGUUAAAAAAGAAAAGAGAAAUAAUAAUACAAAUAUCGAACAAUAUUUUGUACACAGUCAUCGGCGUCGUCGUCGCAGGGGUCGAUAGGACUCGUUAUAUUGUCAUUAUUCCGUGUGAGAAACGAGUCGAAAAUUAGCCGGAUAAUAUGAAUGUGUCGUCGCGUUACCUAUGUAUUAUACAUUAUUAUUUGUCCGUAUGCGUAUCCCGAACAAAAUUAUAACUAUAAGGAGACGGGAAAUCGGCGAAGUAGGAUGUAAAAAAAUAAUAUAAUAAUGGUUAAAAAAAAAAAAAAACAUAAAAAAAAAAAAUGUAAAGUACGUCGAAACUGCAUUCGUAAUAUACACAUGCAGCAGCUAUAUAGUACAUAUAUAUAUACAUAUAUAUUGUGUAUAUGUAUUAUAUAUAGUGCUUGUAGGAGCGGAGAGAAUACACUGCAUUAUUGCUGUGCAGAGUGUAUAGUGUGUGUAUACAUACAAUCCGGUGUACACGAGAAAUGGUCACGAAAUUGGCUCCGUGUAUUAUUUGCCCCCGCCGUUACUCGUGAAGGACAUAUGUCGUGCGACCGUAUCGUCUGCCUUUUUGCAAAUUGUACGAGUCGCACACGGCUCUCGUGAAAACGAGCCGAUACGAAACGAGCCUUGCUCCAGUUCCGUGUCUACACGAAUUCUCUAUGUGCGUAUACAUAUACAAUAUAAUAUACAAACAAAUCUAACUAUACAUAUAUGCUAUAUGUGUGUGUGUGUGUGUGUGUGUGUGUGUGUGUGUGUGUGUGUGUUUGUGUACAGUAGAUAGUUGUCGUCGUCGUCGUCGUUGUUUUAUUAUUAUUAUUAUUAUUUUUUUUUUUUAGCUUCUUCUUCUUCUUCUGCCGUGUAGACCGUAAAAGGCACACAAAGUAUAUUAUUAUUACGCGUGUAUGUAUAGGUAUAUAUUUUAUGCGCGCGUAUGUAGUACUUUUCUUGUUUUUUUUUUUUUUUUCGUCCAUUCUCGUAUAUGUCAUAUACACGUAUACCUAUAGGUACAUACGUGCCGCUGCGCAGAAACCGUUCUCGUCGAUGAAAUCGUUUAGAAAAUUGGUUCGUGACUUUUGGUCUUAAUAUAAUAGUAUUUCGAUUAGCUUUUUUUUUUUUUUUUUUUUUUCUUUUCGCUACCACGUUCUCAUCCCCGACCCAUCGAUGCACGCGCGUUUCUUUCCGCGUGGUCACCGUCUAUACACAUAUAUACGUGCGCAUUGUACUUCCAUUCGGCGGCAUACAGGCGCACUGUCGUAUUAUAAUAUUAUUAUUAUUAUUAUUAUUGUUAUGUUCACAAGCCAUCGACCGAACGUCAACGACAAAACUGCAACGGCGUCGUCCCAUUAAGCUCGGGCGUAUUACUAUAUUACCCCUCGGGUCGUUCCGUUGUGAAAUUUAACCGAGUCUCGUCCGAUGACGCAAUAUACGAUUAUUAUUAUUAUAUAUGUAUAGAGAGUAUAAUGGAAUAUUUUGCAUUCGUUGAAAUUAUUGAUUUCGAGUCGUGUACAUCGGAUUCGUUAGCGCGUAUACACCGCACACUGCACGUGAUGCAUGUGCGGCCGUUACCGCGGAAGGCCGUUGCGAUAGGUUCGUUAUCGUCCGGCGUUCUCGAUAUCACGUUCACAGACUACGCAAGUCGUUCCCGCCCGAGAAAAAAAAAACAAAUUCCCUUAAAACAAAAUAUGUUUCUUGUAUAUGGUAUAAUACGCGUAUGAGUUUUUUUUCCCCGCAGGGACCUAAUAUAGUUUGUCACAUCGCGUUUUGUUUGAAAACCGCGGUUUCGUAAUUUCCCAGCACCCGUAUAAAACAACAACAACAACUUGUCUCUUUGUGAAAACAGAAAUGUAAAAAAAAAAAAAAGAUUUUCGUAUUUUAAGGAAAAAUCGUGUGUUUGAGCCCUACUUUAGAAUUUAGAAUUUCCCAUUCAAACACUCUUGAAACUAAUAAGAACAAACCCAUUGUCAGCCCGGUCGUGGCUCUGGGCAGCAAAGAUGGCCAGGACGUCUAGUCGCAUUUUUGUCUGGGGGUCCCCUCAGGCCCCGGGGUUUCUAAAAUAUCGUCAUUCAACUAUACCGACUAUCUUUUGUGCAGCGAUUACAUGGUAUGUUUUAGAAUUCAGUUGAAUAUUGUAGACCUGCAACAAAAUAAUAAAAUAUAAUUUAAUAUUAUUAUGUGAACGAGUGAAUUUAUAGACAAGUUACUGAAAACUAAAAUCCAAUAUACUUACCACAGUGUUUCAUCGUGAUUUACAAAAUCAUCUUGUUGUCUUUAACACUACUGGUAAUACCUUGUCUACCUCCUCUUUGUUAACAUCACCUAUGCAGUCCACUUUAGUAACCGGCCGAGGUUCACUUUCGAGAUAAGAACGGUUUCUUUGUGCAACCGGCAUUGCACAUAGCUGAAAAUCACUUUUGGGAACACAGCUUAUAUGAUAUAUAUCGCUGCGAAAUCUAUUGUUAUUUUAGAAAUAUCGGCUAAUGACAUCGAUUUUCGAUUAUUAUAUUUAUUUUUAUGGCUUUUUAAUUUUCAUCUAUGUGGACCCCUUAAAUCAAAAUGCUCUAGUGGCUUAUUGUGAGCCAGGCCAACAUUGGCAAAAACGUGAAAUUUUUGAGUCUAUAAACUACAACCAUAUAUACAUUGCUUUUUAUAUAAUGUACAGUCAGUGCUCAAAUUGUAAAAUUAAAAAUAGAAGAAUUUUGAGAUUAAAAGAAAAACUAUUGCAAUUAUAGAACUCAACCUUACCACACGUAUCUCCAUUGUACCAAUUUGUUAAUCUUUAAAUUACUUUUUUCCAGAAAUAUUAUUCUGAUCAUCAAACUAAGAAUUGAUUUUUGGUAAAAUAUUUUGCUUAUUUGGUAUAUUGAGAUCAGUUUUUGAUUUUCCUUACGGUUUUCUUAGUAACGGGGACAACGAAAAACCGAGAAAAACGCCGGGAAAACUGGACAAUUUACAUAACAAUAACAGUUUGUGUUUUAUUAAAUUAAAUUUUUUUUUUAGUUUUAUGUGUAUAAAAUUAUUUUGACCAAUAGAACAUUUUUGAAAAUUUAAUACGGGGCUUAUGUGUUAUAUUAUAUUCGUUUUUCGGUAAAACUCCUAUUAAUAUAAUAAAUGCGAAAGUAUGUCUGGUUGAAUGUAUGAUUGUUAUCAUUUCCCGUCCAAAUUACCGAACGGAUUGAGCUGAAACUCUAUGUAGAUGUAUAGCUUUAGACCAGGAAUAAAAUUUAGGCUAUAUUUUAUCCCAUACUGAAAUCCUAAUGGGGGGCGGGGGUGAAAAAGGGUUAUUAGUAUUUUUAGUAAGAAAAUCGUAUUAUUACUGUUUAUUUACGGGCGUAUUUACUCGGUGAUACGGAUGAAAUAAUAAUAAAAUAAAAAUUAUUAUUAUUGUUAUUCCCGGGCAAAAUAUAUACAAUAUAUAGAACAAUAACAACGUCGUUAUACACGCGUGUACUGUUUGUGUCUUACAAUCGCGUAAGGCGGAGAGUGCUAACAAGUUUUAAUAUCAGAGUGAAUAUAUCGACCCAUCGUCAAAUUUAGAAAACCAGAACAUUUACAGCGGUCUUGUGGUCGUUCCCCCCCCUCCCCCCGUAAUUUUGAUUAUUAAAACGUGACGCGAGCGUGUGAAAUUAUUCACGAUUUUUAAACGUAUCUCGCUUAUAAAUAUUAAAAUUACGAAAAACCACUGACGGGCACGGGGUUGUCGGCGCCGAACGUGGAAAUUCGACACGCCGCCGUAAGACGGAGACGGCGCGCGCGCGCGCGCCCGGGUAAAAUAUAACGUCCUCUGGAUAGGUUUUACACCGGAACGGUCAAAAGCGGCGGCGGCGGCGGCGGCGGCGACGACGAUGAUUUAUGAUUUUCGAUCGCGGAUGUGCGCGCGUUUUUCGGCGGCGCGUUCGCCGAUUCGCGUCCGACAAAACACCUCCGGGCGUGACGGGCCGGCCGCGCGCAUUAUGUGUAACGCGUAUUAUCGCGACCGGCCCGAAAACCGCGUCGUAUUUUUUUUUUUCGGCGCACGAGCGUAUAUUUAUUAAUAAUCAUGAUAAUAACAUUAUCGACGGCGGCGGUGCGCGCGGCUCGCGGCCGGUCCCACGUGCGAGCGAACCGUAUCACAUCGUCGCGGUAAUCGCGCGAAUCGAUUCCCGCGAUAAAUAACGCGCCCCGGUGACGGCGGACGGACGGUCCGCCGCGGAACCAAUCCGCGCGGUACGUCCGCAGCCGAUCUAAUUUCAUAGCGCCGAUUCGACGCGUUGUUGCCCGUCGCGUUAAGCGCGCGCGCGCGCGCCCGUACCGUAAUAUUUUCGUCGAUACCUAUAUAGGUACGUUAUAAUAAGUAUUCGGACACGUACCCAUCCGUACGGUUUCGUCAAUUAUUAUUAUUUAUAACGUCCUCGCGCGCGCGCGCCGUUCUACAAUAUUAUAAUAUACGAUCUAUCGAGAAUCGGUCGCACACGCGCGCGCGCGCGAGCGUAUAUGUGUAUAAUGUGUACACAAGUAUACGCGCUGCAAGUAUUAUGUAGGCACCCGUAAUAUUGUAAUACCAUCGCACGGGCCAUUUGCGCAAAUGACCCCCUCGAGAGGCCAACGCGCGCACGCACUCGCACACGCAUCGGGAACGUCCCCGAAGAGCGCGCGCGCGCGAUGGGUAAGCGUAUACGCCGCCGCGGUGCUGCAGCGGCAUAGAGCCGAGUGAAAGGUGGACCAGAUAUCUUAUGCACGGUUUAUUAUAAAUUAUUCAAACGAUCGAAAUGUUAUAGAUUUCGUGGCUCCGGCCACACCCCCCCUCGGGUCACGAUCUUUGUGUAUUGAAAAAAUAAAAAUAAAAAUAUAUGUAUGUAUAUAAUAAAAAAAAUCCGCGUAUAAAAAAAAAAUAAAUAAUAAUAACAUCGCGUUUAUAAGUGCGCGCGGCGUGCAUCAUACCGUGUGCGCGUACCUAUUUAUAAUAAUAAUAAUAUAAUAUAAAAGUACGGGUCUAUUGAAAUCGCGUCUCCCUCGGACGCGUCUUCGACCCGCGCGAUCGUCGUUUUUUAAUAUAUAUAUAUAUGUAAUAAAAUUAUACGGGGGAACCCGAGGCUAGACGAGAUAUCCGAUUUUUGAUUCUGAGUGGAGCGAAUAAGAAGCUUAUGGCUAUACAAUGUUGUUUAUUUUUUUUUUUUUUUUUAUCUAUGAACAACUUUUAUACCAGAAAUAUUGCUCCGAUUUACAAGUGUAGCAAAGGAAUUCCCAAAGGAAUUCUGACUGGAAUGGUUCUUUAAAGAGUUCGUUUUUAGGUUUUCUCAAGAAUUUUCCUAAUGAAUGGGAAAAACCGAGAAAAACACGGGAAAGCUGGGAUAACGGGAAAAUAGGUACAAUAUAUUAAUGAACAUGUUUAAUGUAAUUAUUUUACCAUAAUAUGAUAUAUAUAUAUAUAUAUUUUUGUUGACAAAGUAACACUAUCAACCGCACUCUGCUUAGAAUCGUUUUUUCGUUAGCAACGAUUGUUGCUUACAGAUGUACAUUAAAUUAUUACCUAUAGUAGUAGCUGUACUCGUUUCCAUUAUUCUAGGACAGCUUUUUAACUCUUUGUAUUAUGGUGAAUUUUUAAGAAAAAUUCUAAAUUUAUAUAUUAAUUGAAAGCUAAUGAUCAUAAAAAAAAAAAAAAAAAUUACACAGUAUUAUUUAAAUUAAACAAAUAAUUUUAAAUUAAAGAACCUCGUUUGUUCCAUCUUACCCCGAUCAUAAUGCGUCUUGUUUGUAAUUAUAUACAAUUUAUAUAGUAUAGAUUAUGCAAUCCCGUCAUACUUCAUAUGACUUUUUCAUAACGUCUUGUCCAACGACUAAUGAUACUUAAUUGAACCUAUAUUAUUAAAUACUUAAUCGAUAUUUAAUAAUAUCAUUACACAAAACUUAACUGCAGAAAUGUAUACAUAAUAUAUUAGAACAGCAUUCGAUAUGUAUAAGGAAAGAAGGGGAGAGGAAGACUGAAAAAUAGAUGGUUGGAUGGGAUUGAGAAUAAUAUAUAAGAACGGCGGGUGUAUGAUGUGAGAUGAUGUGGGGGAUUGGGUCAAGUGGAAAUUUAGGACGAGGCUGGUUGACCCCAAAAAGUUAGGACAAAGGUGAAAGAGAAGAAGAAGAUCUUAAAGUAGAGAAAAUAUUUUGACGAGAUGACCCGGAAACCAAUUUAAAACACUUAUAAUAUAGCAUAUCAGUCAGUUAGUACUGGAAUUCUAUCAAAAAUCAUCCGGCUUGCGUCCAUAAAUAUUCCAAAGAGCCUUUAUUUAUAACUUCAUCAGGCUGUCCUAUCUUACCUCGCGUGUUUGUUUUGCCUAGGAUUUCCUUAUAAUAUAUUUAUGCGUUUAUACUUUUUACAAAUCUUUCGAAAGUCAGUAUUUGAGGGUUUUGGGACAUAUUAAGACAUUCAUUGGCCGGGUCUUAGGUUUUGGGAAAAUUCGGUAAAGGGCUGUGAGUAUUUAAAUUACCUGUCUUCGUGUACUAAGUCAAUAUUUAUAGUAUCUAUGGCGAUGAAACUGUUGUCGUUAUUUUGUUAUUGUUAUUGUUAUUUUAUUAGUAUUAAAUAAUUACCUAUAAUCUUGAAAGAAUUUUCAAAAACGAACAUCACAGCAUAUUAUUAUAUAAAAUAGGCGUCUACCGGAUGUUAUAUUAUUAUAAUCAGAUAUUAAGGGUAUUGUUCUGGAAAAAUAACACGAUUUCACAAGUUUCUUAUAAUUCCAUAGACGGAAACUUUUUUAAUAGGUUUGAAAAACCUAUUUAUUUUAGACAUCUUAUACCAGUUAUAUUAUACAUAUAUGAUUAUAGGUAUGUAAUAUGUAUGUUGCAUAUGUAUGAUAAAUUAAUCACUUUUCAACCGAAAAAAAUACUGUCGCGUGGAAGAUCAUCAAAAAUAGGUAUAUUAUUGGUCGAUUAUUGUCUAUAAUUCUAGAUCCAUAAUAUAUAAUACAUUACGUCGUAUUUAUAGAUCAUUUCUUUUUCUUCCAAUAUUACGUUUUUAUUGCUUUACGCACAACGCAUUAUAUAAUAUGUCGUUCAAUUUUAUAUGGUUUUAUACCAACUUAUUACUUGGUUGCUGAUUUAUAUUAAACUGCUACUACCGUGGAACAUAACUAUUAUCCAUAAAACAAUAUUUACGCCCAAAAAGAAAUUUUACAAAUAAUUAUUUUAAAAUGUACCUUCCCUGUUCCCGAUCUAUUUUCGAGGACUAACGCCCGUCGUAUAGCCUCACGAUUCCUUCAACCUGGAAGUUUUUGUUAGUUGAUCGUUUAGCUGUUUUUUUUUUUUAUCGAUAAUAAUAACAGAUUCUUGGUUUUACCGCAGAACUUAACGCGGUAACAAAACGAUUAUCUGUUGUCAAUCACCACUUGACGUUUCUCUUAUGCAUUUUUUUUUUUUUAUGUAUGUCGAUAUGCUUUACUUUUGAAACGGGAAAUACCUUUGUUGGGUACAAUUUUUAUGCAGAGGUAAGACAUUGACGGUUGAUAAAACCUGCUAUAAAGUCGUUUUAAUCUGUUUUCUUUUCGGAAUGUGAUGUUGAAAAAACUGUCUGCGGUCGUGAAGGUGUUCGCAAUUUUUAUUACAGUCUAUAAUAAUUAUACUUCCAAGAAAUGCUGUAGGUAUAAUGUAGUGAAACACUACAGAAAUAACGUAAAGUCCGGUGACAUAUGAGUCAUAUAGCCCCGUUCAUUAUCCAUUGUACUAUCCGUUUAAAAGCAGGUAAUAAAACCGUAUAAUGAAAUUUAAUAUUUCUAUAUUCCGAGACAUAAUUUUAUUAUUAUAAUAUUAUAUAUGUAUGGGUAGUGUUACGAAUGAGUAAUUUUCGAGCGACGCGCGUAAACCGCAAAUUCAUUAAAUUAAUAGCCGGCUCUCGUUCGGCUGUGGAUUACGUUGGAUAUUACGAUUUUAUUUAACGAUUAAAAGAAAGUUUAAUAUAAUACUAUUGUGAACGUUUAUUCAUAAAAAAAAAAAAACUAUAUUAUAUUUCUAACACCUAAGAAUCAAUGUUGAUACUUGAAAUAUAAUGAUCGUAAUCCAUCUUUGAUCGAAUUGUUAGGUCAAUUUCAGUCAGAGUUUUCGCCACAAUCAUAUUUAUGUUUAAUUAUAUAAGAGAAAAUUUUAUUCGAAAUAUUUUUUAAGCACAGUAUUUUUAAAUGUACACCGUAUGUUCGCGUAGAUGUAAUUAGGAAUUAGAGAAAUUAAGAAAUUAUUGUGAUCUAUUAUGUUGGAGUGAUGGCAAGACAUAAGUUUAGUGAAGAAAAAAAAACAUUUUUAAUUAUUUAAUACAACGUAUACAGUAUUUUAUUUAUUUUAUUUUACAAAAUAAACUUGUGUUUAUAAUGACUGUCAUAUAUUUACGUUUAAAACUGGUACCGUUAUUAUACAAAAAAAAAAAAAGUGCAAUACAAUUUACAAGCCUUAAAGAAAGGAAGAAAAAACUAUAAUUUGGAAUUUACAAAAUUAACUUGCAGUGCUAACGUUAUCAGUUUCAAACUGGUUCUCGUUGUUUUUGAAGGUAAUCCGUGGGAUUUCGACGUUUCGAAUUUUAUCGAUAUUGCGAUUUUAAAAAUCAUACAACUAUAUUAAUCGUUCGUCGCUAAGAUUCCGACAUGCUUCGACGUCAGGGUUCAAAGAUAAUCAUAAUCAUGUGCGAUUAUUGUCAUAGUAAAUAUUUCUGGAUAGGUUUUUUUUUUUUUUUUUAAAAAAAGGUCACAUGUAAAUUUUCCUUGGCAAUAAUUUUAAUGUUCGAGUACAUAUAAACCUAUUUAUAAAUAAAUAUAUAUAUAUAUAUAUAUUAAUGAUUCUGGCAAAAUGAUGUAGAAUGUAGAUUGGUAAAUUCACCUAAACUGAUUUUACGUGAUAUUGUGAUGUAAUCGUUGUGUAAAUCUUUCAUAUACUUGUAGUCGAUUAUGCUAGAUGUUUGAAAAAGACGCAUCGUUUAGCCUCAAACCAUAUAUAAUAUAUUGUAUAUUUAUAAUAUAUAUUCAUGACGAUUUAUAAUAUUAUGGCGUUGUUUUAAUCAAAUAACCAACCCGUGUACCCGACCCCAUUUUCCGGAACCCCUCCCCCUUCGCCUGAUUCAGUCUAGUAUAAGUGCACCGUCCGCGGCUGAAAUAUAUUUCGUGUUAUAGUCGUUCGAGUAAAACACACUGCAGUGUAAUAAUAAUAUUAUGUUCGGGCACUUAGGAUAACAAGACGGCGACGAUGAUGAAUAAAGGCAGGGUAGAGCUGAUAGUGAGGGUGUCCGAUUUUAGCCAAACUAUACAUUUUUCUUUUUGGUUAGUGUCCGUUUGAGGCCAAUACUUAUUUUUCUCUUUCUGGCCUGUAGGUACUAAUAUAAUAUUUAUAUCAUAUACAAUAUACGACAUUUGUUUGACAAAUUCAUAACUAUUUAUGUCACCAUUUGUAUAGUUUCCAAAAUAAAUAAAAGUUAAGCUUUGGCUAGAAAAAUGAUAAAUAAAUCGUUAUACAUUUGUAAAAUAAAUAUCGUAUAGUUAUAAAAAUAAAAUUUAACGGGUCCUCAGUUUAGGUUUAUCAUUAGUCGUUAAACAUAUUUUUUAUUAUUUAAUUAAUUUUAUUCAACUUGCAGCAAAAUAUGUUACGGUUUUAUUACAAAUUAUUUUAUUUUAAUUAUUUAUUUAUUUCGAUCAUAAAAAAUCGCAUUUUUAUGGAUUAUUUUGAUUAAUUUUGAGCACAUAUUCGUAUAUUUUAUCGUAAUAAUAAUUUUAAAGAAAUUUGUACCGGCCGAAAAUGGAAAUCAUGGCCAAAAAAGGGGGUCGUUCGAUAGGGGAAUAGUAAGUCCCUACAUGAGAGUAUAGCUGGUAAACAAUUAUAUACGCUGGUUCCUACAAAUGUGGUGUGUCAAUUUUUACACAAAAAUAAAAUUGAGAUGUGUAAGUUCCUACAUUGUUAAAUGAAGGUGCAUAUAUUAGUUCCUACAUGGCGGAACAUUUUUGUAGGUAUGUAAGUUCUUUCACAGUAAAAAUAAAGUUCAAAAAUUUAUCGAAUAUAAAUACAUAAUGAUAGUAAAUUAGAUAGGUUAGGUUAAGUUAAACAAAUAUAGUUUUUUUUUUUUAAUUAGAUGUUUUAUACAUUGAUGGUACUUUUUAACUAUAGUGAUAAAUAAUACACUGACAAUUAAACUGUUUUUUUACCGUGUAGGAAGUAGGAACUAACAUACGCGCUUUUUUUUUUUUUUUUGUAGGAACUUAUACGCAUCUCAUUUUUAUAUUUGUGCAGAAACUUACUGCACGUGUACCUUUUUCUAUCGUGUUUGAACUAUAUAAUAAACAUGUAUGUAUUUUUUUUUUUUACCCGCUAUGUCUCGUGUAUAGGAACUUGAAACAUUCGCCCGUUCGAUAGGGGAAGCGCGGACCGGACGUGCGGUACGAUUUCACGAUAUUUUCUCCGCAAGAGGUCGGCGGUACAAACGUGCUCCCCGUUCGCUGUCCCCCUCCCCCCCCACUCCCCGGUAACUGAGACGCCACCGGUGUCGCGUAAGUAUAAUAAUGUCAUUGUACGGUACGCGCGGUCGGGUACAUACGGCGGCGCCACGCGUACGGACCCGUCCGUCCGUCGAAUCCGUCGCGGGUCGAUUUAUCGCCGGGCCGCCGCUACAUAAUACAUAAUAUAUUAUUAUAUAGCUGCCGCGGGGCGGGCGGAGGUGUUAAAUAAAUAUGGUUCACAGUGGUCGUGACCCGGUGCCCGGGCGCGGAGCGACGACGGCGGAACGGAGAGCGCGCGAUAUGAACGCGGAAAAUAUAACGAAAAACGAACGGGACGGCCCCCGCGUCAAUAAUACUCGCCUCGCGAUCUUUUACACAGUGGGAGAGACGAUAAACAGCGCGUAAACAAACAUAUCGGCGGACGACGCGGGGGUAAGGGGUAGGGGGAGGUUGGAGAUCGGGGAGUCGGACACGACCGUCGGUCGUUUUUAAUAACACGGUCGCGGUAUUAUAUGAAUAUAUACACGCACGCGCGUUUAACUCACAAUGGUAUCGAAUCAAUAACCGACAAUAAUAAUAAUAAUAAUAAUAAUAAUAUCUAAUACAAAUAAUAAUAACAAUAUUAUGUGCUCGCGCGCGAUAGAAGAGCCGUGGCGCGCGACCGCUCGCGUACAGGGCCGUGGGGCCAUUUUUAAUAGUCGCCGGUACGGUACCGCGAGGUCGAGAUUUUCCCAUUGAUAUACCGCGCGCGCGCGGGCGCGCGUAUUAUUAUUAUUAUUAUUUUCGUUGUUUUCAUUAUCAUUAUUAUUAUUGUUGUUGUAUAAUACAUGUGGACCGUGUCCUGCGGUUCGACGGUAAAAUCGUAUCACACAUUCGGUCCACCCCAGCGCCCCUCCCCUACACAUCAUCGUCGCCGCAUUGUUAUGCUAUAAAUUUUAUAUUACGCGGCGCGUUUUACUCGAAUAUCGUUGACAAUAUUUGGCAGGGCAUCUGCUGCACGAAAUACAUUUCCGCCGCUGACGGACACUUUAUUUAGAUUGAAACGGGGGGGGGGAGAUAGAGGGGUUUAUGUUUAUGUUAUGGGCUGGUUACACGGGUCGGCCGUUUUAAACUUUGCGGCAAGGGCGGAUUAGGAACGACAAUUGGCCCUGUUAUGUUGAAUAAUCAGUAAAGCCGGAAAAAAAACAAAACAAAACUAUGUAGAAACGAUUAUUCGGUAGUUUUAAACAAAAAGUAUUAAACCUAAAUUAUUUUAAUACAAAAACGUUUGCGGACCAAAUUUUCGCCGGCCUAUGCGGGAAACGCACAUCCGCCGUCCGCUUUUCUUUUGUGGCCUUAGAGUGUAUACGCUAUAAAACGUCCGCGUUUUUAAAUCUAAACACCUAUUUUCACAUCAGAUCGAAUAGACUCGGCUUUUUUUCACCAACUUAAACUAAUAAACAAUUUAUUUCCGUCUUGAAAGUGACUUAAGAUUCCAAAAGCCGUCUAAAAUUUAUUAUAACGUUUGAUUUUUUUUCGAUUUUUCAAACAAUUUAAAAUAUAUGUGUGUGUUUUUUUUUUUUGAUUUGAUCAUACGUUUGUAUAUACUUAUAAUUUUUUUCCCUUCAAAUAUUAGUCAAAUUUCUUCGAUUUUCAAGUCAUGCAUAUUUUCAAAUAAACUCCUUAUAGGAGGGGAUCAGAAUACUCCCAUAGUAAAUUCUACCUAUCGAAUGAGGCAAAAAAUUGGGUAACGUCAGGGUUACAGCUGGUGUAAAAUUCUGUCAAAUAGUAUGUAGGGUUCUAAACAUGACUUGGGCUAGUUGUUCCACCUUGGAAAAACACGAGGAUAACAGGUGAGAGGAGGUGCAUGGUGCAUGAUGUUUUCAGACGAUACGAGACAAUUUGGAAAAAUUUAGAAACUGGCUUAAGGAUCUGGAAAAAAAAAACUUGCGUUUCCAUUUGUUGAAAAUAGGCUUAAAAUGUAGAUUUUGAUAUUUUUAAUAAACAAAAUCUUUUUUAAAUCUAAUAGUCCCCCGGCUAACAUAUUUAGUAUUACCAUUUCAAUGAAAUACCCUGUAUACAUGUAUAAGAUGCGUGUUUUGGGCGAUACAGUUUUGAUAAUCAGUUUGCUGCAUUAUUUUUCACUUGGUUGUAAAUUGCAAUAUCGUCAUAACGUUUUGUUUACUGUACGGUAUUUUAUUAGUUAUCGAAGACAGUAAACGUAAUUUUUAGUUAUUUUCUGAUUUCGGCUCUCUAGUUGUGCAUUCAGUUAUUUAUUGAUUUUCAACUUAAUGGGACUAGCCUUUUUACAAAAGGAAAAAAAGAAAAAAGAAUGUGUUAAACAUAAAAAAAAAAUAAUUAUAAAUAUGGUUAUCAAAAGUUACAGUCAACAAUAUAGAAAAAACAGUUUGUUUGUUAAGCUAGUAACCAGAUUGUUUAGAACUGCAUCGCCAAAACACGCCUAUUAUUAUAACACCUUGCCUACAGGCGUUUUAUUAUUAUUAUUAUUUUUUUUAUAAUGGUCACACACGUUUUUCAUUCAGUAUUAUCGUAUUAUUCGGGUAUACAACGGACAUUAUAUAGUGAUGAUAGUACUGCCAAAAAAAUGGUUUUGACGACCAAUCGAGAGACCGGACCUGCAGCGGCUAACAAAAGGGUUAAAUCGUCUUUUCAUAUACGCGCUCUGCCAUUGUCGCGGCGGCGGCGUAUACACACGAAUUAAAUCACUAUUUUUUUUAUUAUAUAUAUCUUUUUUUUAAUUUAUAUAUAAGCACCAUUACACGUUUAUAAUACGAGUGUAUAAUAUUAUUAUAUAUACGCGACUCAUGGUGGCGGCGGCAGUGGAUUCAAUCGUAGUUUUUCAUCUAUAAUACAUAAUAUAAUAAUGAAAAUUUGAUCUUGGGAGUUUUCAUAUGAUCGGUGAAAAUAACAACAAAAUAACGACCUUGUAAUUUGUUAUUUAUACCUACCGGCGUGUAUGUUGCAACAUAAUAAUAUCGAUUGUAUACAAAUUAGUUUGAUGUUGUAUCGUCCGUCCGUCUCGACGACUCAAACGAAUCGUUAAUACCUAUAUAGGUAUCUACUUAUAAUUUGAUAAUCUUUAAAUGCAAUUUCAACCGCCAAAAUUAUAUACUCGUACAGUCGUACAUUACGUUAAUCGCAUCAGCAACACAAUAUAAAUUAAAUAUUACUGCUGCAGUGUAUCACGAACUUUUAUAAUUCUUUUCAUCGUUGCUUUAUAAUAUUCGAGUACAGUGUACGUACACCUAUUUUAAUACUGUUAAUGUGUAACAUAAUAUAUAUGUAUUUAAAAGUUUAGUAAAUUUAUAAUACUUGCCUAUAAAAUAAUAAUAUAAUUCAAGACCGAAAUAAUAAUAAAAAAAGAAUUAAAUGUAUUACUAAUUACGCAAUUGUAUCGUAUAUAUAGGUUCUAAUUUUCCACGAAUCGACGAAUUUAAAUAGUCGUUUAAAAAGUGUAUAAAUUUAUACAAUGCAUUAAUUUUAUUACAUAAAAUUUCAGUAUAUUUAAGUACAUAUUCUAUAUUAUAUAAUAAUAAUAAGCUUUUUAUAAGCCUUCUCAAGCCCCCCCCCCCAUUUACGUCUAUGAUAAUUUUGUUAAAAUUUAAGGUAUAUUUACGAUUUUUUUUUUUUAUUUAUUACGAAAAUUACGUAUUUUGACUGUGAAUAUUAUUAUCAAAUAACAAUAAUACGGGUGUGUGACCUAUGUUAAAUCGUAUUCGUAUGGGAUAUUUACACGACUAUAAUCUUGUAUAGUAAAUCUAUAGAAGUCUAAAUAUUUGAGCAAAAUAUGUUUAUGAGUGUACAGUAAAAGAGUAAUUUUAACUUCGUAACUCGAAAAUAUUAAUAAUUUAAAAUUUAAAGUAAAUUUAGUUUAGUUUUUUAAAAAAUGUUCAUGUUAAAAACAUUUACUUAAACUAGUUAAACAAAUUGGUCAAAUUGCUCACCUUUAGACCAAAACCAAAUUCUAAAUUUUUAUUAUUAGAUAUUUAUAUAUAUAUUACUAUUUUCCACAUAUUUGUCGCCGUUUCAUAUCCCAUAGUACAACAUAUAUACAACAUGCAUAUUUUAGAAUAUUAUACUAUAAAAAAUUAUCGUAAAAUUAUAUAGUAACAAUCGUGAAAUUUAAUUCUGAAUUGAAUAUCAUUCAUGCGUAUAGAAAUAAAUACCCGAGGCAACGGAAUUAUUAUUUUCUCCUUUAUUCUAUGAGACCGCGCAAUCUCAGGAGAUUUACAUAUAAUAUGUAUACGCCUAUAAAAUACAACAAAAUAUUGUCCGCAGAAUAAUUAUCAUGGUUUUAUCAUUAGUUCACACACAUUUAUCGUUAAAGAUUUUAUUUUAAAAUCAGUUUUUUUUUCAGAUUCUGAGUGAAACUAGGAAUGUAUUGGUUUACAAUGACGUUUAUUAUUAUUAUUUUUUUUUAUGUGAAUACUUUUUCUACUAGAAAGCAUACUCCGAUUAUCAAGUAUUGCACCUUUUCUGAAAGGAAAUAUUCCCCGUUACUUUAAAGAGGUAAUUUUUUGAAAUUCUUAUUUAUAUUCGAGAUAGUGAAGAAAACCUAAUUUUUUAAAAAAAGAAUGAAAGAUUCAAAAUAAGAUUGUCAUUGGCAACCGUUUUUAUUUAUGUUUUGUUAUUAUUAAGUUUUUAUUAUUUUAAAUCUGUUUUAAACAAUCAUUGUUGUCAUGGAAACGUACAUUGUUGUAAUCAUUAUAUCAUUUUAUGACACAAUAUAUAUUGUUGACAAAGCAACACUAUUAACUGAAUUCCGUUCAGAAUCGUUUUUUGUUAGCAAUUGUUUACCGUUACUUACAGAUAUAUAUUAUUACCUUCAAUUCCCGUCUUUAUCCUACCUUCCCAACUUCCUUCUUACAAAAGUGUCUACACCCACGAGUGAAGUAUGUCCGUGCUUCUUUAUUUUUUUUGUUAUGAUAAUAUUGAAUAAAACUUAUUUUUUUGUUUAAUUAAUAAGCAAUUUAAAAUCUAUAGCAUAUUAUAAAUUAUACCGAACAUUCGAUUAUUCGAUAGAAUUUUUACGGUGCGACGUGUUGAAUUGCAUUUUAAAAAUCGUUCCAAGCGCAACAGUCAUACUAGUAAUAUUAUUAUCCGUUUAUCCACGAGUGAACGAAAUAAGCUAUAAAUUAAAGAGAGAAAAAAAGGUCCUGAAAACGUUUUGAAUGGUUAUACAUAUUAUCGUAAUAAAUUAUAAUAUGUAUACCGCAUAUACAUUAUUUAUGAAUAUUAUUAUAUAGUUACUAUAGUUUACAACCCCGUUUAAAAUUUUCUGGAUGAAUCGUUUUGAAUAACUUAUUUUAAACAAUUUUAUUCUAGGUAGGUAGGUAGGUAGGUAUAUUAUACGAGCAUUGUUUGACCGUAUAUAUACAUAUACGAACAAUCGUACACGAGAUACCGACCGGAGAUGGACAAAUGGAUAUAAUAGAAAAGUGAGUAUAUUAUGUGGUAUUGUAAUAUUAUUAUCUAUAGUUGCAUGUUAUUAUAUUACAUACAGACGUUUAUAUCGGCCAAUGGUUUUAUUAUAAUUUACUUCAUUAGUCAUUGGAAAAUUUAAUAAUAUGAUUAUAUUAUUAUUAUAUUUGCGUGUAAUAAAUCAUUGCGUAAGACGUCUCUGCAGUAGUAUAAAACAUAUUAUUGUAUACCGUCUGCUUACUGUGUCUUUUUUUUCUGAUGCUCUGAUCUCUAAAGACCACCCCGCUGUUUCACACCCAUUCCACCAUUCUUCUCUAUGUCCAAUGCUUUUUCUUUCCAAUUCGAACCGCUACGCCACUAUCAAUAUGUAUAUAUAUUGAAAUUGAUGUGGAAUUCCACAUCAGUUUCAGAGCGAAUGUGAUGUGAUAUUCAUCAUCAAAUAUCAUAUAUUUUCAUAAAAUUGCAGACCAACUAUUUGUUUUUUUUUUUUUUUUUUAAUGUAUGCACAAAAAAAGAACAAUAUAAACUAUAAUAUGAAAUUCUUAAAAAAGCAUAAUAUUUGUAUAUAUUUGUAAUUAUAAUUUAUAAAUUCAUUCAGUUAAAUUUUAGGUUCCUUUUUGGAUUUUUGAAGGUUUUAAAAUAUAGUUUUCUGCUGAAUAGUACGUAAAAUAGAAAGUAAGAAAGUAGGUAUACUAUUUUGCUGGAAUAAGUACACUAUACAUUCGGCUUGUUCACUGUAAAAAUACAAAUAAAUAAGAAAUUAAUAGUAUUCUUUUUAAGUUAUAUAAUAUUCUUGAAGGUCGAUUAGUGUACAUGCAUAAUCUUACACAAAUUUACCUAUGUGGUGGUAAAAAAAAAAAGGUUAAAAAAAUAUUGCCACAACGAUAUUAACUUACUUAUUAACGAGAUAAUGUUAUACUCGGACCAAAUUUGUUUAUCGACUAAAACACUUAGUUAAGAGGUUUUUUUUUUUUGUUUUUUGGUAUUUAUUAUUCAUGUGUUGCUGAGUACUGCAGGCCAUUAAAAAAAAAAAUCUCUUAUUUUUAUAAUAAUAUAUACGUGCGUAUAAUACAUAGGUACCUAUAUUAAUACACGUGAACACAACCGUUGCGAUUGUUUAGCUUUAAAUGUUGUUUUUAAGAUGUAAAACCACUCCCACGCCUACACUAUAUAUUAUAUUAUAUCCGAGCAUAAAUGUUUUAUAUUUUUUUAUCGUAAUCACUGAUGUGGAAUACUUUUUAAUGAAAAAAUGCGUUAUUUAACGACGUUUAUUUCCUUAAAUCCUUAUAAUAACAGGUUUGAUGUGACACUAAAAGCGUAUAUAAAACCCGUAAGUUAUGUAGGUACCUAUUUAGAGUUUACAACUCUAAAUAACAAACAAAAACUUGAUUAGUUUUAUCCGCGUUUGAAUACUCAUUAUUACACCUAUAUUUAUUUUUUUUUGUCGAUUAUUUUAUAUUAUAUAUAAUAAUAUUAUGUUAUACGUCCUGUAUGUAUACACUACACAUACGUACCUAUAGGUAUACACAACGAUAUAUAUAUAUAUAUAUGUAUGUAAAAAUCGUCGUUACCUUAUCGACGGAACAAGAUAAUAUUAUGUAAAACUGCGCAGCAGUCGUUUCCAAUAUAAUAUAAUAGCUAUAUGGCGCUGUUUAUAAAUUAGUUUAUACCUAUACGUGCCUGCCUAUCGGUCCGUUUUGAAUUUCGAAGCUAUAUACGGUGACAAAAGCGUGUAAAAUACAAUGUCGUAUCUUGAAUAUAUAUAUAUAUCGUAUCGCAUAUAGAUAUAGCUUAGGCAGGUAUGCGUCGUACGGACGUUUGUUACCAGUUUGCGACGACUCGGCCGGGAAUCGCGCGGGAUAACGAUUCAAUCGUGUAAAUAUUCGUGUAUAAUAUGUAUCGCGCGAUUUCAAAUUUACCAUACAUAGAUUUCAUAUUCAAUCCAAAUACGCGGACGUGUGUUGAAUGCGUCAACGUGCUUAUUUCCACUGUAUAUAAAUAAUAAUAAUAUACAGGGUGAUCGACAUAACGCGAGAUAGGAACUCAUUAUCUCGGAAAGUAUUAGCUUUUUUCGAAAAUAGAUUUUUAAAACAUUUGAGAAACGAGCAACUCUAAAAUGCUACAUGUUACUGUUAUUUUCGUCACUCUUAAUUUACGGGCCAAAAUCGCUAACCAUUUUUGAUUUACAAAUAGCAACCUUUAUUAAAAAUGUUAUAAAUAUAUAAAGUUUUAAUUUAAAUACAUUUUGGUGUUGACAUUUUUAAGUUCCGUCAACCUGUUGACGAGAUAUUACACUUUUAAAUUUGGAUGGGAGAAGAGUAGUGCACGAGUAUCAUUCAUGUGGCGAUGCAGCGUGUGGCGAGAGCACUGUUUCACCCCCCAAAACAAGGGUAACAAAAAAAAAAAACGGCAAUGUAACAUUUUAGAGUUGAUUGUUUCUUAAUUGUUCUAAAAAACCAAUUCUAACAAAAAUUAAUACUUCAAGAGAAUAUCAUUAUUAAAUACAGUAAAUAUUUAUUAAUUUGCUCGACAUGAGAACAAUUAUUGUAAUUUGAGCUCGCACGUUCAAAUCAUAAUAAAUAAAUAAAUAGAUAAUAAGUUUCUACGUUUUGUUGAUCACCCUGUAUAUAGGUAGGUAGAUAUAUAUAUUUUAUACUAUAUCGCUUAUACGUAUACGGUAGCGCUUAUUGAUUUUUAUUCGCAUUUCUAAAAUUUUCGGAGGAAAAAAAACGCGUUUUCGCACAGAUGUCAUUUUUUUCUACAUUAUGUUCUAGUAGAAUAAUAUCGUGACGUUUUUGGUAAAUAUAUAUACAUAAUAAAAGCUAUUUGUUUUCAUUUAAAUGAAAUGUAUAAUAUUUUUUUACGACCACAUUAAAGAAAAAAAAAUCUACUAAUCUACUAUCUGAUACCAAUUUAAAAGGAAGUGAUAGAAGUACGGCCGUUUUAUAUGAGGUUCUAAACUGCUAUUUCACUUCCUUUACUACUUGUUUGAUUUUAAUUUUGAAAACAUAUUUAAAUUUAAAUUUUUGAUUUCUUGUUAAUUUGUUUUUUUUUUUUUCAAGUAGAUAUUUGCUGGUUUUUUUAUUUAGUUAAUUACCUUUGCUUACGUUUUUUAUUAAAAUAAAGUUGUAUACUGAAAAGAGUAAAAUUAUUUUUCAAAAUAGAAACUGAACUGCCGGAAAUAUGUUUGUUUUACUCUUGCUUAUUGAGAUAAAUCGAGAAUGAAAAGACCAAUUGCUUUCAACCGUCUUAAGGAAAGUGCAUUUCACGCCGAGUGGAGGACGUGAUGGGUAUCAGUAAUUUUUUUUUUUGGUCGUUAUAAAUAAAUCAGCGUUUUAACGCGUAUACCUACCUAUGUUAUGCCGUCAAUAUUAUAACGAUGCGAUAUAAUAUUAUAAAUUAUAAUAUGGUAUAAAUCGCGAUAUUAAAUUGUAGCAUAUAGACAGUAUAGUAAUAGUUAAACAAACUGUAUGCAUUAUGAGACUGCAUUGACGGCAACGGCGGACCAUUCACUAUCGUGUUUAAGUAAUCCCGAUCGCGCGGAGAGCGUGAGCAACGACCGUAAUAAUAAUAAUAAUAAUAAUAUUUUAUUUCAUAUUUAUUUGAUAAAUAUGAGACUAGUCUGGUACAGUUACACUCGGAUUAUAUACUGCCCUCGGUUUAUUUACAAAAUGUAUGUCCGUGGACGUUUACAAUAAGAAUCGAAAACAGAAUAAACUUAAAUACAUAUUACAGAGGUAAAAUAUGUAUAUUAAAACAUAUAAGUAACUUAUAUUUACUAAUAUGUAGUAGUAGUAUAAGAAGACUAUUGAGACAUAGAGUUGAAUAAAAUACAGAAAAAGUGCAGAGCUCGCGAUGGAUAUGGUAGUCUUUACUAUAUUACGAAAUAAUAGCGAACUGAUUAUGGUUUUGGGUGUUAUAGGAGAGAACUUUAAAAGAAACCCAUAAAAUAUUAUUGUAAUCAGAAAUAUGAUCAGCCUAACUAUAUAAAAUUGAUUCACAUGUGUAAGUUAAUUAUAAAUUGAAUUACCUUUCUCCUUCAGGCGGCGAUCGAUCUGUUGAAUCUGAUAAAGGUGACCGAAGUAAAUAAAAAGAUUUUAAUGAACUAAUUGUUUUUUUUUUAUUAAUUUUUUAAUCAUACAACACUGUUCUAGGUUCCCGUGCUUUUGUAAGAAUCUCUGAGUAGUCUUUAUACUCGCUUGUGAUCAUCUGUCUAAAAGGAACGGGAACAAUACACGCACUGGGCUGAUUAGAAGUGACCGGCCUCCUUAUGUGACUGGAGUGACCUAUGUGUGUGUACGUGUGUAAAUGUUUUGCCUUAAUCUGGUUAAUGCUAGCUACUUAAUCUAAUACUUAAUGGCUAUUAAUUAUUAUAAUUAUUUUACAUUUUAUUUCAACUAUAUAUGAUAGCUUAAAUAGCAUAUCAUUACAAUGAGUAAAUAUCGCAUUAAGAUAUAUAUUAUUUGAUAGAAAAUAUGGAAUUGAAUGUAUAUGUUUAAUUUUCGUUGCUGUUAUUAGUUGUCUGAUUUAUCCCUUACAUUACAUUACAUUUUAUUUACAUUAUAUAUGAUAGCUUAAAUAGCAUAUCAUUACAAUAUUACUAUGAUAUAAGCCUUGAUCCGCUUUAUAAGGGCGUGAUGCCCUAUCAUUAAUGUCCAAUUAAUGAGCAACACAGUAAAAUUACGUAAGUUAGAAUUAAAAUUUUGACGUUUAAGCUGAAAUUAGACUUUAGUUACGGAUAAUAAAAUUUAAAGAGAUUACUAUUUUUGAGGGUAGGUACCACGUUGAUUUUUCUCUAAAGUAUUGUUAAACAAAAGAGUUACAGCUAUGUUAAUAUUUACUUAUUUUAAAUUGGCUAUAUAAUUACUUAUUCAUUUGACAAAAUUUUUUAAAAAAAAGUAACGUAGUGUUUAAACUCCGUAAGUUACGUAAUUUUUCUAUGCUGCCUAUAAGUUGCAUUUGGACCGGAAUAAUAUAAAACAUGUGGUUAUUACAUCUUCUUUAGGUGGCGGGAGCGUAGAGAAGGAAUGUAUAAAGCAGCACUAAAAUUAAUAUAGUCAUGGCCCGCAGAUUAGGAAACUUGAGGGUAAAAAUAGGUUUUGUUUGUGGUCAAGCCUUAGCUCAUUGUUGAUCUUUGGCGGGGAAUGAAUUCCAAAUGAGGUAACGCCAUAUUCCAGUAGAGAUCGGUCCAAAAAGUGGCGUAACCAGGAUUUAUUAACGGGGGGCCUAUGGGGGUUUAAGGGUUUAUAACCUUCUUAACCUUACCUAUAGCUAAAUAAAAAGCAAUGUAGAGGAAGGGGGUCAGAACAUCCAACUCCCAUGUUUACGUCACUGGGUCCAAAGAAAUGUAUAUUAUAAGGACUGAGAAUCAUCUGGAAGAGGAGAAAAGUUCAGUGUUGCGUUCAGAUAAACCCAACUGCAACUUUUAACCCUACGGUAUAAUAAUAUAUAUUAUAAUAUUCGAUACGGUGUUAUAAUGAUAUUAUUAUAAUAACGAUGUAAAAAACACGAUCACGCGUGUAUUUUCGUAUUGUCUGUAUAUAAUAUUAUUAUUAUUCGUGUAGGUACACGUAUCGGCGAAGUCAACGACGACAAGGGAGACGUAUACUCGCGGUACGUCGUGAUCGCCAGUAACGACGUGUUUGUGCACGCGCACUCCUCGGCUAUUUAUAAUAAUAAUAAUAAUAAUAAUAUCGUAGGUAUAUAUGUAAUUCUCCUCGGAGAAGUUAUACUAAUAAAAGCAACGGAUAAAAAAAAAAAAUUAAUAAAUAAAUAAGAACAUUCACGGGCCUCCGUCACCGUUGCCUCGUUGUAAAUCGGAAUACGCCUAGUCUGGGUUCGUUAAAAAUUACCAAAAAAAUAACAAUAAACAAUCCGAGCAUUGCGGCGGCGUAUAGCAGUACCCGUAUAAUAAUAUUAUAAUAGCGCUGGCUUUCUCGGCGUUAGAAAAAAAUGAAAAAAAAAAAAAAUUUGAAUUUGCGUCCCGCUGUGAACGCCGCCGCCGCCGCCGCCGCUGCUAUUGCAUACAGCAUCACCGCUCGCUAUCACGGGCUUACAAAUCACGCCGGCGCGUUCGCCUAUAUGCGCACAUAUAGGUACGAUAAUGAAGUUACCACGUUUUUUUAUAUUUGGCUCGUGUGUUUGUGUGUGUGUGUGUGCGCGUUCGUGUGCGUGUGUAUCGGGAACGUAUUAUAAUAAUGCCCGAGAUGUCACGACCGGGCGAUAUUAAUGGGAAUAUAUAUUCCGUUCGAAACCCUUCUGGAAAAUGUUUGUCUCGCGCGCUCGCGUGGUGGCCGGGGGAGAGUGGACCGGGGAGGAAAAUAAGAGAGAAUGAAAAAAAAAAACUGGACCCAUUAGAACUCACGAAAAUAUAUACCUAUUACACGCACUCACACACGAUUGUAUAAUUUUGUUUCUCUCUUCUCCGAUACACAUAUCAGUGUUAUAUACUGCAGCGGCAGCAACAGUGUUGGCGUGUUGAUUCUUUUUUUUUUUUAAUAAUAUUAUGUAAACCAGUUUGCGCGCGACACGCGGUCCAUUUUUCCAUUUGUUAUUGUAUAUUAUAUACGUUUUCGUGCGAGACUGUGAAAAAAAAAGUAAUAAUACCGUUUAUUCUUCUAACGUACCUAAUAUAUUUUUUUGGCGGCGGAUGCUAUUCGGAUUUUGAUAACUCGCGAAAAUGCACGUUUAAUAUCAUGAUAUAACGUAUAUACUGCAGCUGCACUUGUAUCAGCUACAUAGAUUGUCAUUGUGUAUGUUCAUUGAUAUAGCACCAUGUAGCAAUAUAACUACAAAAAGGAUAAAAAUAUUGUUAGUUAUUCUGUUUAAUUGAUAUCAAUUAUUACUGGAUACUUGAUGAUAAGUCGGAAUGGUUAACUACUGAUAACAGUGGUAUGGCUAGGGCAUAUUUCUAAACUUCAGAAACUCUACCCCGUGGGUUUCUAUUAUUACCUAUAUACAUUUUGUAUUAUCUAUGCCUUGCACUUGAGACGUUUGUAGGGUCGAGACGACGAUAUAGUACCGAAUUUCGUCCAAUAUCUGUUAAGAGGACGUUACGUCCGUAUGUUUGUUUUCUCUCAAGUUAAAUUAAAUAUAUAAUAUUGCGGAUAAAUAAUUUAAAGAUUGAAAAAAAAUCAUUAUGUUAAUAAACACUAUUGUUUUUGUAAAAUAUACGAGUAUAAUGGUAUAGGUAUAGGUAUGGUAUAAGUCCUUUUGCCCUAAACUCAAUAGUCUAAUCGCAGAUUGCCUUUGUUGCUAUUUUUAUAUAUUAUUACGCACGAGGCGGAAAGAGAAAACAAAAUGUAGGUGUAAACGUGUAGAGAGAUCCCUCAUACAUACCCGUAAUAGUGUUUAAAUAUGUUAUAGAAUUCGAGCUAUUUUCAGCUCCAAAAUCAAAAGGAACUAAUCGAAAUUAAAUAAUAAUAUUAUAUCGUAUCUUUUGUCGAAUCAACAAAUUACGCGUGUAAAAUGUCCGUCCGUCCGUUUUGCCGAAAAAUUCACCGAACACUUCGCAUUUUCACUAUAAAACACAAUUAUAUUUGCAAUUUAAGUUUCUGAACUAGCGUUCACGUCACUAAUAAUUGUAUAGCGUUAAAAAAUAACCCACCGUGCAAUUAGUUAUCCUGGAAAAUAAAUUUUCGUGUUUUGUCCAUUGUAAACUCGUUUUCGCGUACGGUCGUUAUCAUGAUGUUAAUUUCGCACGGGUAAACGUACGUAUAACGUGAACGAUAUUCCGUUUAACGCGUUCAAAUCCUUAUCUAUGGAAUUAAUGGUUACGAAAAGACGUAUAAUAUACGGUUUUCACUUCUCGUCAAAACGUUGCAUUUUUUUUUUCUGCUGAAAACUCACUAUACCUAUAAUAGGUAGGUAGGUAUGUAACCUAUCUAUAAUAUACUCGUGCACUACUUUGUACGUCUUUAUAUUGCAUCAAAUUGAUCAAUUUGUGCAGUGUAUUUGUUUUACGCGCGUCGAGCGCAGUGUUUUAAUAUUACCAUUAUAUACUUAACAAAAAAAAAAAAAAAAAACUCUGACUAUAUAAUCAUACGGUUGAAAAUGACUUAGAUAUAAUGUAUAUUAUUAUAUUGAGGUAUACGNNNNNNNNNNNNNNNNNNNNNNNNNNNNNNNNNNNNNNNNNNNNNNNNNNNNNNNNNNNNNNNNNNNNNNNNNNNNNNNNNNNNNNNNNNNNNNNNNNNNNNNNNNNNNNNNNNNNNNNNNNNNNNNNNNNNNNNNNNNNNNNNNNNNNNNNNNNNNNNAAAAAAAAAAAAAAAAAAAAACUCUGACUAUAUAAUCAUACGGUUGAAAAUGACUUAGAUAUAAUGUAUAUUAUUAUAUUGAGGUAUACGCGGGUAAACGAAAAGCUAUUAUUUUUUAAAUUUUUUUUUCAAAACAAAUAUGAGUAAUAAUAUAAAGACGGCGGCGCAGAAUGCGAUUAAGUAUAUACCUAUAUGCAAUAUUAUUAUUACGAAUGUCACAAUAACACUGAAAGUUGCCAGUGGUCUGCGCGCUGCGACUGAGUUUUCGUUUCCUGUUAUGUGUUUAUAGUAUACGCCAUUAAAAAAAAAAAAAAUAUCGUCCAUUUUAGAGAAAACCCAAUAAAAAGAUAAUAACAUUAUGUGGGAACGCGCGUCAUCGCAUUAACAUAUAUAUUAUAUUGCGUUUUGUCGAAUACCAUACGCGGCCGCCACCUCGCACGAUAUUAUAUAUAUUAUAGAAAUAUACGAUGCGUACAGUAAUAAUCAUAAUAAUAAUAAUAAUAAUAGUCGGAUAUGGCCUGUCAAGAGUGAAAUUCAUAAUAAUUAUACGGUUAAAUUUUUUGGGAAGAGAUUUGUAGAAAAAAAAAAAAAAACACCGUAUGGCAAAAAAAACGUGUUUCAAUUCUCCGGAGACAUAGAAAAAAAAAAAAAAAAAAAAAAAAAAUACUCUUCGAUUAAUAAAGCGCAUAAUUAUUAUUGUAUAAAGUACCGUAACGGCCGCGGCGCCCACACACAAAUAUCGCGAGUGGCGUAAAAUUAUUUAUUUAUUUUCUUUCGUCGGCUUCACGUAUACGUGUAUAUGGUACUGUCACUUCCGCGAUACGCACAUUAAAGACGAAUCGUAGUCCGAAAAUAUCCGCGAGAAAAAUAACCGUAGAAUGGAAAAAAUUAAUCAUUAUCCGGAGUCGGAACGUAUAACACUUAAAAUCAACAAAAAAAAAAAAAAAAAAAAAAAAAAAAAACCCAUAAAAAUGCGUUUGAAAUACAUAUAGUCCUGAUAUAAACGCUUAUAAAAUAUGCAAUAAUAAAGCAGAAAAACUAGUAAAAAGUUUUUUUUUUUAAAUUAUCGAAAUAGGCGAAAAAAUAAUUUUAAAAUUUCAUAUUUGUUACACGUGAAACGACAUAAAAUUCUGUAGCAUUUUGCUAGAUUUAAUAACAUGCAAAAUAAAGAAGUAAAUGUUUUAAUCCUCGAACCUUACUUUCUAAAGGUAUAGGGAUAUUUUUUGAUUUUUUUCAAGGAAUAAGGCCCUUCCAAGCAAAUAUUUUUUCAUUUAUUUUUUUUUCCGCUGCCUCUUUAUAUUGAAUUUCAGAUUCUACCGCACCUACAUAUACGACAAGUCAACAAUACAAUCGUUCCAUUUUAAGCGAAAUGUUUCUAGUGGUUGUUUUCUCGUUGGGUUGUUUUCGAUUACAGUUUUUAUUACUGUAGCAUUUCGCAUACGUGUCUUGUCCAUUUCACCUACUCACUGAAAUUUCAUUUGUAAUGCUUUUGUAUUGUGUCUUCUCUUCCAGGAAUUUAUUUGUGAUCUGUGAUCAACUCCGAUUUUCAAGUGUAGCACUCGGAAAGAUUAUUUUUUGAUUUUCAUAAUAAAUGGGAAAAACCGUGAAAAAUAAGUAGAAAAAACGGAAAAAUGUACGAAAUGUAUAUUUUUAAAUCAUAUAUAUAUAUCAUAAAUAUCAAUACUACGGCCUUUUAAAACAUUACGUAUAACUGAACUCCACUUAGAAUCGUUGGGAGACAGAUAUACAUUAAAUUCCCCUCUAUAUCUUACCUUCUCAAUUUCUCACCUACAACAGUGGCCCAUCGUGCGAAGUAUGUCCGUAUCUUUUUUUCUACAAAAUGCUAUACUUCCAUAAGCCGUAGCACCAUCAACAUAUAAGUAAUACAUUUGUUUGGUACAUUUAUUUGAAAUGGAACAAUUACACAAAACUAAAUGUGGCAGUUUUUUUUAUUCCGAUUUCUAUUGCCUAACUGCCAUAACCUCAUUUCCUAAGUAUAGAUUAAUAAAAAAAAUAACAGGCUUCAGGUAAUAUGAAUAAUUGCAAACUAUUAAAAUUGAAGCUUUAAAAGUAACAGUUUGGGACCAGAUGAUAUUUUAAAAUUGAAUUUUUUCAAAACUAUGUUUUUUGAGUUAGGCGCUCUUGUAUCAAGGGUACUACAAUAUUUUAUUGAAAUAUGUGGUCGGUAUCUCGGGGGCUUUUUGUUUGCACCGGAGGCCCUAAAGAUUUUCUUAUACCCGAUAACUUUCUCACUUUACUGAAGUUGCGCCAUUGUGAUAUAUUUAUGUAUAUGUGAUAACAUUUUUGUAUACAAACAGUGAUUGCCGCAGUUUUGUUACAUCAUAUUAGCGAAACGGUUUUUACCCCGCGGAAGUUUCUGUAUGGUACAUUAUGUGUUCGGUGUGAUGCUCUAUUCUAGCAGCGGGAAAAGAUCGAAUAUCGGUAGAAAAAAAAAAAACAAGAAAAAAUUAGGACGACGGCAUAAUGAUAAUAGUAUUAUUGUAUUGUUUUAAUACACACACACACACACAUACAUAUGAUUUAUGUAUAUUGUAUAUAUUAUGUAAUCGGUGGCGUCGUAUUGGUGAUGCGAGGCUAGCGAUCUCAAUGGGAUAUUGUAAAAAUAUUAUAUUGUAUAGAUACCUAUACAACUAUAACUGUACACGGGCGGCGUAAAUUACAUUUAACAGCGAGAGAUCGGUUUUUUUUUCGCUUAUAUUUUCGGUUCCGUCGGGUUCGGCAUCACGACGAUAUUGCGGGUAUACUACUCGGUAGGUAUUAUAUAUAUAUAGUAAAAAUAACUCGCUAGACUGAUUUAACGGUGAAUAAUUAUACAUUGUAUACACAUAUACAGGGUGUUCCACAAAGAUUUAUCUAUUGCAAUAUAUCCUGAGAUAGUAAAGACAAUCAAUAUCUGUUAACAUUACAAAACAUUACUCGCAGGGAUAAGAACUGCAAAUAUUUAUAUUUGAAUUAAAUUUGUAUGUUUUGGUAAAAAAACUAAAGAAAAAAUCGUUUUUUUUAUUAUUUUCGAAAAAUUUGAAGAUAGCCGUUUAUAGAGUUCUUCUGAAAAUGUCAACAAUAUUCAUUAAAUUCGUGUUUUUUCAAUAAUUUUCUUGAGUUCAGAGAAACGUAUCAACAAUUAGGUAACGGGAAUCGGGCUUCGGGUAAUCGCAUUCACUCAUCGAUUAUUAUUACUUUGACCGAUUGACCGUGUUACAAUUUUUUUUCUCUGAACUUUAAAAAUUAAAAAGUUAUUAUUUACCGAAACGUAAUAAAAUCAAUUGAAAUAUAAAUGAUCGUAGUCAUUAUCCCCCUGGAGUAAUGUGUGUAUAUAGAUGUAUAGAAAGCAAACAUAAUUCGAUUAUAUCUCUAUUAUUUCCGGAGAUAUUACAACCGGUAUAAUGUCAUCUUCGUGGGACACCCUGUAUGUGUAUUUUAAUAUUCUUUAUCCCAGUGCAUUACCACGUGCCAACGCGAGCGAUAGUAAUAUUACUAUUAUUAUUAUAUAGGCCCGUCGGAAAUAUAAUAAUAUUACAAUAACAUAUAUCGUUGUUGGCGUCGUAAAAGCGAAUCGUAUAUUAUUGUCGUGCACGGACGGCGGCGGCGGCGGCGGCGGUGUUCAUUCAUUGAAGGAACGAGCGCGCGCGCGCUCGCGAAUUCCAGCGGCGCGCAGCCCAUUGUCGUCGAGCCGAGCGGAGCGCGCGCCAGCCCGCGAACCAAUCGAACACGCCGCGCCGCCGACAUAAACGCGCGCGCGCGCUCCCGCGAAAACAAUAUUGCGUUAAUGCCGCGCCGCGCCGCACGGAGCGGAGGUUUCACUCGGCGUGACGCCGGGCGACCGAGUUGUGUUGUGCGGAGAUUGCCCGCGCGCGGUACGCCUUUAUAAUAAUAAUAUGUACCGAUGAUAAUAAUAAUAUUGUAGAAAUCGCGACGUUUCGGGAUCAUCGGCGACGAACACGCGGCGGCGGCUGCGGCGGAACACCGCGAGAAGAAACGAUAAAACAAUACGAGCGAGCGCGCGCGCGGCUCUGCGCCGCGCCGCCCGAUGUCGAUUCGUAUACAAUAAUAAAAUAUAAUACCAAUAAGUAAUAUAAUAACGACGGCGACGGCGAUUUGGGUCAUUUAUUGUCGUCGCGGUCGUGUGUCGUAUACCUAUACCUCCGCAGCAUAAUUUAGCCUGGUAUUGUUCCGGCGAAAAUCGUUUCGAAAUCGUACGCCGAUCGUCUAUAAUAUAAUAAUAAUAAUAAUAAUAUUGUUAUUAUGUGUAGGUACUGUUUUCGACACGUCGUCGUCGAUACCAUAUUAUCGUCGGUCGGCAUCGCGUACAUACCGAAUUUAAAACGCGUAAAACAAAAUGCGUGUCUACGCGGCAUAGUCGAUAAUAUUAUACUCGUAUUAUGUAUGUAUACGAAACGAGCGGGAUAGGGCAGUAUCUUCGACACGACUAUCUCGGAUACAAUUGUAUCUGGUAUCGCGGUUCGGUUCCGGAAAGUGACCCUCGUGGUAUUUUGUAUUGCGAUUCUGGGAUCGAUUUCGAUCUAUAGUGUCGGGUACAUAUUCGUUUUGAAGCGUUUAGCCCAAACGACGGACAAAAGUUGAGCCAUUUCGUCUCUUUAAAAAAAAAAAAAAAAGAAUCAAUGAAAAAUUAAAAGCGAAUGAAAGAAUUGUGGAGAGGGAUAGUUUUUCUGAUGGAAAAGUUGUCAAUAGGCAGAGAAAAAUACCGCAUUCGCCUUCGUUCAGACGUAACAGCAAGAUAAGCCGAUUAACGCAGCAAAAACAAUACAGACAACGAAACACUGUGCGAUAGACCUAACCUAUUAGAUAUUUGGAUUUCUAAUCAUUAUAUUAUUAAUCACUAUCAUAUUUACUUAAAUUUCACAUUCAAAUUCAUAAUUAUUUUUAAAUGGGUGUUAAUUUAUAGCGAAGCUUUCUUUUCCUAGUAUUGUUAGGUAGAUGUCUGGCAACAAGUUUAAAAAUCUAUCGAAUAUUUAGUCAAAUAUUAAAUAUUAAAUAAAUUAUAUGUGAAUACAAUAUUCUUGGUAUGACUUAACCUAACAUGGCUUUACUAAUGUCAUAGUAUUUAUACAUGGAUUAAUUGUAGUAAGUCUACACUUGAGUGAAUCCAAUUGUUGUUCUAAAACGAACUAAAUGCUAAAUAAUUUGACUAAUUUUUAUUGCGUUCUUUAAUUGACAUCGUUUUGAAGAUGAAUCAUUUUUGAGUUGUUGUAAUCUUGAUCUGACUAGUCGAUAUUAUCUUGUAUUGAAUUUCCGAGCAUUUAGUAGCAUAUUUUGACGUAAUUUUAUUAGACACCACGAUUGCGUAAAUAUAUCUGCCAUUUUUCAUUACUUUUCCCCCGUUUUUAAUCAAACUACAAGGAAAAUCAAAAAUCGAUUUUGUUGUUGCACCGACUUUAAACGUGGACGACCGGAAUGAAAUAUCUGGCCGAGAAGUCGUUGUUUACCAACAAAAACAAAUAAAACAUUCUUAUAGUUUGUAUAGGGUCGAGGAUUAAUUCCUAAUGAAGGAACUUCUAGCAUUGAUUGAAUGUUUGUAUUGCGCAGCGAUAAAAAAAAUAUAAUGAAAUAAAGACCAGGUAAAAAUAAAUUUGUUUCACGUCAUGACAAAGCUAAAUCUGUAUUUUUAUGUCACAUAUUUUCAUAUUUAGUGUUUUUUUUACAUUAGGAACAUAGUGAGGGAUCUAUUGGUUUUACUAUGAUGUGUGUUUUUUUUCUGUUUGGAAAUAAAUUUUCAAACUGAAAACUUGCUCCAAUAUGUCAAGUGUAGUACUUUUUCUGAAAGGAAAUUUUCACAAGUAAUUUUUUUUAAUUUUCCAAGGGAUUUUCAAAAUAAUCGGGAAAAGGCAGAUAUUUACGGUGUGGCGUUACCGAUUUCAUUGUUUUUAAUUUUUGCUUUAAUAUUGCUUUAAUCAAAAAACGCUUUAAAACAUUUCUCGUUGUAUUUCGGAUCGAGUUGGUAAAUGUGUUUGACCGAAUGCCUUUAUCAUCCAAAUAAUAUUUUGAUAGAUAACAUGUCAUAUAGAAUGAUUCAUGGCAAUAAAACCGACGAUUUAUAUAAAAGUCUUCAAACGUGGUGCCAUUCUUCGUUCCUUAAUUAUUGUUUGCGGCUAUGCGAGUUAUUACGGGAUAUUUACCAAUUACGUACAGGACCGGAUUUAGGACUAGGCCACCUAUAGGCUAUAGCCUAGGGGUGCUACGACUUCUCUGGGUGGCAUGGCCGACAGAACUCGGAUAUGUACGGGGACAUUAGGCGUGAGAAGUUAUGAUAGUGCAUGAUGUUUUUCAGAUCAUAUAGCUUUGAUAGGAGAAAAUCUGGAAAAAGUUAACUGUAAGCUCGAAUAGAGAGUAGCACUUUAAGGGAAGGGACUAUAAGGAUAAGUAGAAUUAAAACAGAGUAUGAGUUUAUUGGAAUACGAUAAGACAGCUAAUGACAAUUAGGGAUAAUUUGGAUGGGGGUCCUUGUUCCAAAAGUAAGGACUUUUUUUUUUAUUAACCUUGGGGUGCCUUUUUGAUAAAUUUGAUCCUGACUUUGCCUAUAAACUCAAAUGAUUAUUAGACGGACGCAAUUACGAGUUUAGUGCUUUAAGACUUCGGAGACCAAUUGUUAGACCAUUAGUGAUGUUCUUACUAAUACAUAUUUGUAUUUGGAAGACAAAAGGGACCAAGUCUAUUUUUAUCAAUAUUUAAGGCAUGUUAUUUUCCUAUGUGAAAUUUGUUCGCUUGUCUUUUUACCAAUUAUCAUUUUAGUCGUACGACGCAUAUUUAUUGUGAUACUGAUAAAUUAAAGUAAGAACCAAGUCCAAAUAUACAUUUUUGAUCCAAGUUCAAUGAUAGGACUUAGAUCGUCUUGCUAAAUUUAUAUUAAAUAAGUUUAAAACAAACCUCAUGGCUAUUACUUUAAAAUUGAAUUCAUACCAUCAAUUUUAGUAAAAUAAAAUCGGGUGAAAAAUGGUUUUUUGCCUCAGAAAAAUUACAAAAAUGGACUUGGUCCUCUCAGGUGAAGAAAUCUAUUAUAAUAUGUCCUUUCAUGUAUACCGCACGGGCAAUGAAAACUUUUGAUGUAAUAUAAUAUUUAGAUAUAUUUCCGGACCACCCUAUAUGCCGACUGGAUUUUACCUUUGUAACAAUAUGCACACCGCUCACUAAUAAAAUAAUAAAACUACCCCUUUAUAGCUACCUCUUAAUUUUAGGGCCAUGUAUGGUAAUAUAUAUUGCUCUUCUAAUAAAAUAAUGUAAAACGACCCGGUAAUAUUAAACAAAAUUAUUUUAUACUAUGAUACGUUUUUUUUUUUUUUUGUUGUUGUUGAUUUUAGAAUACUAUCGGAACGUAGUUUAGUUUUUCUCACUCCGACAAAUGUCGGAUAUCGGAUGUUAAAUGUUAUUAAUGAUACAAGAAUCUCAACAUUUUGACGAAAAUGUUUUCGUAAUUUGUUUUUCAAUCGUCUUAUAAAACUACCUGCAAAAACUGACGUACGAAUAUUAGGUUUUUAAUAUAAUAGGUAAUAAUAUGUUCAUCAGUCUGCCGUGAUCACGUCUCUGGUUGUUUUAAAAGAAAAAAUAUCGUAUAACAAUUAAACGGCACACAUUAUCUUCAGUCAAUAAAGAAAAAAAAAAGGAAUCGGAUUAAAUCGACUCGGAAGAUGGUUAAAAAAAAACGGAAUGCGGUACGCGUCAUAUUAUUAUUAUAUACUAUUCGUUGCGGAUAUGUAGUCGAUGAUGUUUGAAAAUUAUUUGUAUUUUUUUUUUUUUUACAAUUAUUUAAUUACUCGCUCAUCUGUCAAUACGUCCAAUCGUUGACAGUGCACGGGAAACCUGAAGUAGAAAUUUACCGGCCUGUUAUAUAGGAACUUUUCCCACAUUAAUCGAUCCGUUGCACGGCGGCCGUAAUAACAUUGGAUUCCAUUUAAAUGAUUUAUCGACAGCUCAAUGGUUUUCUUGAUGCAGUAUUGUAUUUUUUUUCUUUGAUAGUAAUACUGCAGUUAUUUUAAUUUUCGGGUGCAAUCUUUUCCCGUGUACUAUUCAUACACAGUGCGUUUCAUUCAAAUGACGGUAGCGCGAACUAUUUCAGCCGUUGAUGGACUUAGAUGAUAAUGGGGUUUCAUUUUUUUUUUAAAGAAAAACCGGAGUAGUAAAAUAAACACUUAAGAGUUUGUUUCCAAAAUGUUAACCAUUGCGGUGCAACAUAAUUGGCAUUUUAUUGAAACCGAAAAAUGUAGUUUUAUUUAAUAGUGAGUUUAAUUUAAUAGUAGUUUUUUCAAGAGACUAUUCAUCUCAACAUUUAUCCAAGAUACAAAAAUUAAAACGUUUAUUGAUUUAAAAAUAUGAUUUUUUCGAUUUUUAAACAAUUUAAAACAUACGAAUAUCUAUUUAAGGUAUGUUUAUUAUACAUACCUUAAACACAAUUAUACAUUGUAUAAUUGUAUGAUUAUCGUUACUUGUAAUUUAUUCUCCGUAAAACAUUAGAUAACCGAAUUUGUUUCCACUUAAAAUCUAAUAUUUUAAUUGUUAUUUUUAAAAAUUUUUAAAUGGUUUUAGUUGUAGUUUUUGAGUAAUUAAAAUAAAAAAAAAAAUCGUGUAAAUCAAAGUUAUCUGCGGAAAAAAAGCAAGACUAUUUGAGUCUGAUCGAAUAUAAUUAUAAGAGUUUCCUUUGAAAAAAAAAACAUAGUUUCUUGAACGCGCCGCAAUGUUUAAAAUAUUGAGAAUUGCAGGUUCAAACCUUUUAUUUUAAUGUUCUGGAUCUUUUCAGGGAGAGAAAAAAAACAAAAUAGACCCAAUUUGAUAUGAGUCUAUCUGACUGCUAAAUAUUUCGCGUUAUUUAUCAUUCGAGUAUGAAAGACAACGCCUAGACUAUUUUAUAGAACUUUUUUUUUUUUUUCGAGUCAUUGAUGACGUGCAUUAAAACAUCACUCGUCUCGUCUCCAGUUCAUUAUAAUAAUGUUUAGACGUCUCGUCACAUAAUAUAAAAUGUAUGAUAUUAUUACGUUUUCUUUUCAAACGCGUUUUGUUUUUGUUUUUGUUUAUUUUUUCCAGUGAAAUUUUACGUUUGUUCUGGUUCUUUUGUGGCUCCGCAGUCAGAUAUAAAAGUAACAAAAUAUCUAUUAACUACUACACGGUCGUUAAAAAAAAAAAAAAACGAAUUUAUAACAACGCGCGUUACGUAUAUUAUAAUAUACAUUAUAUAUUAUAUUAUAGUAGGUAUAAUGAAUGUUCACAUAAAAUGCCUAUAUAAUAUAAUAAUAUAUAAUAAUAUAAAGUAAACACAUUUUUUAUGUAUAUUUUUAUUUUUAUUUUUUUUUUAUCUCGUCGAUGAGCGUUUUAAUUAUACGAUUUAGAUACAAUCUAUAUAGUAAUAUAGGUGCAGGGGAAAGUAUCGGUAUUGUAAAACGUAGAAAAAAAAACGACUUCUGGGGAAUAAAUAUACAGUAAGUAUGCGUACAAUAAACAGUGUCCCACGGAGAUCUGACAAAUCAAAUAAUCGCUUGUGUUCCGAUUAAUACCUUUAUAUUUUUUUAUAUUUAUCGUAAUAACCACUAGAUCCUUGCGCCAUGAUUUUUAUUUAUUACUAUUUUAAAUUAAAAAAAAAAAAAAAAAAACUAAAAAUAAAAAUACAUUUCUUUUAUAAAAUUUAAGAUAUCUAAAUGGAUUAUUAAACAAAAUUUUGGUGUUACAGAUGUUUUUUUUUUAAUAACGAGUCACUCAUUUUCUAAAAUUUGUUGAAGUUUACGAUGGUCAAUUUUUUUAUUGCCAUCACCUACUAAAUAAAAUCGAUCGAUUCACCGUCUUUUCAAUGAAAAAUAAUUUUGUAAACUAUAAAAAUCUGUAGAAAAUUACUGGAUUGUCGUUAUAAUAACAUUUUUAACAUCAAUACUUUGUUUUAAAAUAUACAUUUAUAAAAUUGAUUUUAUUGAUUGUAUAGAAAAAUAUUAAAUUUAUUUUUAGUUUUUAAAAAAAUUAUACAAAAUAGAAAAACCAUGGCGCAAGGCUAUAUUAAUUGUCACAAAAAAAAAAAAAAAAAAAAAAAAAAAAAAACAGAUAUAUUAAACAGAACAAAAUGUAUUGCACAUGUCAGAUUUCCGUGGAACAUCACAUUGUAUACACGCGCGCGUGGUCGAGGAACACGAAAAGCGUGUGUUCAGCAAAAAAAAAAAAAAAAAACAGUAGGACACACGUGGCAGUUACAUAGACGUGUGUACAUGAUAAUAAUAUUAUAAUAUUCGCAAUUCGAUUCCAAUAUUCCGAACGGACGGUUACAUGACGUAUUUUUUACUUUUUUUUUAUCAACUUAUUUCCUUGUAUAUAAUUAUUAAAUAACAAACGUCGCGUGGCCUGUAACGCAGGGGUAAACCCACGGAGGGGAUUUCUGGUCCGGACCCCCCAAUGACUGUAGUAAAUACAUUUGUAAAUGUGUAUAUGUGUGUGGAACGCUGGCUAAUUAUUAUGAUUAAGACUAAUGUUUUUAACAGUUAUCUGUUGGUUAUGCAUUUAAUAAUUCAAUAAUUUUCGAUAAUUAAUCAAAAUUCAAUAAUUGAAAAAUAAUAAUAAUAACUAUAAUUAUUAGAGAACAAAUAAUAUAAAAAUGAUGGACCCACCAAUAAAAAAUGUCUGGGUAUACUCCUGGUGUAACGCGUGUGUAUUUUUUUCUAACGAAUUUCGAAAAUCAGUAUCUUACCAGUCCGCGUAUGGCUGUAAUUGUUUCUCUCUAAAAAUGAUAAAUAAAACGUACCGUGAAAACUGCAGACCGAACCGUGGGAUCCGAAUUUUAAAUAGUUCAAUAUUAUAAUAUACGUACCUAUUUAUCUAUAAAAUCGCUUGUAUUCGAAUUUCGCGGACAAUUCCUGGCGAUUUACACCAUUUAAUAGCAUUAAUGGUUUGCCAUGUAUAUGCCAUAAUAUAUGACAAAUAAUAUUGUUCCGAUAUCUCCCAUCGAGACGAAUACGGAAAGGAAGUUUCGAAUGAUACGCGUUUAAAGAAAAUAAAGAUUCGUCGGUAUUAUAAUGACGAUUAAAAUAACUGCAUUUUAAAACCAUUGGAAUUAAUUAUAGUAAAUUCAAAUUCUUAUGUAUAUAUUGUUGACAAUAAGCAACACUAUCAACUGAACUCCGCUCGGAAUCGUAUUUUCGUUAGCAAAGGGCCUGUCGUCGCUUAUAUAUGCACAUUGAAUGCCCGUCUGUAUCCUACCUUCCCGACUUCCCGCCUGUACAAAACAGUGGCCGCACCCGCGUGCGAAGUAUGUCCGUCUUUUUUUUUUUUUUUUUGUUCUUCGAUUUUUACGUUUUUAAUUCAAAUAAGGCACACCAAAGUCGUGCAGCGCACAAGACCUCUCUGUUUCAUCAUUAAACCGGGCUCCGACACUCGUAUACGCGGACACCGCUCGUCCGCCGCGACACACGUCGCGCACCUCUCUCCGCGGCUGCCGCCGCCGCCGCCGUACACUCGCAUCGGUUACAUCAAUCUAAUUAGUCCGAGCGCACGGUGUCUGGGGAUCGGCGACGCGAUCUCUCGCGCGCCCGCGGUAUUCGCCGCGCACCCCUCGUGUCUGUCCGACGGCGCGGCGGCCGGCCGUUUGUUCGCGGGCCGUCUUCGUCUUUCGGUCUCGCACGCGGGACAUUUUCAUCUGUACGCCGUCGCCGCCGCCGCCGCGGCGCGGUCGAUAUAAUAUUAUUAUCGUUGUGUUAUUAUAAAACUCGAUUCGUGAAUGACAAUCCUAUUAACCUUUCGCACCUGCAGUCGUACAACGCUUGUACAUUUUCCGAACGCCGUAUACAUAUGUAAGUGUUUUUGAUUGAUUAAUCGACCGCCGCCGCCGCCGCAUAAUAAUAAUAUUAAAGUUUUGUACGAUCGCGACGACGACCGCGGCGUUUAGAGCUGUCGUCCAAGGUCUUUUGUCGUGCCCAUAAUAUCGACGGCGCGCUCAGAGUUUUCGGAAGGGGCGGGGAUGGAAAUCCGAACACGCGGCCGUGUACCGCAGUAAUAUAUAGGCACAAAUUCGUUAAACGUAUUGUUUGCGGAUGGAAACCGGUACGAUAAUACGUUGUACAAGAGGCAAACAAUACAACGCAAUAAUGUUAUGUAAUUUUGUAAAAUAUAUUCGAUUGUUCAUCUAAAACGUGAAAUAAUAAAAAUCUGGAAAGAACCAAAUCAGUUCUUCUACGAUUUUUUUUUUUACAUUUUCAUCGAACCCCUCAUCUGCGUUGAGUAAAUGGCAAAUUUUCAUGGGCGGUCAAAUAUGAAUCGAAUAUCAAUAGACGAUAUUUGCAAAAAAUCCCUAAAACAGAAAUGAUUUGUACCAGCAAAUAGGUCAACAGUAAAGGGAGUAAGACACACUCAUCCUAUCCGUAAGCACACCCCAAGUCCAUAUACGUAUACCUAUAUUUUUUAUCGGACGCGAAUUAGAAUAAAAUAUGUAUGGAGAUGAGAUUUAGCAGUGGCGACAUUUCAGUAUUUGAUAGACUGUACCUUGACAAAUUCGUCGACAUGAAAACGAGUUAGUAAAAAAAUGUCCUUUCAUUUAAAAUACAUAUUUCAGAUUUGUAUACAUACAAAGGAACAGGUACAUAUAUUAUACUUUGAGUGGCAUUUAAACUUUGUAUUCUAUUUUAAAAGAUAAAAAGUCGAGCAAAUCUAAAAAAAAAAAAACGGAAAAUUUGAACGCUGAUUACUAUACUUACCUGCAUGGUCAUUCACGAAAAAACGGUUAAGUGGAAAUCUAUUUCGAUAUUUCGACAUUAUCUCUUAAGACCCAAGUCCCAAAUAACAUCAACCAAAAUACCGCUUAAGGGACAUCACAGUAGAAAUGUGUUGUCUUUCUAACGGAAAAUGUUGUAAAAAUGUAUCUAUGUAAAAUAAAAUAAAUAAAAGAUCUAUAUUAUACAAUUUGUAGUUGACUGCAUUUAAAAAACAAUAUUAUUGGUAUUUUUUGAAACAUGAAUCAUUUAUAAUGUUACAGGUCUUUAAACAAAAUGUAAUACACUGUUUUUUGCACGUUCGAAAAUGAUUUGAACGUUUAAGAAUUUUAAAAUAUUUAGAGAAGGUUAUCUAAAAACUGGUAUGACAAUCAUUUUUUCUUUAAAAUCAAUUAUUUCUAUUUGUUUCACGUAAACGCGUUUUUGGUGCAUUGUCCAUUAGAAACAUAGAGACAGAAAAUGCCACUAUGCGGUGGAGUUGGGGAGCGGGGCGUUAGAGGUUAUCUCCCCACAUUCUUUUAAAAAUACAACUAUGAGUAUUUAUUUGGGUAAUAUUAUCUUGAAAUUAUAUUAUAUUUUAGCCGAGUUACGAGGGAAGAAACUUAAUUUAUUCAACGAAAAUUGGAUUUUUCAUAUCCGGCUUUCAAACUCCACGUUUUUGCGUUAAAUAUAACUAAAGAAGACAGUCCACGAUUUAUCCACGUAUCGCGAUUAUCGUUUACUAUACGCGCCUUGUCCGCGUCGAGAAUUCCCGGACACACCACUGCACUGUAGUCGUGACGACCCGCCGCCGAAAGACGAGGCCAGAAUAGGUCGGACCGCAGGGACGGACCCCGGAGUCGCGUCGCCCAAACGACGCGGUGACCGUGCGCGAGACGCGCGAUUUCGUGCGCUCACGGCGGUGUCGAGUGACGAAUAAAAAAAAAAAUGAUCGGACGAAUAAAAAUGAGACGUGUGUGUGUGUGCUGUGCGCGCGUAAUAGGUAUAAAGUGCGCGUGCGCGACAUUUGCCGUCGUCGGAAUGACGAAACGCGCGCACGGUCCGUUGUCGUCGUCGUCGUCGACCGGUUACGUGGCAUAUAUUUAUAUACCUAGGUAUUAUAUCGUAUGUUUAGAAGAUACGUGACCGGGUAAAAACGAGACUCGGACGACAACGACUCCUCGGCCGGACGGUGAUGACGACCGACUCGGGACGGCGGCGUGGCGGGCGGUGCAGACGACCGUCCCGACGACGACGACGACGACGACGAACUCUAUAUACCCGGCCCCGCAAGUCGACCGCGUGCGCAUAGCUGCUGCACGGGCCCAUUGUUAUUGUUUUGUUUUGUUUUUUUUUUUUUUGUCUUUCUUUUUUCUUCGAAAUAUAUAAAUCAAUGCAUGAACCGAUAACGGAUAUGUGCGCCGAAUGUGUAAACAGCGUAUUUUGUAACAGAUCACGCCUGGGCUCUCUUGACUGCGAGGCAUCCGGUAACGUGUCGGACAUCGCUGAUAUACCUAUACACCUAUGCUGUACCCACCGUGCGUCGUGUACUACGCCCCUACAUUACAAUGACGUACAAUCGUAUGCGGCCGUGUGCGCGAUAUCGCGCACGUAUCACGGUAAGCUCCGGCCGGCGAUGCGUUUGUGUCGCCACUGUAUAGAUAUGUGUAUACGACGACCGCUCUAAAAGAAUAGUACAUAAUUUUAUUAUUAUUUACCGUAUAACGUAGGAACGUUACGUUAGAUUUGGUCGCUUAGGCACGAUGUGCGUGUAUAUAUAUAUAUAUAUAUAUAUAUAUAUAUAUAUAUAUACGUGUACUCUUAUCGUCUCAUUAUCCGUUGAUUAUCUAUGUACAAAAAUUACGAGUAAAAUAUCGAUUCGAACCCUUUUCCUGUCAUCGCAGUCAUUAUUUACACAGUCGUUUUAUGAUAUUUUUUACGGAAAUUGUUCGUGCGCCCUUACCAUUCCGUAUACCAUGCCAGCACACGCAUAUUACCACGACCUUUGGUUUUCAAACAUUUUCAACCCCCAUUUUUCCAAAAGAGAAUAUUUUUCUAAAAAUGUUGAUAAUAACACUGUUGCAUUUAACUUAUCGCUUAUGAGUUAUUAUUACAGGGAUGGAAAUGUAAUGCUCCAUGAAACCACACGAAUUCAAAACAAUGGGCUGGAAAAUGAAAAAAAGUGAUAUUAAAAUCUAAAUAUGAAAAUAAAAUGUUGUAUUCUCAUUUAAAAAUACAUAAAUAACUUUGUUACAAGACGUACUACUCACUAUUUGGGAUUGGACAUUUCCGAUUAUAUAAAACGAGUUACUUAUAUUAUUUUAGCUUGUUGUACAGACUACAGUGUGAUCAAUCUUCGAUAAGGCAUUCAUCAUGUCACUUUUUUCGACAUUUUUUUUUUUCAAAUAACUAAUGAACAAGAAGAUCUAAUAUAGUAAUGUUACAUAACCGUUAUUUUUUUGCCACUCUUAUUUUUGGGAAUGAAACCGCUAUCUUUUUUCGAUUUUCAAAUAGAAAUCUAUGUACAGAUUUCCAUGAAUGAUGAUGUUUUAGUUUAAAUACAUUUAAUUUGAAUUUUGUAAUUUCUGUCAACCUUUUAAUAAGAUACGGGAAGAGUAUUGGAGCAUCAUUUGUGUAACGGCGCGGCACAUGAUGUUUGAAUAGUGCUUUACUGUACUCUACCUGUAUACACAAAUUUUCGUGUUGAUAGAAAUUAAAAUUAUCAACAACAAAAUGUAUUUAAUUAAUACACCAUCUAUGUAUGGAUUUUUUUUUAUAUUGAUUACUAUUUGAAAAUAAAAAGUGGAUAGUGGUUUCACCUCCGAAACUAUGGGUGACAGAAAUAACGUUAUUAUAACUUUUUAGAUCUACUUGUUUUAUAAGUCAUUCGAGAAAAAAAUUCUGAAACAAGUACAUACUUCCGCAAUAAAAUAUAUUCUAUUGAUGAUUAAUCACUCACGUAUACAAAUCUUACUAGUGAGUAAAUAUCUUAAACAUAUUAAAAAUUCGAAUUUUCCAUUCAAAAAACUUAAAAUGCCCAAAAAAAUGAAAAAAAACAAUUAAAAAUAAAAAUCUAAAAUACAAUUAUUUUAUUCUUAUUCAAAAAUGUUAAAACAAUUUGUUUCAACUAUCACCAAAAAAUCUAACAUACUUAAUACAAAAUAUAAAAUUAAUUUUGAUUAAUUUAUCCCAAAAGUUGCUUGUGGUAGUUACAAAAAUAAAAAUGAUUUAAGCUUUACAUACACGUAUAUGAGAAUACAUCUUACUAUUAUACUUUAGUUUGGCGCUGUGCAAAAUACUUUUCUUUAUGUACAGAGGACUUUUAAAGAUCUCUUACUGGCAGUACUUUUAGCAAUUUGUAAUUUAAAAAUAAUCCCUGUAUAUAUUUUUUGUUCAAACAUAUUCUAAACAGCUAAAUUUUAUUGCACUAUUCAAGGUCUCAUUGCAUUUUCAGCACACUUUUCCUAGAUAUUAAGCUAUUUAGCAUUAUAGACUUGUACAGAGCUUCGUAUACAGUAUGUGUGACUUCAUUAGGUAAAAUUUGGUUAGCUCAUACAAUUUGAAGAUUACUAAUCUCGGGUGCACUACAGUAUUCUGAAUGUGUAAAUUCCAUUUCAAUUCCAGCUCAUAAUGAAACCUAUAUAUUUUAAUCGUGUUUACGUAUGCAUUUAUAAAUAAUUCAUUAAUAGAAAUAGGUGUGUUGUUAAUAGAUAAAGUAACGAUAAUUUUUUUUUUAAAUUUAGUCUUUUACCAUUUAUUUUUAAAAAACAGUGCGAUGAAAAUUGCGAGUUGGGACACUGCCAGAAAACGCGUUUUUUCUUUAAUCGUUUAAAACGUAUCGGAUGUAAAACUAUAUGUAUAUUUCGACGUUUGGCGAAAAAAUAUAUUCACUAACCGAAACGCAUUAUUAUAUUAUCUUGAUUAUCUGUUUUUUUGUUCAUUCAGAAAAUUUUGGUAUUUGAUAAUUUACAUAAUGUAUUAUUUAAACUUCAAAUUAUACUCGUCGAAUGAAGAAAUAUAUUACUGUAAUAACGUAUAUUAAUUUGUGGGCAAUGAUUUUUAAUUUGUUUUUAGAUUCUGAGUGGACUGAAGAAGUUUAUGGUUUAAUAAAGAUGUUAAUUUUUUUUUUUAUCUGUGCGCUACUUUUCUACCAGAAAUUUUGCUCCGAUUUUUAAGUGUAGCACCUUUUAUAAAAGGAAAUCCGACUGUGGAGGCAUUUUAAAGAGGUUAUUUUUAGAUUUUCUCAGUAGUUUUUUGAAUAAAUGUGAAAAACUGUACAGCGUAGCGAUGAAUGUUAUUGGUUUUACUAUGAUGUUGCGAUUUUUCAUAUUUUUUGUGAAUUUCAAUUUCUCACCUACUUAAAAAAAUAUUUUUAUGAAUCAAAUGAAGUGGAUAAGAAACCAUUGUUCAAAUUGUCUUCAAGUUGUAAAAUGUGAAAACAAUUUUUCAUACAAACUCCACAACUCUUAUCCUACUCAAACUUAAAAGUGGAAGCGCUGUACAUCGUAAAAUCUGAUCUUUCCUUUAUAUUGUUUAUCAGUUUCCUUGUCUAGCUACCAUUCUUCGCUAUUUACCAAUUCACUUGCCACUUGUCUAUUAAGAAAUUGUUUGCUGCGUUUUCUGUUGCUCCUCUAAUUUGGUCGGUAUUAUCUAUUCUUGCAUCAUAGAUCGCUUUUCUCUCUUCUGCUAUCAAUUUUAUCGGUGUUUUAUUGGUGAUAAUUUGUAGUGAUUCUGUGGAUACAGUUUUAUAUGCUGACGCAACUUUUAACAAUAUUUUCCUUUGAUACCUCUUAAGGAUGGUCCAUCCCCCUGCCUUCAUCAUGUCUGCCUAUACUUGUGCUCCAUAGAGCAUCUGAGGCAUUACCGCCGAUGUAAGUAGCCUCAUCUUUGCUGAUUUGGAGGCACCUACAUUAGGCAUUAUCCUUGCGAGGUUUUGUGCAGUCUUUCUCGCCUUUGCUGCCACUAUUAUUGCGUGUUACUUGAAUUGCACCUUAGAGUCUAUCUGCGGACCAAGAUACUUAAUAUUCCGACUUGAUUUAUCAAAGACUAUAAUCGUGUUUUGGUGUACUGAGUGCACCCGGGGCUUGCCCUGACUCCCCAUCCGAGUCUUGAAUAGCAGUGCUAAUAUAAGGUUUAGAAAUGGUAUUUUAAAAUUUAGUGGCCCACUGUUCCCAUUACACGUCUCUGCUAAAGCAACUGUUGGACACCUACUGUAAAAUAAUCCCCGUUUAAAUAAAAUUUGUUUGAUACCGAAAACAAGAAAGCUCACGAUGAUUAUUGUAUAAUAUACAAGGUGAUCCAUUUAAAUUGGUACACUCAUAAUCUCGGAAAGUAUUAACUUUUUCCGGAAUUUUGUUUUCUUGAAUAUUUAAGAAAUAAGCUGCACUACAAUUUUAUAAUCAUAUUACUUUUUGUCACCCUUAUUUUUAAUGCUAAUUUUAGAGAUAUUCCACUUUUAAGUUAAGGUUAGAUGAUAGUAGUGGAGUAUCAUUAGUUGGGCAGUACAAUGCACGGCAUGUUAAUAAUAUACCAAUACUCUUCUCCAACUCAAACAUAAAAAUGGAAUAUUUCGUCAACAGCUUGACAGAAAUCAAAAAUGUCAACGCUAAAAUCUAUUUUAACGAAUACUACAUCUAUUUAUGGAUUUUUUAAUAUAGGUUGUCAUAACGAGAUUGCGGGCUCCUUCCUUCACCUGGCUAGUCGGGGUCUUCUCGCGCUCCAACUUCUGAGUCGUACUGUGUGAUGUUUUCGGCUGACCCACUUACCCCUGGCAAUGGGGAUUGUGUCAAUUAACAAUGGCGAAUCAGAAGAUACCUGGAGUCACCGGUGUCGUAUGUCGGCCACUGGGUGUCGAAAUAUGUCCAAUUCGUGACAUCUAUGGAUAGUAAGUUGGGUGGUCUCUGAGUCCCAGUUUUGACCCCCUCUCAGUGCCGAACGGAGACUCCGGUGCUGGCUGUACACUUGUUCUACAGUCGGUACCGUAUGGUAGGCUUUCACUGAGCUUAUGAGUAUGCUAAUUAAUGGUUAAUUAGCCGGAGGAUACUCACCUGACGGCAGCCAUACCGUGAGCAGACGGAGCGACAAAAUGAGUGGUUGCUGGGAGCUAUGUUUUGAUAAAUUGGAUGCAUCCGGGUUUCUGCUUCGUGCUCUCCUUCGGCUCUUGACUAGCUGACGCUUUGCAAUAACUAAAAGAACGGUGGCCGGUAAUUUAAAGUCCAGAGUUUCCACUGCUGUUUGUUGUGCGUAUUAUCAUCACGACUACUAAAUAUAAUGGCCCAUCCGAGG
rnacentral:lncRNA from 1 species